rnacentral:lncRNA from 1 species
AUAUAUGUGUGUGUGUGUGUGUGUGUGCAAUUUAUAUGAAAAACUAUAUAUAUAAUUCAUCAUAAGGAAGGUUGUAGUGUGCUGACAUGGUGCUGGUAAAACCAGAAAGUAUGAUAUCCAUGAGGUGUACAAAGAAAGAAAAGUGUGUAUGAAGUCGAUCAUAAUAUUUGAGGGCCAACUACUUGUAUAUGGAAACAACCCUAACUAUUACAGCUUUGCAUUGUCACAAAUGUGAUCCUGAAUAUAUCAGACAGCUUAAAAAUUAUCUGUUCACCCACAUUGGCUCCUCUCCAUCCGAAGAUCUCCAAACUUUAUUAGAUCCUUAUACUUCCUUAGUGGCAGCAAUUUGUUGCGCCGUUGAUAUGGUAAUGAAUGAUAUGUGGAAUGUGCCUAAUUUUGUAGUUUUCCUCUCCCCCAUCAGGUGUCAAUCGUUCUGCAUGAUCAUUCAUCAAAGGCAGCAAGUCUAACUGCUCAAGUGUAGUGAGAAACUGCAAGCCUUCAGGUAACGUCUUCAGCCCACAAGCAACAGUGCAAGUGGAGGAUAUUCAUAGAAUCUGAGUAUUCUAGUUGGUGAAGACAGAAUUCUCAAAGAGAUGAAGACAGAGUUCUCAAAGAGAUGGAGACAGAAUUCUAGUUGGAGUAUUCAGGUAACGCCUCCAUUUGGUGAAGACAGAAUUCUCGAAGAGGAUUGGGGACCUGGGGACCUGCAAUUUAGUUCCUGUGUAAGGGCGGUCAUCAUAUACUUGCAGCAAGCCCUGGUUGAUCAAUUCAUUUAUAUUUUCUUCUGCUAGUUCCUCCAUAAUCUGCCCUGCUUUCUCUUGAACCAGUCCUUCAGCCACUAGUAACCGAAUAAGUUUCCCUUUGGAAAUCCAGUGGUUCUCGGGGAAGAUGGAACAAUAUAUCAAGCAGUGGUAAAGAGAAUCAGGUAAAUCUCUACAACAUAUUUUUUAUGGCAUACAUGAAGAAGCCCAUGAGCGGUAGGUCUCGGGUUCGAGACUUGGGAGCAGCCUCUCCAUAAAUGGGGGUAAGGCUAGCCGACAUUCAUCUCUCCCAGACCCUGCGUAAAGCGGGAGCCUUAUGCACUGGGUACGACCUUUUUUUUAUACAUGAAGAAGAAGCUGAUGUCUCAGCUUCUUCAUUGUCUUGGGAGUCUUUAUUUUCUUCCAUCUCAAAUUCAAUGGUAUUUGAACUAGCCAUAGAGAUCUACCAACUGUGUUUUGCAUUUGCAUACAGAAGAGAAAUAUAGCAAUAUUUAUGGGUUAGAGAUUAUGUCAUACGGUAUAUAUGCUUUGCAGUUUGAUCCUUGUUUGCAUUUCCUUCAAGCCUGUCGUAGUGUUGUGGUCUUGUAGUCCAUUUCUUAGAAAGCUUCAGGAUGUGACUUCGUGGUGGAAAUAGAGGCUUAUAGUUUGUGAUGGUUGAGCUUUGUAUCGAAGCAGCCUGCAGCGGAAGAGAUGAUGAAGAAGCUGAUGUCUCAACUUCUUAGUUCUCUUCGAAGUUUUUGUUUUCUUGUCUCUCCUUCGAUGGUAUUUGAACUUAGCCAUAUGGUGUUCUACAAAUGUGUUGAUAGCUUAUGCAGCUUGAUGCGACUCUGAGAUGGUAGCAGAUGCAAAUUUGUGAUGGUUAAGCUUUGUAAAAUCACAUUUAAUAUAAAAUUUCAAUACAAUAAAAAUAAAACAUGAUUUUAAUUGAUAUGGGAUGAGGAUGGAGAUGAAUGAUAAUGAUGGUAUGUACUACCAAAAUUACUCUUUAUUUUAUGUUAUUUUUUUUAUUGAUUUCUUUUGUUACUUUGUGCUUGGUUCAAAUGAAAACUUAAUUAUGGCGCUAGGGCGACAAUCAUUUUUUUAUUGAUUUCUUUUGUUACUUUGUGCUUGGUUCUUUUUUUAAAUCAUUAAAAAUUGAUUCUAACUAUCAACUGCCUUAUUAUACGGUUUACAAAAUAUAGUCUAAGAAUAUGGUUUUCCAAACCUUUCCCCUCCCCCAUAAAUUGUGUUACAAAUUUAAACACCAUUUUCUCCGCAUUUAGACCGUUUCAAACAAGCAUUGACGCCUCUCGUUCAUAAUUAACGAGAAUCUAAUGUGAAAAAAAAAAAGUUCAGGUGCCUAUAUCAAAAUGCAUAUUUAAUUUGGAAUGUGCCCCUUGAAAUUGUUACAGAGAAAUGCUAAUGAGACUCUUUCAAAAGUGGGAUUAGUUAUAGACUCUCUGUUACCUUAUGUUUUUUACACAAUGUUUUAAAAUGUUGACUCAAAAAAUUAACGUUAAAUUAUACCGUGACAUGGAGUCCACGAAGGGUACAACUUUUGAGAAAGUCCUUACAUUUCUCAUUCUUAGAUAUUUUUCUUUAUGACUUGUAUCCUUUCAUAGGGUAUGUCCGGCAUACCAAGCUUGGAAACCAUUAAAGCACCCAUUUACGGGGAGGAGAUGGGCUAAACCUCAUAAUGGGGUAACAAUAAUGUAGUUUAAUUUUUCUUUUGGCAAGAAUCGAAUAUAAAAUUUCUCACUUAUAAGUGAAAAUGAAUACCACUAAACUGUAGUACCAAGUGACAAAAAUUUCAUACUCCUGGCUCUUCUUAAACAUGUUUAGGGUUGGGGGAGGUGUGGGGGUCUUUAUAUAAGGAUCUUUACUAGUAAACCCUUUAGCCACGAGUACAAUUUUGGUCAUAAAUAAUACUGAACAGACGACAGUUGCUCAUGAAGCUGCCAUUUCGAUUUGUCAGAAUAUAGAUUAUCCCUAAAUAUCGUCUGUGUUGGGUAGUGAUAAACACUACGUAAUUAAGAUCUUGAAGCGCUUGUUCGCGAAAACUUCAAUUUUAGCCGCAAAUGCCAAGUUUAAAUAUAUGAAGGGAUAUGGGUAUGUGAAAUUCAAGCUCUUCAUAUUAAUGACUAAAACUAGUCUAUAAUAGAGUGCGUGUUAAGAAAAAUGCUAAUGAUUCUCUAUGAAUUAUCUAGCACUUCACAAUUUAACAUUAAUUAUCGUGCUAAUAUUAUAAGAGAACUAUUAUUAGCAUUCUAAUAAUCUCAUUUUACACUCUUCGCAAAUGUAUUUUCUUUCUAAAAUCGGUAUAACAAGGCUAAAAAAUAGUAGAAGUAAGGAAUAAUGAAAAAAUGAAAGAAAUGGGAGAACGGAGAUCGAUCCCGGUCGAAACUAGGGUCGGCGCCACCGAUUUUGCUCAAAUUUGGAGGCCUCACACGAAGAUGUGAGAAAUACUCUCAUAAAUAGAGAAAGACUCUCACUCGAGAGAGAACCCGAAGCUUCCAACUUUUGAUGUGAUGUUUGUGUAUAAUUUCCAAACAAAACUUUUGGCAACCCUUCUUCUGCCAAUCCAUAAUUAAUUUUCUAAAUUCAUUAUUUAUCGUUGCAUUUUUCACAAGGAAUCCAAUGAUCUCGUAUCAAUAUUAGUUCCAACACGUAUUUGAGCAUACAUCGCAAUCCAUAAUAUAUUGAAACAAUUGCAUUAACAGAGAAAACAUGUAAGAGCUGGAAUAAUUAAACUAAUCAGGGAGGAAUUAUGAAAAUGAUCAUAGGAGCCAGAACCCAUUAUCCACGAUUCUGAAUUAAACUAGUCAAGGAAUUAAGAAAAUGAUCAUAAGAGUUGGAACCUAUUAUCAACGAUCACAUUCCAAAUUAAACUAAUCAAGGAAAUAUGAAAAUGAUUAUUGGAGCCAGAACUCAUUAUCCAUGAUUUCGGAUUAAACUAAUGAGGGAAUUAUAAAAAUGAUCAUAGGAGCCAAAACCCAUUAUCACAAUUCCGAAUUAAACUAAUCAGGUUAUUAUAAAAAGAGAAAUUUUAUUUGAACCCAUAUAACAUCUUUCUACGCUCAACUUAAAUUUUAAAUAUGAGGUGUCCUUUUUAACCUAUUACAUAAUUACUAUAAAGUACAAGAUGUAAUUAACAAUAAAACUAAAUUUUAUUAACAAACCCACACCCAAUACUUUCACCAAUCCUUCUUCUACGAAACUUGAAAAGAGACAAAGAAAUUAGAUCAGUGACUGAAAGCCUCACAUAAAAAUCACAAGUACAUGAAGGCAUAUACCACUUCCCAAUCCAUCCUAUAGAAAACUGAGGCAAUCACACCAACGUCAAGGCAAAGAAGACAGAAGAUGGAGAUUGUGUACUAGUUAAAAUUGGUUAGGCACAAAACCAGAUAGCAUGAUAUUUAUGUAAAUAUUCAUAUAACUAAAUUCAAAUGGCAAAGAGCAUAGGCACCUAUAGAAAAAUUAUGGGUUAUUGCUAAAAAGUGGUAACAAGUCAAAGGAAAAAUACGUAAACUUUUGGAUAGCGAUAUUGGACACUCAUUUUAAGUGUUUUGCACUCAAAGGAAGGAGUGCAAGAGAUUCAAUCGAGCGUGAAAAUCACUAGCCAAAUUUUUUUCGAACAAUGUAACAAAGAUUUAAAGCCGAAUGUCAAUAGAAAAGCUGUAAUCACCAAAAAGGAUACAAUGAAGAGAGUAAAAUUGCUGAUGGAAUUGGCAACAAUAUGACCGCAAAGGGUGCUGAGGCGGACAUCAAUUACCAUACCUAAACGUGUAUAUAUAAACCUGUCAAACAAAAUAACAACUGAUGAUUUUCUAACAAAUGCAAAAUAUAACAAGAUUAAAGAAAAACUGCAAGUAGCUAAGUCUCGAAAUCAAACUCAGUAAAAACUAAAAUUAAGGAAUGCAUAAAUCAGAAUCUAAAUCAUAUUGAUUUGGUUAUUCUGCAAGAGAAAAAGUUAUCACAAAUUCAACAAGUUAGUAAUAUAGGUGUAAAGAUAAAUUUACAUAUUGAAUUGGGUUUGUGGGGGUAGUUUAUAUAGUAAAUUUGGGUUUAAAAAGAUAUUGAUAGCUUAAUUAAAAAGUUAUGUGGAAAGAGACUAUAUGGAUUCAAAUAAAAUUUUCUUGAUGAAAAUGAUCAUAAGAGCUGGAACCCAUUAUCCACGAUUCCACAGUGGAAGAAAAUGAUCAUAAGAGCAGGAACCCAUUAUCCACCCAUUAUCCACGAUUCCACAGUGGAAGAAAAUGAUCAUAAGAGCAGGAACCCAUUAUCCACGAUUCCACAGUGAAAGACUUGUCAACCUUUUGAAAGUCCAAUUAGAAACUUUAAUCCAAACCCCUGCAAAUAAGUUAGGGUGACUCGAGAAAACUUAAAACAAAAAUACGUAGAGUGUGAACCAAGGUUCAUAGGCAGAUCAAAGUCAAAUCAAAGUCAAAUCAAAGUCUAUAAAUCUUGCGUACCCUUUGCACUAUCAUUCAUCUCCACCUUCACCCAUAAAAAAUAAAUUAAGGAAGGAAUUUGUUCCGGCACCGCCGCUGGGGGCUUGAAAUUUGGGGGCCGAAGCGAUCGCAAAAUGGAGCCCUACAUAUGAGCAACCGUCAUAAAAAGUUUCUAAUUUCUUUGCUUUUUUCUCACUUUAUUCUCGCAGAUAAUUAACUUAGAAAAGACUUUAUUCGUAGAUAAUUAACCAAGAAAAAAUUAUGCAAAUGACAUAUUGGUAAAAAAAGGACUCUCGUAUUGAGGAGUCUUACGCGACUUGUGACGAGUUACUUGUCACACUACACAUGGGUGAUUGUACUAAAUUGAGGUGUAUGGUAUAUAGAAAUUCUAAUUUGUAAUCAAGUUUUAAUUUCAAUGACGUUAAAGUUUAAUAAAAAAUUGUCAUGCGUUUAAAAUUACACUAUUUUCAAUAAACAAAUGAAGAAUCUCUUGUAUGGUAGAGAAUAAAUGAAAAGAGUGGAUGACGCAGAAUAAAACGAUGUAAGGGUUAUCAACGUAAUCCAUUGCACAACAAAAUCUAGAAAUCCAUCAGAAAAUUGAAUGAAAUCCCAAAGGGUUUUUGUUUGAUUAAUUCUUGAAUGAUUGUCAUUGACACAUCCAGAUGACUUAAAUAAAGAUUACAAAUGUUUGGAACAACUCAAAUGACUUCUAAUAAUUACAACAACAUUAGUUAAACAUUAAUCGGACUACAAACGAAGAGUCCGAUUUUUAUUUCGAAACUUUAAACGCUAUUUUGAAGGUUGAAAUGAACCCAGAUGACCAAAAUCCAUCAAACAUCGAGGCCUAAGCAGUGUGUUGGACUUGUGGCACCAUUGUUUUUUUGGAAAGUUAUCACGGGCCAAAUCGAGUCUUGAAUAUUCAAAUAUUACUGUCCCUUUAUCUUUCCACGGUUCAUUUCCUAUUCUACAUCAAUGGACGACUCAAGGGUCCUCCCUUUGAUAGUCCAAUUAGAAACAUAAGCAUAUAUUGACCCAAAAGGAAGAAAGAAACAGAAGCAUAUAAUUAUUGUCCAAACCCCUGCAAGCUAAAGUCUAUAAAUCUUGCCUUCCCUUUGCACUAUCAUUCAUCUCCACGUUGUGGUGAAAGGAUUUUCGAAGUUAUUGUUUCUGCUUCCGAAGAUGAAUGGUUCUUCAGCAAAGCUGGUGGCAAUUACAACACUAGUGUUGCUUCUAAUGGGGGAUUUCCAAGUAACUUGUGGACCACUGCCUCAUGGUAUAAUAAUAAUUAUCUUCCUUUUAUAAGAUAUCCAAGCAUUAGUAUUAGCUACUUAAAUCGACUUAGUUUUUACCAAUUUUAUUAUUUGGUAACUAAUUUCUUGCUUCUUGUGAUUUUCUCAUGUAAUUGAACAAGGUUGCUUUGAAUGCCAAAGUGAUAUUUUGAGCACGAAAGUGGUGCCCGAUCGCCGCAGUCUAAGACCAUUCAAAAGGCCGCCACCUCCACCUGCUCGCAAUCCGCGAUGGAUUUGGAGUGUCCCCCCAACUCCAAAUCAACUGCAAUCGCAUAUCCACCGAUCCUCCCCACCAACUCCAGAAACUCCAAAUAAGGCUUGACACACCCACCCCACCACACCCCCCGGGGGGGGGGGGCGGCAAACCCCUGAGGAACAUCCGGGGGACCGCAUAGUUCCUAUUUUCUUGUAUUUUUAUUUGUUUUCUUAAGAAGAGUCAAGUUUAUCUCUUUAUUGUAUUUUUUUACCUUAUUAUUUCUUCUUAUAUAAUGAGCUAAACUUUAUGUCCCCUUAACUAAAUGCAACUUCUUUUUUCUAAUUCUAUAAAAUUUCUCUUAUGCAGUCGAGGUUUCUUUAAAAAAAAUGGAACAAACCAACCAACCAACCAACCAACCAUGAAACUAAGAAACAGAAAAUUAAGCCAUAAUAUUCAAGCAAGAUGACCGAUAGAUAUAAUUGAAUUCUAUUAACAUUCAUCAAUGCAAUUGAAUAAUAAAAUAAAAAAAUUGAAUUCAAAGAACGUCAAAUUUCAACCAAAGAGAAAAAAGGACACAUCCAAUUUAUUAAGCAAAGAUUUCAAUCGAUAGGUGAUGAGUCGAUAUUAUUCUAUAUUUUUACCCUAAUCUUAGUUAUAACUAGAAAAUACGCCCGAGCGUUGCUGCGGGAACCAGCUGUUUCAGGCGUAAUCGGAUGAAUAAAACACAUUUAAAUUGAAUAAGAAUGUCCCCAUGAUUAGUUUCUCGUUUAUUUUUCACAAACCAAACACAUUUAAAAUCCAAGUACGAAAGCUUUGCAAAGAUAAAUAAACAUGCAAUUAGGGCACAUAAUCGUAUACCUAAAAAUAGCAAGGAACCAACUUCUUCCUCCCACAACCAGAGUUCCUGAAAUUUCCAAAGAAAGUAAAUCCGUUGGCAAUUCAGAGAAAUUGGAGGACCAAAUCGUAUUAAAUUUGAGAUAAAUGUGCAAAGGUACACCUAUUAAAUGAGAUACUAAACACAUUUCGAAUCUGUGAAAUAGAAGAACAAGCAUGUUAAGACUCCCAAGAUGGUUUGUUGAGCACAAUAAUAUAGGUUAAUAAAGGUAAAUCCCAAUCCAAAUCUCCAACCUUUUAACCCAAAAUGAAAACAAAAAGCAUGGAACAUAUAUUUCAGUUUUAUUAUUAGAUUUUCUAAAUCCUCAAUUUGAAUGUGUUGUAAAGAUAAUACCAUCAACUAAGGGUGGCAAUCUGACCAUCGUUGUGCAUGUCAUGUCGGCUCUAUGCAACUGAAUAUAUAAAAUUUAAGCAGCCCCAGACAGUCUCCUAAGCAUCUACAAACCGUUAACAUUAUUUCCCCAAUCUUAUUUCCCAAUUUUAUUAAAUGUUGCAGAAACGAUCACAAUUUACUCCCUUCCGAUUUCCACCUAACUCCGAACAAACAAUAUUGAUAAAUCUUUAUCAUCACCCUUAACAAAACAAAUUAUAGCGAAAAGAAAAAAAAAUUCCUAUGAAAACAAAUUCUUCUGGAUGUCCAGCUCUACCCAUCUAUGGGAAGGCAAGCAAUCGGACGUACAUUCAGACCAAGCAAAAUAAAUUUUACAAUUUAUCAAAACAGCAACCGAUUCUCCCGAAUAGAACACACACAUAGCAACAUAUUAUUCACCAUAUUCUAUGCUUUCAUUUUCGUUCUCUCUUUAGUUAUCUAAACUUAUAAUUAUCAAAACAACAAUAGAAUCAUAGAGAAACCUUCAAUCAUUUAUCAAAACUGAAUUAAUUAAACUUCUGCUCAGCAGUCCGUUAAUUUUAAUUGCAACUCAUUCUAAAAAUUAAAAAAAUUGCAUUUGAAUAAUCAAAUGCACUUACACAUUACAUUCCUUUUAUUGGUUCUUGACACAAUACAUUUUAGGAUUGAUGUUACAAUAAUAUCACUGCAAACUUGCACACAAAUGUUUGACUGAAUUCAGAACCACUUAAUUCAAUAUAAAAAAUUACCUCACAUGCUUGCUCCCCUUUUUCUCUCGCAUCGUCGGCUCCGCUUCUAAACGGUUAAUGAAGUCCUAAAAACAGAAAAACAAAAAACAUUUACCAAUCCAACAUUUCAACAUAUGGUUUUGGCAGGUAUAACAUUUCAACAUAAGCAUGAUAUAGAAAGACAGAAAUCCACAUGUCAGUUUGCUUUUUCAGAACCAACAGAAAGGGCAACUACAAGAGAAUGUAACCAAUUUUAAACAGUAAAUCAAUCUCCCAAUAAAGGAGAACAUAAGCAUGACAUACAACGAUCGAAGGGAAAAUUUAAUUUGGUUUCCUCAAAAGCAACGCAAAUCAAAUUGAACAAAGUGAAAACCGGAUAGACAAAGAUUAGAAAUUUGCUUGCAUCUCUAUCAUAUCCCGCAUUUCCUUUACAAAAUAAACAAUCAUGAAUACAGAGCACAUGAAAAUCAGCAAACCAAAAAAACCCUAUUUUUUAUCAUGUCGAACAAUCACGAAUGUAGAAAAUUAUACAAAACAGUCCCUAAUUUUGACUACGGACUUUAUAUACACAACGGCCUAAAACAACACAAAAUUUAAUCAAUUCCAUCCAAAUUCAAUAUUAUGCAUCAAAGAAAACAAUCUAUCUAUUCCUAAACCAAAAUGAUCACACAAGACAAAUUUUCCAAAUUCCGAAACAGCAAUUCAAUCUGUCAAUUCCUAAACAAAUUCUCAUAAUAACAAUCCCAACUUUAUUAUUGACAAUAUACCUUCAUCGUGCACUGAAAGAUGCCAAAUUCUAUUACCAAGGAGAACAAACUUUUUCUAAUGUUUAGGCAUGGGUGGCAUGUCUGAGCAUCUGUGCAAUCCACACACACACACACAUAUUACCACUUAUAUACAUAUAUAUUUUAUCACUGAUUGAAUAUAGCAAGGCUAGUCAGAAGGUAAAGCUAAAAGCAAUGAAGAUCAAAGAACAUUGAGAUGCACUCUGAAAGUAAGAGUUAUAGUAAAAUCCAUGCUAAAAUAAACAGCAGAUAAUCACAUGAAUUUAAGCAACAAAAAAAAAAAAAAGGAACCAAAAGAAACAGAAAAGUACCUGAAGACAUUCAAGCCAUCGAAUAUAGUUUUACUGAGAAAUUGAAAGGAUUUCCGGGUUCGGGAUCGUGAAGCUUAGCAAGCAGGCAUGGCUUUCAGAAGGAUGGGUCGGAAAACUGAUUGAUUUGGACACCCGGAACUGAGCUGAGCUGAGCUGAAAUGGAGGUGGGGUGGUCAGUUGUGGGGGUGUGUGUGUGAGUGUGUGUGUGUUCAGUAGAACUGCUUUGUGCUUUUUGGCUGGUGGAUAUAGUGGACGAAACAGAGAAAUCUAGGGAGGAAACAGUGCAUUACCUGUUGAAUCAAACGCCAAAAGCAAUUGAGAGGCUUCCUAGAUCAUAAAUUUUGUCAAAGAUGUUUUCAGAAUGUAUACUAUGUGGAAUAAUGGUAAUUAAAAUUUACCUUAACACUGCCUUUAAGAAAAUUGGCUUCUUGGAGAGUUUUUGGUUCAACCUGAAUAGAAAACCAACAAAAAUUACCAUCAUCGAACAUGAAAUUGAAUCAUUACAAAAUGAAUUUAGUAGUAAGAUCAUCAAACAUGAUGCUUUCUAGACCAAAUACAUUGACAAAGUACUUGAUGGUCAAUCAUUUUUUAAAUUCCGUUUAAAAGCAAAAGUAUAAAAGUGACCUUACUCUUACUUAUCUAAACUAAGUCUUUAUAGUGAUGUUAAUACCUGUUCCAAUUAUUCUUGCUGAUUGAAGAAACAGCCUGAAGCACAUCUUUAUUGUUAGAACACAAACCACCAGGUAUGAAAUAGUGUAUUCAGUUUUCUCAUUUGCCUGAAUAAGAUAAUAUAGAACUAAGGUUAGGAAGCAUAACACAGGAGAAGAAAACUGUAAAAUCAAACAGUGGAUUUACUUUUCUUAUUUCCCCUCCACUACAGCCGCACCAUCAACACUACUAAAAUCUGGGUUUGAUGAACUUACUGGGUCCAUCUGGUAGGACAAAAAAAUUUGAAUUUACCAUUGUGGCAUGGAUGAAUGCAAAAGCAUUCCAAAAUUUUUUCCCAACUUUUAAAAUUAAUUAGUAAGAUUGUGAAUUUGACUUGAAUGGCUUCAGCUGGAGCUAAGUAAGCUUACAGUGGGUGAAUAAAAGGGUUAAAGACACUUUGCAAAAAAUAUAAAAAGGGUUAAAGACAUUGCAAUUCAGCUUCAUACCAAACAAUAGACAAAGCACGAUAGCAUGUUGCAAACUAAUUGUUCAAUCAAAUUGAAAGGAAAAGUUGCAGGACAAAGAUAUUCACCUAUCAAAGCAGCAAAUCCCACAAACCCACAUUCACAAAUACAUAUUUCACUACAAGAAAGAGACUGCACUACUCUCGUCUUAAACACAAACCUCUUCAUCAACUAUCACAAAUAAGCCAUUGUAAGGACUAUUUCCACAUCACAAUAAAAAUAAAGUACAUGAAGUAAAGCUCAUAUUUUUAGCAGAGGUAUUUUAACAAUUCUGCAAGUGAUUGAUUGGCCAGGUAGGGAGAGUAAUUCUCUUAGCCCCACUGCAUCCCGGGUUCAAAGUUCUAACCAACCCCUGUCCCCUUGGUGUAGUUUUCAGGAUAAAUACCACGUUUUAAUAACUAAAAACAUCAAUUCUGAUCAUCCCUACCAGUUUAAGCACGCUAAACACCAAAUUUAAUAUGGUCUUGUCUUAGGUCACCCAACCCCUUAUACAAAACCCAAGAUUAAGUUCCUAACGGAAACAUUACCUGUUUUAGAUUUUCCCAUAGCUGGCUGUACAACAACACACAUCACGACAAUUCCUCAACCAAUCCAACCAAAGGUAAUUUACACUGACCCACUGUCAUGUUGUUCUCCAAAAUCUUGCCAAAACUCAUCAGUUCCCCUUCAUUCGGCAUCAUCUGCGUCAGUCUUGCCUACAAAACAAUCAAAACGCCAGAAUAAAAAACAAAUUCUUUCAGAAAAAUCAAAGAAAUUCAAUCAGGUCAUCAAUCAAUUAAGUACCUAAUUCCCCUGGAUGUCUUGAAUAAAUAUAACACUCCAACAUAAAUUAACUACCCAAUAUUAAUUUUUCCUGUUUCUUUCUUAUUCUCGGGAAAGAAACAAACCCAAAAACAAAUAAUUGAAGAAAACAUACAGAAAAUAUUGGGGAGGAGUAACAUACAAUCUGCUGAAUUCUUCUUCGCUUUGCAGAUAAGAGAUGGUGGCCGAACUAAACUGCGAAAAAGAGAGAUUCAGAGUAAGAAUUUGAGGUGAAAACAAAUGGACACAGGGAAAUGAACUUAACCUGCGACGACAUAAUGGAUUUAAUCUAUGACAGUGCAGUGCACUUAAUCUGUGGCAGAUUCACACACAAACAAAAAUGCAUUUAGACUUAAUUUUAAAAAAAAAAUGCACUACAUAAACACCACCAUUGAGCUACUCAACACUACAAUUUUCUUUUCCUUUUCCCCCAUUUUUCUCAGCCACCAACCAAAGGGUAAGCUUCAAAAUGUCAAUUUUCAUUUCCUUUCCUACACCUGCCCUAAGCAUCCCUAAAAUGACAUAUAUAAACUCAAGCUUUGAUAGUUAAAUGUUAAGGAUCAGCAAUGAUCAUAUUGACCCUUUUUAAAUAAGUUUAUCAAACCUCAGCUAUAAACUGGGACAUCAUGUACUUAAACAGCUCCGGUUCUGUAAAUCGGACUUCUUGAAGAAUGUAGUGGAUCUACAAUAACAUUACAUGAACCUUUAUCUAUUAUCUGCCAAACCACUCAUUGAGCACCAAAAGAAAUGGUGAUAUUAAUAUAGAAGAUAAGGAUAAAAAAAAAUAGUGAGUAAUGACACGCCAAUUACAUGUCCAGACACCUCCCCCCGUGCGAAAGCAAGUAAAAGUGAAACUAUAAUAUAGGUUUCUUUGUGAAAAGAACUUGUAUAAACAUAGGCAUCUUCAAUUAAUUUAAAUAAGCAAGAGAUGGGUGAACUGGGCUGGUAGGAUCAGCAGCUUAGUUUUCAUUUACAUUCAAUUCAGCUGACAUCAAGACCCAUUGUACAAUUAACUGGAUGACCUUAAACGUUUCUGAUCACAAAAGUUGUGAUCGCCAAAAAUACUGUGUUUGUAUAAGAAACAGAAGCAGCAAUCGACAUGCAGAUCUUCAAAAGAAUACUAAAAAAUAAAGGAAUAACAAACAACAUUUGAGUUUCCAUGUCCCAUUUGACCAAAAAUCUAAGGACGUGCUUAAUGUAAAAGAGAUUUUUCGGACCAACUUACAAAAUACUUGGAUGAACUAAUAAAUCCCAGUUUUGGGAGUAAAAGAUAUGAAUUCACAUUUAACAAUUGUAACAUAUAUUGCAUGUACCAGAAAUCAUUUUAAUUAAUUUCCAGAGAGGGUUUAGGGUAUGUAGAAAUGGAAACAGUUGUUAACAAACACUGUAGCUUCAAAAGAAUACCAAAAAAAAAUAAAAAUAAAGGAAUAACAAACAGCAUUCGAGGUACAUCACAAAUGAAACUGGCCUCUCACCGUGAGACUUCUUUUUCUCUCAACCGACUCUUCUCUUUUGGCUUCACUGAAAAUACCAAAAAAAAAAAAUGAGAUUUUAGAAAUAUUUUGAAUCCAACACACACUAAACUCUGAUAACGAUAUACCUUAGUAUACCUACUACAACAUACUAUGACCAACUUCAUUUGUCAUUCCUUUCAAACCCAAAAUAAUAAAAUUCGGGAAGACUUACCUUUCACUUUGUUGAUGCACAAAAUCCCGUGGAUCUUGCGGGUAACGUCACACAUAGAUCAUAUAAAUAUACAAUAAUGUAGUACGCCUAGUGAAAUGUGUAUGUGACUAUAAUUUAAUGAAAUUUAAUAAUGUAACAUAGAAUGCAUGUGGUGUGGUUGCCAUAGAUUAAUCUCCUUAGUGGGUUUUCCCAAACUGACCGUGAGACAGUGGAUAAUCAAAUGAAGGCUAGUCCAAAGUUUUAUUCUAAUAUUUAAAUAAUGAAUAAAAUAUUCACAAAAUGAUUAAAGUUAUAUCAUUUUAAAAGGAAGUGGCGACAAUAUCAAAGGGUAAUAAUACUAAAGUUAUGAUAUGAAUGAUUAUGGUUUGAGAUAUGCUGUGUUUCUGGUCAACAUAAUAUUAAAAUAAUAAACAAUGAGCUGGAAAUGAUGAUAACAGUGCUCUUAUCCGUUAUCAUCAUUUCUGAGUUUUUCCAUGGGUUUGACAGUGGGAUAGUGGGUUGUAUUCGUCCCCUUCAUGAUGAAAGUUUCAUCAUAACAUUUAAAUAAUAAAGGUAGUUUAAAUAAUGAAUGUAGUGGUCAUGAAUGAUUAAAGAUAAAUAAUAAAAUAUUAAAUAAACAGUGAUAAUAUUAAACAAAUCAUUUGAGAAAAGAUAAAGUUCUUAUCUUCUUCCAUGUUCUCCUGUGGGUUGGGCAUGAUCAACAGUUGCAGGAUGCAUGACCUGCUCGCGACAAGUUUGUUAGUGCCGACACUAAUUUUUUGACGAGUUAUCUAGCGACAGCAUCGCUUUGGUUGAGUAGUGAUGACAGUUUUGAGUCCCCCAGAAGUAAACUGCAUGGUUCCAGUAGAGCCGCCACGCAACGAGCACCUCUUCCAGCCAAGCAAUCGCCUCGUCAAGAGCAUUGCCUCUAGUCGAGCAGCCUCGCAACGUGUGCUACCUCUAGCCAAGUAUUGCUUGACGUUAAGCACCAUCUCAUGUCGAGUACUAGUUCUGGACGACAUCUAGUCACUUUGGCCUGCCCAUGGAUUGGAUUUGAAGUCUCCAGCCAAAAGACUCUUGACUGAAGACUUAGGUGACUCCUGUUGUACCAUAUAUUGGGCCUCGAUACAUGGGCUUCAUUACUGAGCCCAUAAUUUAUGUAAGAGAAGGAAACCCUUAUUCUAUAAAAGGGAUCCUCCUCACCUUCACUGAAGGGGGACUCAAGAAGAGACAGAGGGGAAAGGAGAGAGCAAACACUACCUCUGUCGCCUCCAUGUAUAUCCAACAUUCAUUUACACAGUGAAACGAAAUCAACGUCAGUGUGGACGUAGCCUCAACUUGAGGUGAACCACGAUAUAUCUUUGUGUUCUUGUACAUUUGUGUGAUUCACAGUCGGUUUUACGGUGGUCGAAGAUCGAUCCGAUUUUGUGCAUCAACAUUUGGCGCCGUUUGUGGGAAUCGAUACGAAAUGCUAUGUAGGAAACCCUUAUUCUAUAAAAGGGAUCCUCUUCACCUUUACUAAGGGGGGACUCAAGAAGAGAGAAAGAGAAAACAAGAGAGCAGACACUGCCUCUAGUGUCUCCAUGUAUAUUCAACAUUCAUUUACAUAGUGAAACGGAAUCAACACCAGUGUAGACGUAGCCUCAACUUGAGGUGAACCACGAUAUAUCUUUGUGUUCUUGUGCGUUUGUGUGAUUCACGGUCGGAUUUACGUUGGUCCAAGAUCCACCGGAUUUUGUGCAUCAACAUUUGGCGCCGUCUGUGGGAAUCGAUACGAAAAGCUAUGUAGAUUCUCUCUACUUUUUUCAUCAAACCUCACAACCUCCACCGUGAAUCUGCAGAAACCUAAGAACCAAACACCUGUACAGUCACUGCAAAACCCAUGUCUUCCGCUCCAGCUCCCGAUCAUGGCAGCAGCAAUGGAAACACAAUCACAGCCUCUCUCUCUUUGUGCGCAGUUGUUGAAGCUCGAAGACGCAACAAUGGCGACGAGGUUGAUACGGAGGGCCAUAGCUUCUGCGGUGGCGUCGGGAUCAACGACGACGGCGUCGUUUCGUUACGCCUGUGUCCGGGCUAUGGCGUCGGAGGCCCAGGCCCAGCAGGUGGACCUCAAAGUCCCGAGACAAAAUGAACAUCAAAACAUUCUCAAUCUACCGGUGGAACCCGGACAACCCGAAAAAGCUGGAGCUCAAGGAGUACGAGAUCAACCUCAAGGAGUGCGGGCCCAUAGUGCUUGACGCCCUCACCAAGAUCAAGAACGAGAUGGACCCCACCCUCACCUUUUGAAGAUCUUCCCGGGAAGGGAUCUGCGGCUCCUGUGCCAUGAACAUCGACGGUUGCAAUGGCCUGGCCUGCCUGACGAAGACACAGUUCAUGGAUUUUUUUUAUCUGCUGGAGCCAUGCAGUUUACUUCUGGGGGACUCAAAACUGUCAUCACUUCUCAACCCAAGCGAUGCCGACGCUGGAUAACUCGUCUAAAAAUCAGUGUCAGCGCUUGCCGCGAGCAGGUCAUGCAUCCUGCAACUGUCGGUCAUGCUCAACCCACGGGAGAACAUGGAAGAAGAUAAGAACUUUAUCUUUUCUCAAAUGAUUUGUUUAAUAUUAUCACUGUUUAUUUAAUAUUUUAUUAUUUAUCUUUAAUCAUUCCUGACCACUACAUUCAUUAUUUAAACUACCUUUAUUAUUUAAAUGUUAUGGUGAAAUUUUCAUCAUGAAGAGGACGAGUACAACCCACUAUCCCACUGACAAACCUACGAAAAAACUCACAAAUGAGAUAAAAGUAUUGUUAUCAUCCUUUCCAGCUCAUUGUUUAUUAUUUUAAUAUUAUGUUGACCAGAAACACAUCACAUCUCAAAUCAUAAUCAUUCCUAUCAUAACUUUAGUAUUAUUACCCUUUGAUAUUGUCGGUCACCUCCUUUUAAAAUGCUAUAACUUUAAUCAUUUUUUAGAAUAUUUUAUUCAUUAUUUAAAUAUUAGAAUAAAAUUUUGGGCUAGCCUUUAUUUGAUUACCCACUGUCUCACUGUCAGUUUGGAAAAACCCACUAAGGAGAUAAAUCCAUGGCAACCACACCACACGCAUUCUAUGUUACAUUAUUAAAUUUCAUUAAAUUAUAUUGUCAUACACAUUUCACUAGGCAUACUACAUUAUUGUAUGUUUAUAUGAUCUAUGUGUGAUGUUACCCGCAAUAUGCACACUUUAAUGAUUGAUUGCUUGUAUACGAUACUCAUACAAUUUAUUGAUUAAACAAGGACCAAAAUUAUGGUGGUCAACACUAUGGAUCAGCCUAUGGAUCACUGAGCCACAUGCUUAUGGUGACAAAGAUUUAGUUCGAAUGAUGAUUUCUUGUCUGACAAGACACUCACUUGCUCAGACACUUGCUUAUUUGGACACCUAUGUGCCUGAACACCCGUGAGCUUGGAUACCCAUUCGUUUGGGCACCUACGAAAUUGAACACCCUUGAGCUCGAACCUCGACUCACGGACCCAACUUAUGAACCCAACUCAAAGACCCUACAGAUGGCCGCGACUCGAUGACCCUACGUAUGGCCCCGACUUAAAGACCCGACUUGUGGACCCGAUCCGUGGAUCCGACACAGACCCAUAUACAAACCCACAAAGCGGAUCCGAGUCAUAUCGAGAAUUAACUCAUAAUGAGCUCACAUUGACGUCGAGUACAUACUCGCGACGAAGAACGCCACAAACCGAGCCGCCUUGCAACGAGCACUGCCUCCAGCCGAGCAACCGCCUCGUCGAGAGCGUUGCCUCUAGCCGAGCAGCCUCGCAACGUGUGCUACCUCUAGUUGAAUAUUACUUGACGUUAAGCACCGUCUCAUGUCGAGUAUUUAUUCUGGACGACAUUUAGUCACUUCGGCCCGUACAUGGAUUGGAUUUGAAGUCUCCAGCCAAGGCAUAGACCCAUAUACAAACCCAACAAGCGGAUCCGAGUCAUGUCGAGAAUUAACUCAUAAUGAGCUCACGCUGACGUCGAGUACAUACUCGCGAUGAAGAACGCCACAAGCCGAGCUGUCUCGCAACGAGCACCGCCUCCAGCCGAGCAACCGCCUCGCUGAGGGCAUUGCCUCUAGCCGAGCAGCCUCGCAACGUGUGCUACCUCUAACUAAGUAUUGCUUGACGUUAAGCACCGUCUCAUGUCUAGUACUAGUUCUGGACGACAUCUAGUCACUUCAGCCCGCACAUGGAUUGGAUUUGAAGUCUCCAGCCAAAAGACUCUCUUGACUGAAGACUUGGAAGACUCCUGUUGUACCAUAUAUUGGCCUCGAUAUUUGGGCCUCGAUACAUGUGCUUCAUUACUGAGCCCAUGAUUUAUGUAAGAAGAGGAAACUCUUAUUCUAUAAAAGGGAUCCUCAUCACCUUCACUGAGGGGGGACUCAAGAAGAGAGAGAGGGAAAACAAGAGAUCAGACACUGCCUCUAGAGCCUCCAUGUAUAUUCAACAUUCAUUUGCAGAGUGAAACGGAAUCGACACCAGUGUGAACGUAGCCUCAACCUGAGGUGAACCACGAUAUAUCUUUGUGUUCUCGUGCGCUUGUGUGAUUCACGGUCGGAUUUACGCUAGUCCAAGAUCCAUCGGAUUUUGUGCAUCAACACACUUCGUCAAUGGUGGCCAAACAAAAAUCCUAAACUUUGAUCUAUUCACACUUCCCUGUCUCUCAAUUGGGCACUGAAAGCUCAACACAGGAAUUGUAGGACCCCAAAUGUACUCUCUAUGCGAAAGCUGGAUCAAACAGACAGAAUACAAUACGGAUAACUCAGUAAGAAAACACAAUAUUACAAUUUUUUACAUCUAAUGCAAGAUAACUCAGUAGGAAAACACACCAUUUUGGCUAAACCGAAGUUGAGCAGACAAUACAAAUAAGGAAAUUAUGGAUUUUAAAACAACAAAUAAAUUUUGUUCAAAAUUGACUUCUGUCAAUUCCGUCCCACCAAUCAGGACUCUUCAAGUAGGUAGUACAUUUCAAGCAGAUCCUAUGUCUGCCAUUAACUAAAAACACUCUCAAAUCACACCAGCCAGCCAUACAAAGCCACUGACCACAUCAAACAUUAGGCACGAUUCCAGUAACCAAAUUCAAAGAACAGAGUUCGGAUAACGAAAUGCAAAGAACAAGAUACAUAUAGUAAAAUUCAAGAACAUGAUUCAAAGGAUUUGAACUAUAUUGUAACUUUUAAUAAUGCAUCAAGAAUUUACGAAUGUGUUUGCUCACGUAAACAUACAUCCAUUAUCAAGAUCAAAUACAACUAACAUAUGUGAAUUUACCAAAAAGAUGUAACUGAAUAUUCUGAGAACGAAUUAACUCAAAUUCUCCUAUGGGUAAGGCUCAGGAUACAAAUAUCUACUCCAAAUAUACAAGAUUGAACAAUCAAAGUUCCCACUUAGAAAAAACAAAUAGCACCCUAAAGAAAAAGUACAAGCCACGCACAAUGGCCUUGGAAGUGCAUGUAAAAUCUUAGUUUAAUGAUAAUUUCUCAAUCUACAUAUCUAGAAACUAUCAUAAACUUGACCUUUCUCAUUGCUUUAAACUAAGAUGAAUCAGGGAACAAAAAAAACCUCACCUCAAGAGCUUUCUCUUCCUCAUAAAUAAAUUUUGAUAGCUUCCUCAUCAAGUCUUUUCGGUCGACUCCCACUAGAGCAUUGCUUAUCUGUUAAUAUAUAUGAUAUAAUACGUCAAUCAAAUACAUGCUUUCGCAAAGAUUAUGUUGUGUUUGUGCAAAUCUAAGUUUUCAAAUAAGUUAAUGCUGCUAAAUAUAUCCCAGCAUAAAGAAAAUUUGGCCUGGCCAACUUUAUACAACCUUAGAGGGAAUGCUCAUUAUUAGUAACCGACAAAUACAACAGUUUGGCCAAACAAUUAUUGGUUUGAGCCAUAUACCAUGUGACCUCAGACAUUGCUGCUCCUAUACAAUUUUACCUUUGAAUUAGAGAUCCGUCUGUUGUACACUUGUCUAAUAUUGAAUUUGCAUAAAAUUAGCCUUUCAACGUAUAUGCAAAAACAAAACACAAACGAAAAGGAGUAAAAUAACAGUCAUUUCACUACGCAAAUCGUAAGUUGUUCUUGGAGUUUCUGACAAAACAAACUAUAAAACAAAAGAAUACAAGGUGAUACCAGACUUUCCAGAUUUCAGCUUCUCUUUUCCACGACUCCAUCCAAAACUGUACCUAAUACAUGCGGGUAAGAAGAAGAUAAGGAAUACAUCCAUGCGGCUAGCUGCCAAAUUGAUGUUUUCUGGUGGCUUAAGAGAAAUCAAAACACAAGGACAGGACUAUAUUGCCUUACCUACCAUGAGGAUCUUCAAGUUCCUUCUUCACCUCUUCAGCGAGAUCCAUGAGCACUGCUAUAUCAAACUAUCCUCCUACAUUAUAUGAACUGCAGUUUCAAUGAACAUAAAAAUCCUCUUUAGAAGGUUAUUGGAAUUUCAAACAUGCAGCGUGUUGUGUAUGAAUCAAUUUAUAUAAAGAAGACAAUAAAAUUCAUAAUUUACAGAAAGGGGAGAAGAUUACCAGAAAAUUGAAGUAUUUUCCCGAGAAGUAUUUUCAAGAGAGAGAGAGAGAGAGAGAGGGAGAGAGAGGGAGAGAGAGAAAUUGACGGACCUCGAAGUUGUCCUGGAUCUUGCGGGGGUCGAGGGCUUAGCCCUAGGGGUCGGCGUCGGGGUUGGUGAGCAUAUCGGGGCGCUGAUACAUGUUGGAGAGGAGGAGGGUGGGGCUGAUGCAGGCCUUGGUGUGGAGGCCGGAGUACCCUUUGUCACUCUGCAGACUGCCCUCAACCCACUCUGAUUGAGCCCGACGGAACCCUUUCUACGAUGGUCGACACGUGCACGGUAGAAGCGGUGGCAAUUUCGUAAAUAAAUCGAAAUUUUCAAUCCGUAACAGAAAAGGCAGUGGCAAACUGGCAAUUUUAUAAAUAACUAAAAAUCCAUCUCAAAACACUGUUCAUUUGUACCGCGCCAAUUUUGAUCCUUACUUUAGAUUAAAGUAAUUUAUUUAUUAUUUUGUGAGAAUUUUGAUACUUUAUUUUAUAUUUUAAUUGUAGAACAUGUGAAUCUAUUUUGAGCAAAAAACGAUGAAAUGAAAUUUUUUUGGAGUAGAUUCAUGUGUCUUUCAAGAUAAUUGUGUCGAAGUUUCAUAAUUUAUUUCUCAGCUGUUUGACCGUAAUGAAUAAAAGAAGGUUGAUCACGCAGUGCUGGCAGUUUUACAUUUUGUUCUUGUUUGGGCCAUAAGUAAUUCAAGAUGACCUUUUUUUAGGAAAGUCCUUUUUAUAAAAUGUAGACAUUUUUAUCUUUCUAACUCCACCUAGUAGGCUUGAUUUUGAGCGGAUUCGACUAGGAAACAUGUUGAAUAUUUGGCUGCCUAGAUUAUCCAAGUUAGGAUAGAAUUGUAUUUCCUAGUUUAUUAUUUUACUUGGGUUUCCAAAUUUGUUGGGAGACCUAAUUUAGAUCAUUUGUGCACACUAUAUAUAUUUAGUUGGGUCUUUUUCUAGGGCAAAAAUGUUUUUAGACUUGGAGAUCUCGGCUUAGGAGCUUUUGACGAUUUGUUACAAAGGUGUUUUCUAUCCUUUCUUCUUAAUAAUAUUUUUGCUUUUCAAUUAUAAAUAUGUGUAACUAAUUCUUUUUACUAGGACGAGUCCACGAGUCUUAGUAUAAAUAUGUAAUUUAUUUUCAAUUUGUUUAAGGCAUAUUGCUUUGAAUUAUUAAUCAUCGUGUUUAAACUAUCUUUUUGUCUUAAUACUUGAUCACCAUUAGGAUGUUUAACCAAGUAAUUUGAUGCAACUUCUGUUGGAAUGUCAUCCUGAAAUUGAGUAGGGUUUAUUGUGAUUAAUAAUUGUAAUCUCACUUAAGACGAUUGCCACGUCGUAAGUGUUGCAUGAUUUAAAAAAAAAAAUUAUUCACAAAGCUUAAUGAGUCUUGCAUGCUCAUACUUAAUAUGAAUAUCACAUAUAGAUUGAGUGUUUCAUAUACGUUUUAGCUUGAAUGCCACAAGUAGAAUAUCCAUUAGAAAAAAUGAGUUUUAACGAAACACUCCCACUACUGCUCACUUUUAACGAAAAACCACAUUUUUACAUUUCCCAAGUAUUAUUCACUACACCUUUAUUUGUCAUUUUUCAUUAAAACUAAAUAAAAAAAAGGACUUUUCGUUAGUUUUCUUUUAGAAAAACAUAACCUUCAUGGUUUGCAUGUGUCAACUUAUACGUAAUUGGUAGAACUGCAGAUGAUUGAUUUUUUCUUCAAAACUAUUUCGAUUCUUUUAUUUUCUUUUUGCUGCCGAGUUUUUACUAAAACCAAUUUCAAUUCUUUUAUUUUCUGUUUCUUUUAUUUUUUCACAAUUUCGAAUCUUGUUUUAAAUAGUCAGCUAAGAAUAAGUUUUAAAUACAAUUUAUUUAUAUCAGUUGUGUGAGUUUUAAAUACAAAUGGUUCAUACUACAAUUACCUGUUUUCUUGCAAGUAUUUCAAUCGAUACCCACCAAAAAUAUAUAUAGGAACGCACUACCUUAUUAAUGUUCCCGGACCACCACAUCCGUCACCGUUCAAGCAUUCUGCUACUUUGACUGAGUAAUGUCACAUGGAUUUUUAUAUUAAUCGGAAGAUAAAAUUUCCCUACGUAUAAAGUACCGGGAUGUGAACGAUUAGUGUUUCCGUUUGGCUUUGGAGUCUUAAUCUCUGCAAAGCCACUAGAGCCAAAGUAAAUGAAUUGAUACGGUCGGUUUUUAUAAUUCUAGUAGUCAUAUAAGAAAUUUGGUGUAAAAUUAUAAAUGAGGAGUGAAAAAUAGGAAAUGUUGAAUCUAAAGGGCUGUUUGAUGAUUAUUUUGUUUUUUUUGUUUUUUUUUUAUUUUUAGUUUUCAUAUUUUUGAAAACUGAAAUCUUGUUUGUUUAUUACUUUCAGUUUUCAAUUUUACAAAAAAUGAAAACUGAAAACCAAAAAGUGAAAACUCAAGAUCAAAUUUUAAUAACUCAAGAAAGCAGUUUUUAAUUUUUGGGUUUUUUGUUUUUAUUUUUCUUGAAAACUAAAAACUGAAAAUAGUUACUAAUUAAGAUUUUAGUUUUUAGUUUUCUAAAAAAUGAAAAUAAGAAAUGAAAAUUGGAAAAAAAAUUGAUUAUCAAACAGUUUAUUCAUUUUUAAGUAAGCAUUUACUUUUAAUAGCGGGACAAAGUCUAGCAGCCAGUUGCUGGCUCUAAAUAACCAGCCUAUCAAUAUGUUCAAUUCCUCUUGAACAUAAUUGGACGGGUUGUGUGCAAGCUGAGUGACAUUCCUAAACCUGUAAUUGCUGGUGAAGUGUAGAUGGCAAGCAGUUAUAUGAAUAAGGUGCUUUAUCUAUAGAUAUUUUUCCAGCUCUCGCAAGAAUUGUAUGGGGUCAUCCUCAGAGGUACUUCUUCAAGGAAAAUGAUCCUCACCGAAUCCUUUUUCUAGGGAUUAUCUGUGAUCGCGACCGUUCAUCGUAUAUCGUGCAGUCAGUUUUCGUUAGGUACUAUUUAUAUUUAAUUUUAAAUUUUAAAUUCUAAAAUAAUUUCUGACUGCAUGAUGGAUGGUCCCAAUCACGGAAUCCCCAAGAAAAGGAUCUAGCGCCAUAUCCUUUUCCCUUCCCCAAUCACCUUACCGAGGAAUUCUACUGUACUCCGUAUAGGUAUUUUUGUUUACGUUGGAUUGGAAAGGGAUCCUCUUCGGAUCCCUUCCACCACAUCCUCCCCAUCAAACAAUUCGAGUCCUUGAAAUUUGGUCAAACGGUUAUAAUUAUUAUAACUUUUAAAAUGAACUCUUAUUUGUAGCAGUUUAAUCAAAUUUAAAGGAUUCAGAUUAAUUGAUAGAAAGAAUUUGGUGGAAGAGAUCAGGAGAUGAUCCCUUUCCCGUUGGACUUUAGCUGAACAUUAAUUUGGGCCCUAUUUUUAUUUCCCAUUAUUCUGUUUUGAUCGAUUACUGCAUAAAAACUAUUGGAAGAGUGAAACGCUACCGUUUCAUUUUAUAAAGUGAAAAGGUAGGGCCACAGCCCUCUUCUUAUUCGCAAGUUGCCGGAGCCCUCUGCAAGUAAACUUAUUUUUCGAAUGCAGGGGCCGUGCCUCUGCCUCUCCAAAGUUUACCAAUCGCUAUCAAGAACCAACCAAUUACAUGCUCUGUUUCUCAAAACCCAUCUCCCCCACGACCCUUUUUACGCAACUAGAUUACUCAGAUUCUAUGCAAUCAACGGAGAAGUUCGCUCCGCACGUAAAGAGUGUUCGACGAAAGUCCCCACUGGAGUGUCUACCUUUGGAACUCCAUCAUUCGAGCCCACGCUCAAGCACGCGGAUUUGAAGAUGCAUUUUCUCUGUUUGCUGAGAUGCGUAGAACUGAAAUCAAACCGGAUAACUUCACUCAUGCUUGCAUUGUACGUGCCUGCGCUGAUAGUUUUGAUUUGGAUGGACUGAAGCUUGUGCAUGUGGAGUAAUGGUUGCAGGGUUGGGAUUGGACUCCAUUUGUAGCAGUGCACUUGUUUCAGCUUACUGAAGACUCAGCCUUGUUGAUGAAGCAAUCAGGGUGUUUAAUGGGAUUCGACAGCCGGAUUUGGUUUUAUGGAAUUCGAUGAUUUCGGGUUAUGGAAGUGGCGGGUUUUGGGAUACAGGUUUGCAGCUGUUUAGUGAGAUGAGAAGCCAUGGAGCUGGUGCCGGAUGGAUACACAAUUGUUGGGUUGCUUUUGGGUUUAGCGGAUUCGAGCUUGAUAAGUAUUGGAGAGGGAAUACAUGGUCUUUGUUUGAAAUGGAAUUUAGAUUCUAAUGCUCAUGUGAGCAAUGUACUUGUGAGCAUGUAUUCGAGAUGUAUGUCUAUGAAUUCUUCACAUAGAGUUUUUAGUGGUUUGUUCGAGCCAGAUUUAGUAACACGGUCUGCUUUGAUCACUGGGUUUUCGCAGUCGGGAGAUUAUGACAAGGCAUUGUUCUUUUUCAAGAAUUUGAACAUGGAAGGUAAGAAGCCGAAUUCGGUUUUGAUUGCCAGUAUGUUGGCUGCUGCUUCUCAGAUGGCGCAUGUAGGGCCUGGUUGUGAGAUACAUGCUCAUGAUUUCCUCUGCACUUAUAGCCAUGUAUUCAAAGUGCGGCUUCUUGGGGAUGGGUACUCGUGUUUUUGAGAUCAUGCCAGAGAAGAAUAUUGUUUCGUACAAUUCUUUAAUAUUGGGUCUUGGUUUGCAUGGACUUGCCUCCGAGGCCUUUAGAAUGUUUGAUGAGAUACUCAGAAACGGAUUGAAACCUGAUGAGUCUACAUUUUCUGCUCUCCCUUGUGCAUGCUGCCAUGCUGGCCUUGUCGAAGAUGGCCGGGAAAUUUUCAGAAGAAUGAAAGAUGAGUUUUGCAUUCAAGCUAGAACGGAGCAUUAUGUUCAUAUGGUGAAACUUCUUGGGAUGGAAGGAAGAUUGGAAGAGGCUUACUAUCUAAUUUUGUCCUUGCCUGAGCCAGUGGACAGCGGCAUAUGGGGAGCCCUUUUAUUGUGCUGUGAUGUAUGUGGAAAUUUGGAGCUGGCAGAAAUUGUAGCCCGAAGGCUCUUUGAAAGUAAUUUGGAGAAAAGUGCUUACAGAGUCAUGCUUUCAAAUAUAUAUGGUGGGAUGAUGCAAAGAAGUUGAGGGAUUCCAUAACAGAAGGAAAACUGAUGAAAAUGCCCGGGCUCAACUGGAUUAAAGGUAGUGAAUUUUUGUUUGAUCAAAAUAUUACUUGUAGUAGGAUUUAAAAUUAGCGACAAAACAAGCUAUCUGUACUAGGAACAGAAUAUUUUUUAUGAGUACGGAAAUCUGACAAGGCUCUUACUCUCUGCGUUAAUCGAAUGCCAUAAAAUCUCGGAUUGGUUUUGCUUGUUUUACCUUCUGAUCUUAUAAGCAGCUCUCUAGUGAUGCAUAAAGAAGGCCAGAGGCAACUAUUAAGAUAUGAAGAUGAUAAACUGAAGGAUAUAAUAUUGUAAUUAUUAAGCUAUAAAGACGAUGAAUUGUCAAAUGCAACUGUCCGUAGCAGUGGAUUUUAUUCUGCUUUGUGAUGUUUUACUGGAAUUGAAAGUGUGUAUAGAGGUGUACAAAAGAAGAAAAGUGUGUAUGGAGUCAAUCAUAAUAUUUGAGGGCCAACUACUUGUAUAUGGAAACAACCCUAACUAUUACAGCUUUGCAUUGUCAUCCUGAAUUUAUCAGACAGCUUAAAAAUUAUCUGUUCACCCGCAUUGGCUCCUCUCCAUCCGAAGAUCUCCAAACUUUAUUAGAUCCUUAUAAUUCCUUGGUGGCAGCAAUUUGUUACGCCGUUGAUAUGGUACUAAAUGAUAUGUGGAAUGUGCCUAAUUUUGUAGUUUUCCUCUCCCCCAUCAGGUGUCAAUCGUUCUGCAUGAUCAUUCAUCAAAGGCAGCAAGUCUAACUGCUCAAGUGUAGUGAGAAACUGCAAACCUUCAGGUAACGUCUUCAGCCCGCAAGCAACAGUGCAAGUGGAGGAUAUUCAAAGGAAAAAUACAUAAACUUUUGGAUAGCGAUUUUGGACACUCAUUUUAUGUGUGUUUGCACUCAAAGGAAUGAGUGCAAGAGAUUCAAUCGAGCGUGAAAAUCACUGGCCAAGUUUUUUUCGAACAAUGUAACAAAGAUUUAAAGCCGAAUGUCAAUAGAAAAGCUGUAAUUACCAAAAAGGAUACAAUGAAGAGAGUAAAAUUGCUGAUGGAAUUGGCAACAAUAUGACCGUAAAGGGUGCUGAGGCGGACAUCAAUUACCAUAUCUAAACAUGUAUAUAUAAACCUGUCAAACAAAAUAACAACUGAUGACUUUCUAACAAAUGCAAAAUAUAACAAGAUUAAAGAAAAACUGCAAGUAGCCUAUGACCUUUAAGUCUCGAAAUCAAACUCAGUAAAAACUAAAAUUAAGGAAUGCAUAAAUCAGAAUCUAAAUCAUAUUGAUUUGGUUAUUUUGCAAGAUAAAAAGUUAUCACAAAUUCAACAAGUUAGUAAUAUAGGUGUAAAGAUAAAUUUAUAUAUUGAAUUGGGUUUGUGAGGGUAGUUUAUGUAGUAAAUUUGGGUUUAAAAAUAUAUUGAUAGCUUAAUUAAAAAGUUAUGUGGAAAGAGAGAUUAUAUGAAUUCAAAUAAAAUUUUCCUGAUGAAAAUGUUCGUAAGAGCUGGAACCCAUUAUCCACGAUUCCACAAUGGAAGAAAAUGAUCAUAAGAGCAGGAACCCAUUAUCCACGAUUCCACGGUAAAAGACUUGUCAACCUUUUGAAAGUCCAAUUAGAAACUCUAAUCCAAACCCCUGCAAAUAAGUUAGGGUGACUUGAGAAAACUUAAAACAAAAAUACGUAGAGUGUGAACCAAGGUUCAUAGGCAGAUCAAAGUCAAAUCAAAGUCUAUAAAUCUUGCUUACCCUUUGCACUAUCAUUCAUCUCCACCUUCACCCAUAAAGAAUAAAUUAAGGAAGCAAUUUGUUCCGGCACCGCCGCUGGGGGAUUGAAAUUUGGGGGCCGAAGCGAUCGCAAAAUGGAGCCCUACAUAUGAUCAACCGUCAUAAAAAGUUUCUAAUUUCUUUGUUUUUUUUCUCACUUUAUUCUCGCAGAUAAUUAACUUAGAAAAGACUUUAUUCGUAGAUAAUUAACCAAGAAAAAAUUAUGCAAAUGACAUAUUGGUAAAAAAAGGACUCUCGUAUUGAGGAGUCUUACGCGACUUGUGACGAGUUACUUGUCACACUACACAUGGGUGAUUGUACUAAAUUGAGGUGUAUGGUAUAUAGAAAUUCUAAUUUGUAAUCAAGUUUUAAUUUCAAUGACGUUAAAGUUUAAUAAAAAAUUGUCAUGUGUUUAAAAUUACACUAUUUUCAAUAAACAAAUGAAUAAUCUCUUGUAUGGUAGAGAAUAAAUGAAAAGAGUGGAUGACGCAGAAUAAAGCGAUGUAAGGGUUAUCAACGUAAUCCAUUGCACAACAAAAUCUAGAAAUCCAUCAGAAAAUUGAAUGAAAUCCCAAAGGGUUUUUGUUUGAUUAAUUCUUGAAUGAUUGUCAUUGAUACAUCCAGAUGACUUAAAUAAAGAUUACAAAUGUUUGGAACAACUCAAAUGACUUCUAAUAAUUACAACAACAUUAGUUAAACAUUAAUCGGACUACAAAUAAAGAGUCCGAUUUUUAUUUCGAAACUUUAAACGCUAUUUUGGAGGCUGAAAUUACCCCGGACGGCCAAAAUCCAUCAUACAUAAAAAACUAAGUAGUGUGUUGGACUUGUGGCAUCAUUUUCUUUCUGGAAAUUUAUUACGGGCCCAAAUCGAAUCUCAAAUAUUCAAAUUUCCUCUUUGGUUCAUUCUGCCAUUUAUUCUACAUCAGCGAACGACUCAAGGGUCCUCCCUUUGAUAGUCCAAGUAGAAACAUAAGCAUAUAUUGACCCAAAAAAACAGAAAGAAACAGAAGCAUAUAAUUAUUGUCCAAACCCCUGCAAGUUACGGUCUAUAAAUCUUGCUUUCCCUUUGCACUAUCAUUCAUCUCCAAGUUGUGGUGAAAGGAUUUUCGAGGUUAUUGUUUCUGCUUCCGAAGAUGAAUGGUUCUUCAGCAAAGCUGGCGGCAAUUACAGCAAUAGUGUUGCUUCUGAUGGGGGAUUUCCAAGCAACUUGUGGACUACUUCCUCAUGGUAUAACUAAUAAUUAUCUUCUUUUUAUGAGAUCUCCAAACAUUAGCAUUAGUAUUAGCUACUUAUAUCGACUUAGUUUUUACCAAUUUUAUUAUUUGGUAACUAAUUUAUUGCUUCUUUUGAUUUUCUCAUAUAAUUGAACAAGGUUGCUUUGAAUGUCAAAGUGAUAUUUUAAGCUCCAAAGUGGUGCCCAUCCGCCGCAGCCUAAGAAGACCAUUCAAUAGCCCGCCAUCUCCACCUGAUCCCAAUCAGCAAUCGUGGUGGCAGACCCCACCCUUCUAGAAACUCCAAAUCAACCGCAAUUGCAUAUCCACCAGCAAUCGUGGUGGCAGACCCCACCCCUCUAGAAACUCCAAAUCAACCGCAAUUGCAUAUCCACCGACCCUUCCCCCACCCUCCCCCCCCCCCCCCCAGACCCACCCCUCUAGAAACUCCAAAUCAAACCGCAAUUGCAUAUCCACGACCCCUCCCCCCCCCCCCCCAAAAAAAAAAUAAACCUCAGAAACUCCAAAUAAGGCUUGACCUACCCCCACACCCCCUCCCCCCAAAAACGCCCCUGCAGCAGAACCCUGAGGAACAUCCGGGGGACCGCAUCGUUCCUAUUUUCUUGUAUUUUUAUUUGUUUUCUUAAGAGUCAAGUUUAUAUUCCCCGCUCUUUUAUUGUAUUUUUUACUUUAUUAUUUCUUCUUAUAUUAUGAGCUAAACUUUAUGUCCCCUUAACAAGUGCAACUUCUUUUUCUAAUUCUAUAUAAUUUCUCUUAUGCAGUCAAGGUUUCUUUAAAAAAAAUGGAACAAACCAACCAACCAACCUUGAAACUAAGAAACAGAAAAUUAAGCCAUAAUAUUCAAGCAAGAUGACCGAUAGAUAUAAUUGAAUUCUAUUAACAUUCAUCAAUGCAAUUGAAUAAUAAAAUAAAAAAAUUGAAUUCAAAGAACGUCAAAUUUCAACCAAAGAGAAAAAAGGACACAUCCAAUUUAUGAAGCAAAGAUUUCAAUCGAUAGGUGAUGAGUCGAUAUUAUUCUAUAUUUUUACCCUAAUCUUAGUUAUAACUAGAAAAUACGCCCGAGCGUUGCUGCGGGAACCAGCUGUUUCAGGCGUAAUCGGAUGAAUAAAACACAUUUAAGUUGAAUAAGAAUGUCCCCAUGAUUAGUUUUCUCGUUUAUUUUUCACAAACCAAACACAUUUAAAAUCCAAGUACGAAAGCUUUGCAAAGAUAAAUAAACAUGCAAUCAGGGCACAUAAUCGUAUACCUAAAAAUAGUAAGGAACCAGCUUCUUCCUCCCACAACCAGAGUUCCUGAAAUUUCCAAAGAAAGUAAAUCCGUUGGCAAUUCAGAGAAAUUGGAGGACCAAAUCGUAUUAAAUUUGAGAUAAAUGUGCAAAGGUACACCUAUUAAAUGAGAUACUAAACACAUUUCGAAUCUGUGAAAUAGAAGAACAAGCAUGUUAAGACUCCCAAGAUGGUGUGUUGAGCACAAUAUUAUAGGUUAAUAAAGGUAAAUCCCAAUCCAAAUCUCCAACCUUUUAACCCAAAAUGAAAACAAAAAGCAUGGAACAUAUAUUUCAGUUUUAUUAUUAGAUUUUCUAAAUCCUCAAUUUGAAUAUGUUGUAAAGAUAAUACCAUCAACUAAGGGUGGCAAUCUGACCAUCGUUGUGCAUGUCAUGUCGGCUCUAUGCAACUGAAUAUAUAAAAUUUAAGCAGCCCCAGACAGUCUCCUAAGCAUCUACAAACCGUUAACAUUAUUUCCCCAAUCUUAUUUCCCAAUUUUAUCAAAUGCUGCAGAAACGAUCACAAUUUACUCCCUUCCAAUUUCCACCUAACUCUGAACAAACAAUAUUGAUAAAUCUUUAUCAUCACCCUUAACAAAACAAAUUAUAGCGAAAAGAAAAAAAAAAUUCCUAUGCAAACAAAUUCUUCUGGAUGUCCAGCUCUACCCAUCUAUGGGAAGGCAAGCAAUCGGACGUACUUUCAGACCAAGCAAAAUAAAUUUUACAAUUUAUCAAAACAGCAACCAAUUCUCCCGAAUUGAAUGCUAUCACUCAUUUUUUAACACAAUACAUUUUAGGAUUGAUGUUACAAUAAUAUCACUGCAAACUUGCACACAAAUGUUUGACUGAAUUCAGAACCACUUAAUUCAAUAUAAAAAAUUACCUCACAUGCUUGCUCCCCUUCUGCUCUCGCAUCGUCGGCUCCGCUUCUAAAUGGUUAAUGAAGUCCUAAAAACAGAACAACAAAAAACAUUUACCAAUCCAACAUUUCAACAUAUGGUUUUGGCAGGUAUAACAUUUCAACAUAAGCAUGAUAUAGAAAGACAGAAAUCCACAUGUCAGUUUGCUUUUUCAGAACCAACAGAAAGGGCAACUACAAGAGAAUGUAACCAAUUUUAAACAGUAAAUCAGUCUCCCAAUAAAGGAGAACAUAAGCAUGACAUACAACGAUCGAAGGGCAAAUUUAAUUUGGUUUCCUCAAAAGCAACGCAAAGAAGGAUAAAUCAGAUCAAAUUGAACAAAGUGAAAACCGGAUAGACAAAGAUUAGAAAUUUGCUUGCAUCUCUAUCAUAUCCCGCAUUUCCUUUACAAAAUAAACAAUCAUGAAUACAGAGCACAUGAAAAUCAGCAAACCAAAAAAACCCUAUUUUUUAUCAUGUCGAACAAUCACGAAUGUAGAAAAUUAUACAAAACAGUCCCUAAUUUUGACUAAGGACUUAAUAUACACAACGGACUAAAACAACACAAAAUUUAAUCAAUUCCAUCCAAAUUCAAUAUUAUGCAUCAAAGAAAACAAUCUAUCUAUUCCUAAACCAAAAUGAUCACACAAAAGACAGAAAUUUUCCAAAUUCCGAAACAGCAAUUCAAUCUCUCAAUUCCUAAACAAAUUCUCAUAAUAACAAUCCCAACUUUAUUAUUGACAAUAUACCUUCAUCGUGCACUGAAAGAUGCCAAAUUCUAUUACCAACUAAGGAGAACAAACCUUUUCUAAUGUUAGGCAUGGGUGGCAUGUCUGAGCAUCUGUGCAAUCCACACACACACACACACACAAACAUAUUACCACUUAUAUACAUAUAUAUUUUAUCACUGAUUGAAUAUAGCAAGGCUAGUCAGAAGGUAAAGCUAAAAGCAAUGAAGAUCAAAGAAUAUUGAGAUGCACUCUGAAAGUAAGAGUGAUAGUAAAAUCCAUGCUAAAAUAAACAGCAGAUAAUCACAUGAAUUUAAGCAACAAAAAAAAAAAAAAAAAGGAACCAAAAGAAACAGAAAAGUACCUAAAGACAUUCAAGCCAUCGAAUAUAGUUUUACUGAGAAAUUGAAAGGAUUUCCGGGUUCGGGAUUGUGAAGCUUAGCAAGCAGGCAUGGCUUUCAGAAGGAUGGGUUGGAAAACUGAUUGAUUUGGACACCCGGAACUGAGCUGAGCUGAGCUGAAAUGGAGGUGGGGUGGUCAGUUGUGGGGGUGUGUGUGUGAGUGUGUGUGUGUUCAGUGGAACUGCUUUUGUGCUUUUUGGCUGGUGGAUAUAGUAGACGAAACAGAGAAAUCUAGGGAGGAAACAGUGCAUUACCUGUUGAAUCAAAUGCCAAAAGCUAUUGAGAGGCUUCCUAGAUCAUAAAUUUUGUCAAAGAUGUUUUCAGAAUGUAUACCAUGUGGAAUAAUGGAAAUUAAAAUUUACCUUAACACUGCCUUUAAGAAAAUUGGCAUCUUGGAGAGUUUUUGGUUCAACCUGAAUAGAAAACCAACAAAAAUUACCAUCAUCGAACAUGAAAUUGAAUCAUUACAAAAUGAAUUUAGUAGUAAGAUCAUCGAACAUGAUGCUUUCUAGACCAAAUACUUUGACAAAGUACUUGAUGGUCAAUCAUUUUUUAAAUUCCGUUUAAAAGCAAAAGUAUAAAAGUGACCUUAGUUAGGGGUGAGGAUCGGAGAUCAAGAAAUACCAAAGAGCGACCGUUUCGUUACCUAGGAUCUAUCUUGCAAAAGAACGGAGAAUUAGAUGGAGAUCUCAACCAUAGAAUACAAGCUGGAUGGAUGAAGUGGAAGAGUGCAUCCGGCGUGUUGUGUGACCGCCGUAUGCCACUGAAGCUCAAGGGAAAAUUUUAUAGGACGGCAAUAAGGCCGGCGAUGCUGUAUGGCACAGAAUGUUGGGCGGUGAAGCAUCAACACGUACACAAAAUGGGUGUAGCGGAGAUGAGGAUGCUUCGUUGGAUGUGUGGGCACACGAGAAAGGAUAAGAUUAGGAAUGAGGAUAUCCGGGGUAAAGUAGGAGUAGCCGAAAUUGAAGGAAAGAUGAGAGAAAAUCGGUUACGGUGGUUUGGACAUGUGCAAAGAAGGCCUACUGACGCUCCGAUUAGAAGAUGCGACUAUGGGACAGAGGUUCAGGGCCGAAGGGGCAGAGGAAGACCUAGGAAAACUUUGGAAGAGACCCUAAGAAAAGACUUAGAGUACUUGAAUCUAACGGAGGACAUGACACAGGACAGAACACAAUGGCGUUCUAAGAUUCAUAUAGCCGAUCCCACUCAGUGACUUGGAUUUUCCAAGUCUCCAACCGAGAAGUUUUUCCUCACUCGGGAAAUUAAGGGAACACUACCUCAACCUAUAUGCUCCACUCACAAAGCUUCAACAUACAAGCUUCAACAAAAGAAAAUUCAAAGAACUUAGCGAAGAAGGCUUUGGUGUAUUUAACACAAUAAGUUGAAAUGAAGGAAAACUUAUUUAUUGAUAUCCCCGAUAAGUUACAAAUAUGUACAUAUACUUGAGUCAAAAUAAACAAACAAGAGGGAGCCUUCACAAAGGUUGCUUAGGAGAAGUCUCAGCAGUCGGUAGAGCCCCAGAAAGAGAAGGCACCGGAGGGGGAUCAUUCGGAGCCUCAGUACUGGACAAAACCCUAGAAGGAGGAGGCAUCAGAGAUUGAUCAUUUGGAGCUUCAUUACGCGGUACAGCCCCAGAAGACGAAGGCAAUAAAUGCCUUUGGAACAAACCCACAAAUCUCUGAUGAUCAAGUAAAACCUGACCAUCAGAUUCCUUCAUCUGGUCAAGCUUCAUCUUCAUGUUUGUAGCAUAGUCAUGUGCGAGCCGGUGCAACUGUUUAUUCUCAUGCUUGAGCCCUCUAAUCUCCUGUUUGAGACUCAUCACUUCAGCCGCCAAUGAUUCAACUUGGCGGGUUCGAGCAAAUAGGCGUUGGGCCAUAUUAGACACAGAACCUGCACACUGAACACUGAGAGCCAGAGAAUCCUUAACAGACAACUCAUCAGACCGUUUGGAAAGUAGUCUGUUAUCUUUAGGAGUGAGAAGGUUCCUGGCCACUACCGCAGCGGUCAUAUCAUUCUUCAUCAUAGAAUCCCCAACGGUAAGAGGACCAGUAGGGGAGACGAAGGAUGGGCACCAUAUGUUGUCUGGAGAAGGCGGGGCUGCCUCUUCAACAAGGUUCAAGUCAAAACGACGAUCGGAGGGGCCAGACAUUUUCAAAGGAGGGGUCGGACAAAUCAAGAUCUUAGAAGUGCAAGAAUGGAGCUUCUACUGGUGGAUAUUCAAGUGUGCUUUGGAACUUAAUGUCAGCCCCUAUAAAAAUCUGCACUCGACGAAGCUUCAGAAAUCGAAGAGGCGUUUGCUUUCUCAAAAGUUGGGCUGCUCAGAGACCACGAGGGUCGAUCUCAGAAAUCGAAGAGGUGUUUGCUUUCUCAAAAGCUGGGCUGCUCAAAGACCACAAAGGCCGAUCUCAGAAAUCGAAGAGGCUUGCUUUCUCAAAAGCUGGGCUGAUCAGAGACCACGAGGGCCGAUUUCAGAAAUCGAAGAGGCACCUACUUUUCCAGCCUUGUCAGUACCUGUCACACGCACACUCAGCUUUGCGGAAAUUAUGGGCAUUCUGUCGAAGAUUUCUGGCGAAGUAGAAAGCAGAUGAAUCGUACUGUUCAAUCACCCACUUCCCACACGCAACAGUAGCUCAUGGGUACCACAGAUAACUUUGCCAAAGUUCUCUGACAAAGUUGAGACACGUGAAGCUUGCAGCUCCCACUACAUCGCUCUGACCAAGAAGGGUAAAAGAAUUGCAAAGAAACAACACUAACAAAGUUUAGACACAUAAAUUUUGAAGGUCUAGCUACCAUAUUAUUACCCACAAGGGUAAAGGAACAGUACCACCGCUGGAUAAUUGGAAAGUCCCGGUGUGUCAACCUCUGUGCUUCGUGGCAAGGUAGACUAGCAAACAUGCCCAACCUUUACUCACAUUCGAGAAAACACUCCUAACAAGAUUGCUUGCUCCAAAAUCGAAGAGGCACCGCCCUCCGAAUCUCGAGAGCCAGACUCCCAACAUGAUUACUUUCUCAAAAAUCGAAGAGAGGGUAAAGGAACAGUACCACUGCUGGAUAAUUGGAAAGUCCUGGUAUGUCAACCUUUGUGCUUCGUGGCAAGAUAGACUAGCAAACAUGCCCAACCUUUACUCACAUUCGAGAAAACACUCCUAACAAGAUUGCUUGCUCCAAAAUCGAAGAGGCACCGCCCUCCGAAUCUCGAGAGCCAGACUCCCAACAUGAUUACUUUCUCAAAAAUCGAAGAGAGGGUAAAGGAACAGUACCACUGCUGGAUAAUUGGAAAGUCCCUGUGUGUCAACCUCUGUGCUUCGUGGCAAGGUAGACUAGCAAAUAUGCCCAACCUUUACUCACAUUCGAGAAAACACUCCCAACAAGAUUGCUUGCUCCAAAAUCGAAGAGGCACGGCCCUCCGAAUCUCGAGAGCCAGACUCCCAACAUAAUUACUUUCUCAAAAAUCGAAGAGACACCGCUCUCCGAAUCUCGAGAGCCAGACCCCCAGCAGGAUUGCUUUCUCAAAAAUCGAAGAGGCAUCGUUCUCCGAAUAUCGAGAGCCAGACCCCCGACAGGUUUGUAAUCUUCACACGCAACAUCAGCUUUCCAGAUACCACAAACCACUUUUUCAAAGUGCUCUGACAGAGUUAAAACAUGUGAAGCUGGCAGCUCCCACUACCGUGCUAUAACCAAGCAGGGUAAAGGAAUAGCAUUAUUACUUGAUGUUAGGGAGACUCCUAUAUAUGUCGACUUCCAUCCCUAACGGACAGGCAGACCUGCAAAAAUGCUCAACCCUUUCUCUUAUCUGAGAGGGCACUCCCAACAAAGCCUUUCGAAAUAUUCAGCUUUCUUUCCCCCCGAUAAUACCUCUGUAAACAAGCUAUACUAGAGCAAGAAUAUCUCAUAUCAUCAGGGUUAAAAGCAAGAGUAUCCCAUAUCAUGCUUUUUUCCCUGUCUUUUCCUUUGGCCUUGUUCUUACCUGCAAGACAAGGAGAAAGAGAGCAAUCAGUCAGCACUUGGAAUCAAGCUUCCAGCCAGGAACUGACUGCCUGGAACCCCUUACCUGAUUACUUACCUGGCAUUGCUCUCGAGUACUCAUCUUCAACAUCUUAUGCUUCCAGGGAAGAUACCGCAUUUGCCUGAGGAACAGAUAGGGCAAGUGAGAAGGAUACAAGGAAGCAUGUGGAGACAAGCGUAACAGCACACGUGCCGAUACAUCCACUACUCUCUAUCAAAAGCAAAAGUAUCCCAUAUCAGCAGGGUCGAACGUACUCUAGAUUUGAUGGACUUGUUUUGACCCUCAAAUUCUUCAGUCGGCCUUAUACUCUGGAGGAAACCAGAAAACCCUCCAGCCCAGUUCAAGAAUAAGCCUGUGGAAAGUUACUUCUUCAAAAGCAAAAGUAUCCCAUAUCAUCUCUCCUCAUUUUUCUUCACUUUAUCCUUCAUGCUGCUUGCAAGAUAGGGAGAAUGUGAACAAUCAGCCGGAGCUCUGAUUGCUUACCUUGUCUGUCACCUCUUUCAGCAGAUCCCCCAGCUCGGCGACUUGGGGGACUCCUACUACAUGGUUUGUAUCUCGCUUGACCAAGCAUGAAACUACAAGUAAGCUUCAAGUGAAAUUGAUACAUUACCUUGUGCAUCUCCACCAGUUACAGAUACCACCCCUGGAUGGAGGAAGAGUACUUCCAGAGAAGAUGCCACAUCUACCUAUGAGACAGAUAAAGGCAAGUCAAGACGAUACCAUACUCCGGUACUUAGAAGUUUCGUGGCUACGAGAUCAUUCUCCCACAAUAUUUCCUAAUGUCAUUUGUACUAAAUCAUUCACUUGUACUCACUAAAGGAGAGCUUGAACCUAUGUACUUGUGUAAACCCUUCACAAUUAAUGAGAACUCCUCUAUUCCGUGGACGUAGCCAAUCUGGGUGAACCACGUACAUCUUGUGUUUGCUUUCCUAUCUCUAUCCAUUUAUAUACUUAUCCACACUAAUGACCGGAGCAAUCUAGCGAAGAUCACAAAAAGUGACCGUUUUCGCUACCUAGGAUCUAUCUUGCAAGAGAACGGAGAAUUAGAUGGAGAUCUCAACCAUAGAAUACAAGCUGGAUGGAUGAAGUGUAAGAGUGCAUCCGGCGUGUUGUGUGACCGUCGUAGGCCACUAAAGCUCAAGGGAAAAUUUUAUAGGACGGCAAUAAGGCCAGCGAUGUUGUAUGGCACAGAAUGUUGGGCGGUGAAGCAUCAACGUACACAAAAUGGGUGUAGCGGAGAUGAGGAUGCUUCGUGGGAUGUAUGGGCACACGAGAGAAAGGAUAAGAUUGGGAAUUAGGAUAUCCGAGGUAAAGUAGGAGUAGCCAAAAUUGAAGGAAAUAUGAGAGAAAAUCGGUUCCGGUGGUUUGGACAUGUGCAAAGAAGGCCUACUGACGCUCCGGUUCGAAAAUGUGACUACGGGACAGAGGUUCGGGGCCGAAGGAGUAGAGGAAGACCUAGGAAAACUUUGGAAGAGACCCUAAGAAAAGACUUGAGUACUUAGAUCUAACGGAGGACAUGACACAAAUGAGCGCAAUGGCGUUCUAGGAUUCAUAUAGCCGACCCCACUUAGUGGGAAAAGGCUUUGUUGUUGUUGUUGUUGUUGUUAUUGAAGAAACAGCCUGAAGCACAUCUUUAUUGUUAGAACACAAACCACCAGGUAUGAAAUAGUGUAUUCAGUUUUCUCAUUUGCCUGAAUAAGAUAAUAUAGAACUAAGGUUAGGAAGCAUAACACAGGAGAAGAAAACUGUAAAAUCAAACAGUGGAUUUACUUUUCUUAUUUCCCCUCCACUACAGCCGCACCAUCAACACUACUAAAAUCUGGGUUUGAUGAACUUACUGGGUCCAUCUGGCAGGACAAAAAAAUUUGAAUUUACCAUUGUGGCAUGGAUGAAUGCAAAAGCAUUCCAAAAUUUUUUCCCAACUUUUAAAUUAAUUAAUAAGAUUGUGAAUUUGACUUGAAUGGCUUCAGCUGGAGCUAAGUAAGCUUACAGUGGGUGAAUAAAAGGGUUAAAGACACUUUGCCAAAAAUAUAAAAAGGGUUAAAGACAUUGCAAUUCAGCUUCAUACCAAACAAUAGACAAAGCACGAUAGCAUGUUGCAAACUAAUUGUUCAAUCAAAUUGAAAGGAAAAGUUGCAGGACAAAGAUAUUCACCUAUCAAAGCAGCAAAUCCCACAAACCCACAUUCACAAAUACAUAUUUCACUGCAAGAAAGAGACUGCACUACUCUCGUCUUAAACACAAACCUCUUCAUCAACUAUCACAAAUAAGCCAUUGUAAAGACUAUUUCCACAUCACAAUAAAAAUAAAGUACAUGAAGUAAAGCUCAUAUUUUUAGCAGAGGUAUUUUAACAAUUCUGCAAGUGAUUGAUUGGCCAGGUAGGGAGGGUAAUUCUCUUAGCCCCACUGCAUCCCGGGUUCAAAGUUCUAACCAACCCCUGUCCCCUUGGUGUAGUUUUCAGGAUAAAUACCACGUUUUAAUAACUAAAAACAUCAAUUCUGAUCAUCCCUACCAGUUUAAGCACGCUAAACACCAAAUUUAAUAUGUUCUUGUCUUAGGUCACCCAACCCCUUAUACAAAACCCAAGAUUAAGUUCCUAACGGAAACAUUACCUGUUUUAGAUUUUCCCAUAGCUGGCUGUACAACAACACACAUCACGACAAUUCCUCAACCAAUACCAACCAAAGGUAAUUUACACUGACCCACUGUCAUGUUGUUCCCCAAAAUCUUGCCAAAACUCAUCAGUUCCGCUUCAUUCGGCAUCAUCGGCGUCAGUCUUGCCUACAAAACAAUCAAAACCCCAGAAUAAAAAACAAAUUCUUUCAGAAAAAUCAAAGAAAUUCAAUCAGGUCAUCAAUCAAUUAAGUACCUAAUUCCCCUGGAUGUCUUGAAUAAAUAUAACAGUCCAACAUAAAUUAACUACCCAAUAUUAAUUUUUCCUGUUUCUUUCUUAUUCUCGGGAAAGAAACAAACCCAAAAACAAAUAAUUGAAGAAAACAUACAGAAAAUAUUGGGGAGGAGUAACAUACAAUCUGCUGAGUUCUUCGCUUUGCAGAUAAGAGAUGGUGGCCGAACUAAACUGCAAAAAAAAGAGAGAUUCAGAGUAAGAAUUUAAGGUGAAAACAAAUGGACACAGGGAAAUGAACUCAACCUGCGACAACAUAAUGGAUUUAAUCUAUGACAGUGCAAUGCACUUAAUCUGUGGCAGAUUCACACACAAACAAAAAUGCAUUUAGACUUAAUUUUAAAAAAAAAUGCACUACAUAAACACCACCAUUGAGCUACUCAACACUACAACUUUCUUUUCCUUUUCCCCCAUUUUUCUCAGCCACCAACCAAAGGCUUCAAAAUGUCAAUUUUCAUUUCCUUUCCUACACCUGCCCUAAGCAUCCCUAAAAUGACAUAUAUAAACUCAAGCUUUGAUAGUUAAAUGUUAAGGAUCAGCAAUGAUCAUAUUGACCCUUUUAAAUAAGUUUAUAAAACCUCAGCUAUAAACUGGGACAUCAUGUGCUUAAACAGCUCCGGUUCUGUAAAUCGGACUUCUUGAAGAAUGUAGUGGAUCUACAAUAACAUUACAUGAAUGCAUUAAAACCUUUAUCUAUUAUCUGCCAAACCACUCAUUGAGCACCAAAAUAAAUGGUGAUAUUAAUAUAGAAGAUAAGGAUAAAAAAAAAUAGUGAGUAAUGACAUGCCAAUUACAUGUCCAGACACCUCCCCCCGUGCGAAAGCAAGUAAAAGUGAAACUAUAAUAUAGGUUUCUUUGUGAAGAGAACUUGUAUAAACAUAGGCAUCUUCAAUUAAUUUAAAUAAGCAAGAGAUGGGUGAACUGGGCUGGUAGGAUCAGCAGCUUAGUUUUCAUUUACAUUCAAUUCAGCUGACAUCAAGACCCAUUGUACAAUUAACUGGAUGACCUUAAACGUUUCUGAUCACAAAAGUUGUGAUCGCAAAAAAUACUGUGUUUGUAUAAGAAACAGAAGCAGCAAUCGACAUGCAGAUCUUCAAAAGAAUACUAAAAAAUAAAGGAAUAACAAACAACAUUUGAGGUUCCAUGUCCCAUUUGACCAAAAAUCUAAGGACGUGCUUAAUGUAAAAGAGAUUUUUCAGACCAACUUACAAAACACUUGGAUGAACUAAUAAAUCCCAGUUUUGGGAGUAAAAGAUAUGAAUUCACAUAUAACAAUUGUAACAUAUAUUGCAUGUACCAGAAAUCAUUUUAAUUAAUCAGAGAGGGUUUAGGGAAUGUAGAAAUGGAAACAGUUGUUAACAAACACUGUAGCUUCAAAAGAAUACCAAAAAAAAAUAAAAAUAAAGGAAUAACAAACAGCAUUCGAGAUGCAUCACAAAUGAAACUGGCCUCUCACCGUGAGACUUCUUUUUCUCUCAACCGACUCUUGGCCUCCCUGAAAAUACCAAAAAAAAAAAGAGAUUUUAGAUAUAUUUUGAAUCCAACACACACUAAACUUUGAUAACGAUAUACCUUUGUAUACCUACUACAACAUACUAUGACCAACUUCAUUUUUCAUUCCUUUCAAACCCAAAAUAAUAAAAUUCGGGAAGACUUACCUUUCACUUUGUUGAUACACAAAAUCCCGUGGAUCUUGCGGGUAACGUCACACAUAGAUCAUAUAAAUAUACAAUAAUGUAGUAUGCCUAGUGAAAUGUGUAUGUGACUAUAAUUUAAUGAAAUUUGAUAAUGUAACAUAGAAUGCAUGUGGUGUGGUUGCCAUAGAUUAAUCUCCUUAGUGGUUUUUCCCAAACCGACAGUGAGACAGUGGGUAAUCAAAUAAAGGCUAGUCCAAAGUUUUAUUCUAAUAUUUAAAUAAUGAAUAAAAUAUUCACAAAUUGAUUAAAGUUAUAUCAUUUUAAAAGGAAGUGGCCGACAAUAUCAAAGGGUAAUAAUACUAAAGUUAUGAUAGGAAUGAUUAUGGUUUGAGAUGUGCUGUGUUUCUGGUCAACAUAAUAUUAAAAUAAUAAACAAUGAGCUGGAAAUGAUGAUAACAAUACUCUUAUCUUAUUUCUGAGUUUUUUCGUGGAUUUGACAAUGGGAUAGUGGGUUGUAUUCGUCCCCUUCAUGAUGAAAGUUUCAUCAUAACAUUUAAAUAAUAAAGGUAGUUUAAAUAAUGAAUGUAGUGGUCAUGAAUGAUUAAAGAUAAAUAAUAAAAUAUUAAAUAAACAGUGAUAAUAUUAAACAAAUCAUUUGAGAAAAGAUAAAGUUCUUAUCUUCUUCCAUGUUCUCCCGUGGGUUGGGCAUGACCGAUAGUUGUAGGAUGCAUGACCUGCUCACGGCAAGUUUGUCAACGCCGACACUAAUUUUUUGACGAGUUAUCCAGCGCCAGCGUCGCUUGGGUUGAGUAGUGAUGACAGUUUUGAGUCCCCCAGAAGUAAAUUGCAUGGUUCCAGCAGAGCCGCCUUGCAACGAGCACCUCCUCCAGCCGAGCAAUUGUCUUGUCGAGAGCAUUGCCUCUAGUCGAGCAGCCUCGCAACGUGUGCUACCUCUAGCCGAGUAUUGCUUGACGUUAAGCACCGUCUCAUGUCGAGUACUAGUUCUGGACGACAUCUAGUCACUUCGGCCCGCACAUGGAUUGGAUUUGAAGUCUCCAGCCAAAAGACUCUUAACUGAAGACUUAGGGGACUCAUGUUGUACCAUAUGUUGGGCCUCGAUACAUCGGCUUCAUUACUGAGCCCAUAAUUUAUGUAAGAGAAGGAAACCCUUAUUCUAUAAAAGGGAUCCUCCUCACCUUCACUGAGGGGGGACUUAAGAAGAGACAGAGGGGAAAGGAGAGAGCAAACACUGCCUCUGUUGCCUCCAUGUAUAUCCAACAUUCAUUUACACAAUUAAACGGAAUCAACGUCAGUGUGGACGUAGCCUCAACUUGAGGUGAACCACGAUAUAUCUUUGUGUUCUUGUGCGUUUGUGUGAUUCAUGGCCAGUUUUACGGUGGUCCAAGAUCGACCCGAUUUUGUGCAUCAACAUUUGGUGCCGUCUGUGGGAAUCGAUACGAAAUGCUAUGUAGGAAACCCUUAUUCUAUAAAAGGGAUCCUCUUCACCUUUACUGAGGGGGGACUCAAGAAGAGAAAGGGAAAACAAGAGAGCAGACACUGCCUCUAGUGCCUCCAUGUAUAUUCAACAUUCAUUUACAUAGUGAAAUGGAAUUGACACCAGUGUGGACGUAGCCUCAACCUGAGGUGAACCACAAUAUAUCUUUGUGUUCUUAUGCGUUUGUGUGAUUCACGGUCGGAUUUACGUUGGUCCAAGAUCUACCAGAUUUUGUGCAUCAACAUUUGGCGCCGUCUGUGGGAAUCGAUACGAAAAGCUAUGUCGAUUCUCUCUACUUUUUUCAUCAAACCUCACAACCUCCACGUGAAUCUGCAGAAACCUAAGAACCAAACACCUGCACAGUCACUGCAAAACCCAUGUCUUCCGCUCCAGCUCUCAAUCACGGCAGUAGCAAUGGAAACACAAUCACAGCCUCUCUCUCUCUUUGUCUGCAGUUGUUGAAGCUCGAAGACGCAACAAUGGCGACUGGGUUGAUACGGAAGGCCAUAGCUUCUGCGGCGGCGUCGGAAUCAACGGCGAUGGCGUCGUUUCGUUACAUCUAUGUCCGGGCUAUGGCGUCGGAGGCCCAGGCCCAGCAGGUGGACCUCAAGUCCCGAGACAAAAUGGACAUCAAAACAUUCUCAAUCUACCGGUGGAACCUGGACAACCCGAAGAAGUUGGAGCUCAAGGAGUACGAGAUCAACCUCAAGGAGUGCGGGCCCAUAGUGCUUGACGCCCUCACCAAGAUCAAGAACGAGAUGGACCCCACCCUCACCUUCCGAAGAUCUUGCCGGGAAGGGAUCUACGGCUCCUGCACCAUGAACAUCAACGGCUGCAACGGCCUGACGAAGACACAGUUCAUGGAUUUUUUUAUCUGCUGGAGCCAUGCAGUUUACUUCUGGAGGACUCAAAACUGUCAUCACUUCUUAACCUAAGCGACGCUGACGCUGGAUAACUCGACUAAAAAUUAGUGUCGAUGCUGGCAAACUUGCCGCGAGCAGGUCAUGCAUCCUGCAACUGUCGGUCAUGCCCAACCCACAUGAGAACAUGGAAGAAGAUAAGAACUUUAUCUUUUCUCAAAUGAUUUGUUUAAUAUUAUCACUGUUUAUUAAUAUUUUAUUAUUUAUCUUUAAUCAUUCCUGACCACUACAUUCAUUAUUUAAACUACCUUUAUUAUUUAAAUGUUAUGAUGAAACUUUCAUCAUGAAAGGGACGAGUACAACCCACUAUCCCAUUGACAAACCCACAAAAAAACUCACAAAUGAGAUAAAAGCACUAUUAUCAUCCUUUCCAACUCAUUGUUUGUUAUUUUAAUAUUAUGUUGACCAGAAACACAUCACAUCUCAAACCAUAAUCAUUCCUAUCAUCACUUUAGUAUUAUUACCCUUUGAUGUUGUCGGCCAUCUCCUUUUAAAAUGUUAUAACUUUAAUCAUUUUUUAGAAUAUUUUAUUCAUCAUUUAAAUAUUAGAAUAAAACUUUGGGCUAGCCUUUAUUUGAUUACACACUGUUUCACUGUCGGUUUGGAAAAACCCACUAAGGAGAUGAAUUCAUGGCAACCACACCACACACAUUCUAUGUUACAUUAUUAAAUUUCAUUAAAUUAUAUUGUCAUACACAUUUCACUAGGCAUACUACAUUAUUGUAUGUUUAUAUGAUCUAUGUGUGACGUUACCCGCAAUAUGCACACUUUAAUGAUUGAUUACAAUUUAUUAAUUAAACAAGGACCAAAAUUAUGGUGGUCAACACUAUGGAUCAGCUUAUGGAUCACUGAGCCACAUGCUUAUGGUGACAAAGAUUUAGUCCGAAUAGUGAUCUCUUGUCUGACCAGACACUCACUUGCUUAUUUGGCCACCUAUGUGCCUGAACACCCGUGAGCUUGGAUACCCAUUCGUUUGGGCACCUACUAAAUUGAACACCCUUGAGCUCGAACCUCGACUCAUGGACCCAACUUAUGAACCCAACUCAAAGACCCUACAGAUGGUCACGACUCGAUGACCCUACGUAUGGCCUCGACUCAAAGACCCGACUUGUGGACCCGAUUCGCGGAUCCGACACAUAGACCCAUAUACAAACCCACAAAGCGGAUCCGAGUCAUGUCGAGAAUUAACUCAUAAUGAGCUCACGCUGACGUCGAGUACAUACUCGCGAUGAAGAACGCCACAAAUCGAGCCGCCUCGCAACGAGCACUGCCUCCAGCCAAGCAACCGCCCCAGCCAAGAGCGUUGCCUCUAGCCGAGCAGCCUAGCAACGUGUGCUAGGAAUGAUUAUGGUUUGAGAUGUGCUGUGUUUCUGGUCAACAUAAUAUUAAAAUAAUAAACAAUGAGCUGGAAAUGAUGAUAACAGUACUCUUAUCUCAUUUCUGAGUUUUUUCGUGGAUUUGACAAUGGGAUAGUGGAUUGUAUUCGUCCCCUUCAUGAUGAAAGUUUCAUCAUAACAUUUAAAUAAUAAAGGUAGUUUAAAUAAUGAAUGUAGUGGUCAUGAAUGAUUAAAGAUAAAUAAUAAAAUAUUAAAUAAACAGUGAUAAUAUUAAACAAAUCAUUUGAGAAAAGAUAAAGUUCUUAUCUUCUUCCAUGUUCUCCCGUGGGUUGGGCAUGACCGAUAGUUGCAGGAUGCAUGACCUGCUCACGGCAAGUUUGUCAGCGCCGACACUAAUUUUUUGACGAGUUAUCCAGCGCCAGCGUCGCUUGGGUUGAGUAGUGAUGAUAGUUUUGAGUCCCCCAGAAGUAAAUUGCAUGGUUCUAGCAGAGCCGCCUCGCAACGAGCACUUCCUCCAGCCGAGCAAUUGCCUCUAGUCGAGCAGCCUCGCAACGUGUGCUACCUCUAGCCGAGUAUUGCUUGACGUUAAACACCGUCUCAUGUCGAGUAUUAGUUCUAGACGACAUCUAGUCACUUCGGCCCGCACAUGGAUUGGAUUUGAAGUCUCUAGCCAAAAGACUUUCUUGACUGAAGACUUGGAGGACUCCUGUUGUACCAUAUAUUGGGCCUCGAUACAUGGGCUUCAUUACUGAGCCCAUGACUUAUGUAAGAAGAGGAAACUCUUAUUCUAUAAAAGGGAUCCUCAUCACCUUCACUGAGGGGGGACUCAAGAAGAGAGGGAAAACAAAAGAUCAGACACUGCCUUUAGAGCCUCCAUGUAUAUUCAACAUUCAUUUACAGAGUGAAAAGAAAUUGACACCAAUGUGGACGUAGCCUAAAUCUGAGGUGAAUCACGAUAUAUCUUUGUGUUCUCGUGCAUAUGUGUGAUUCACGGUCAGAUUUACGUUGGUCCAAGAUCCAUCGGAUUUUGUGCAUCAACACACUUCGUCAAUGGUGGCCAAACAAAAAUCCUAAACUUUGAUCUAUUCACACUUCCCUGUCUCUCAACUGCGCACUGGAAGCUCAACACAGGAAUUGUAGGACCCCAAAUGUACUCCCUAUGCGAAAGCUGGAUCAAACAUAUAGAAUACAAUACGGAUAACUCAAUAAGAAAACACAAUAUUACAGUUUUUUUACAUCUAAUGCACGAUAACUCAGUAGGAAAACACACCAUUUUGGCUAAACCGAAGUUGAGCAGACAAUACAAAUAAGGAAAUUAUGGAUUUAAAACAACAAAUAAAUUUUGUUCAAAAUUGACUUCUGUCAAUUCCGUCCCACCAAUCAGGACUCUUCAAGUAGGUAGUACAUUUCAAGCAGAUCCUAUGUCGGCCAUUAACCAAAAACACUCCCAAAUCACACCAGUCAGCCAUACAAAGCCACUGACCACAUCAAACAUUAGGCAUGAUUCCAGUAACCAAAUUCAAAGAACAGAGUUCGGAUAACGAAAUGCAAAGAACAAGAUACAUAUAGUAAAAUUCAAGAACAUGAUUCAAAGGAUUUGAACUAUAUUGUAACUUUUUAUAAUGCAUCAAGAAUUUACGAAUGUGUUUGCUCACGUAAACAUACAUCCAUUAUCAAGAUCAAAUACAACUAACAUAUGUGAAUUUACCAAAAAGAUGUAACUGAAUAUUCUGAGAACGAAUUAACUCCAAAUUCUCCUAUGGGUAAGGCUCAGGAUACAAAUAUCUACUCCAAAUAUACAGGAUUGAACAAUCAAAGUUCCCACUUAGAAAAAACAAAUAGCACCCUAAAGAAAAAGUACAACCCACGCACAAUGGCCUUGGAAGUGCAUGUAAAAUCUUGGUUUAAUGAUAAUUUCUCAAUCUACAUAUCUAGAAACUAUCAUAAACUUGACCUUUCUCAUUGCUUUAAACUAAAGAUGAAUCAGGGAACAAAAAAAACCUCACCUCAAGAGCUUUCUCUUCCUCAUAAAUAAAUUUUGAUAGCUUCCUCAUCAAGUCUUUUCUGUCGACUCCCACUAGAGCAUUGCUUAUCUGUUAAUAUAUAUGAUAUAAUACGUCAAUCAAAUAGAUGCUUUCGCAAAGAUUAUGUUGUGUUUGUGCAAAUCUAAGUUUCCAAAUAAGUUAAUGCUGCUAAAUAUAUCCCAGCAUAAAGAAAAUUUGGCCUGGCCAACUUUAUACAACCUUAUAGGGAUUGCUCGUUAUUAGUAACCGACAAAUACAACAGUUUGGCCAACAAUUAUUGGUUUGAGCCAUAUACCAUGUGACCUCAGACAUUGCUGCUCCUAUACAAUUUUACCUUUGAAUUAGAGAUCGUCAGUUGUACGCUUGUCUAAUAUUGAAUUUGCAUAAAAUUAGCCUUUCAAUGUAUAUGCAAAAACAAAACACAAACGAAAAGGAGUAAAAUAACAGUCAUUUCACUACGCAAAUCGUAAGUUGUUCUUAGAGUUUCUGAUAAAACAAACUAUAAAACAAAAGAAUACAAGGUGAUACCAGAUUGCAGCCUCUCUUUUCCACGACUCCAUCCAAAACUGUACCUAAUACAUGCGGGUAAGAAGAAGAUAAGGAAUACAUCCAUGCGGCUAGCUGCCAAAUUGAUGUUUUCUGGUGGCGUAAGAGAAAUCAAAACACAAGGACAGGACUAUAUUGCCUUACCUAAUAUGAGGAUCUUCAAGUUCCUUCUUCACCUCUUCAGGGAGAUCCCAUGAGCACUGCUAUAUCAAACUAUCCUCCUACAUUAUAUGAACUGCAGUUUCAAUGAACAUAAAAAUCCUCUUUAGAAGGUUAUUGGAAUUUCAAACAUGCAGCGUGUUAUGUAUGAAUCAAUUUAUAUAGAGAAGACAAUAAAAUUCAUAAUUUACUGAAAGGGGAGAAGAUUACCAGAAAAUUGAAGUAUUUUCCCGAGAAGUAUUUUCAAGAGAGGGAGAGAGAAAAAUUGACGGACCUCGAAGUUGUCCUGGAUCUUGCGGGGGUCGAGGGCUUAGCCCUAGGGGUCGGCGUCGGGGUUGGUGAGCAUAUCGGGGCGCUGAUACAUGUUGGAGAGGAGGGGGUGGGGCUGAUGCUGGCCUUGGUGUGGAGGCCGGAGUACCCUUUGUCACUCUGCAGACUGCCCUCAACCCACUCUGAUUGAGCCCGACGGAACCCUUUCUACGAUGGUCGACACGUGUACGGUAGAAGCGGUGGCAAUUUCGUAAAUAAAUCGAAAUUUUCAAUCCGUAACAGAAAAGGCAGUGGCAAACUGGCAAUUUUAUAAAUAACUCAAAAUCCAUCUCAAAACACUGUUCAUUUGUACAGCGCCAAUUUCGAUCCUUACUUUAGACUAAAGUAAUUUAUUUAUUAUUUUGUGAGAAUUUUGAUACUUUAUUUUAUAUUUUAAUUGUAGAACAUGCGAAUCUAUUUUGAGCAAAAAACGAUGAAAUGAAAUUUUUUUGGAGUAGAUUCAUGUAUCUUUCAAGAUAAUUGUGUCGAAGUUUCAUAAUUUAUUUCUCAACUGUUUGACCGUAACGAAUAAAAGAAGGUUGAUCAUGCAGUGCUCGCAGUUUUACAUUUUGUUCUUGUUUGGGCCAUAAGUAAUUCAAGAUGACCUUUUUUUUAGGAAAGUCCUUUUUAUAAAAUGUAGACAUUUUUAUCUUUCUAACUCCACCUAGUAGGCUUGAUUUUGAGCGGAUUCGACUAGGAAACAUGUUGAAUAUUUGGCUGCCCAGAUUAUCCAAGUUAGGAUAGAAUUAUAUUUCCUAGUUUAUUAUUUUAAUUGGGUUUCCAAAUUUGUUGGGAGACCUAAUUUAGAUCAUUUGUGCACACUAUAUAUAUUUAGUUGGGUCUUUUUCUAGGGCAAAAAUGUUUUUAGAUUUGGAGAUCUCGGCUUAGGAGCUUUUGACGAUUUGUUACAAAGGUGUUUUCUAUCCUUUCUUCUUAAUAAUAUUUUUGCUUUUCAAUUAUAAAUAUGUGUAACUAAUUCUUUUUAUUAGGACGAGUCCACGAGCCUUAGUAUAAAUUUGUAAUUUAUUUUCAAUUUGUUUAAGGCAUAUUGCUUUGAAUUAUUAAUCAUUGUGUUUAAGCUAUCUAUAUGUCUUAAUGCUUGAUCACCAUUAGGAUGUUUAGCCAAGUAAUUUGAUGCAACUUCUGUUGGAAUGUCAUCCUGAAAUUGAGUAGGGUUUAUUGUGAUUAAUAAUUGUAAUCUCAUUUAAGGCGAAUGUCACGUCAUAAGUGUUGCAUGAUUAAAAAAAUAUAUAUUCACAAAGCUUAAUGAGUCUUGCAUGCUCAUACUUAAUAUGAAUAUCACAGACGGAUUGCGUGUUUCAUAUACGUUAUAGCUUGAAUGCCACAAGUAGAAUAUGCAUUAAAAAAAAUGAGUUUUAACGAAACACUCCCGGUACUGCUCACUUUUAACGAAAAAUCACAUUUUUACCUUUUCCAAGUACUAUUCACUACAUCUUUAUUUGUCAUUUUUCAUUAAAACUAUUUUUUUUUUUUUGACUUUUCGUUAGUUUUCUUUUAGAAAAACAUAACCUUCAUGGUUUGCAUGUGUCAACUUAUACGUAAUUGGUAGAACUGCAGAUGAUUGAUUUUUUCUUCAAAACUAUUUCGAUUCUUUUAUUUACUCUUUGAUGCCGAGUUUUUACUAAAACCAAUUUCAAUUCUUUUAUUUUCUGUUUCUUUUAUUUUUUCACAAUUUCGAAUCUUGUUUUAAAUAGUCAGCUAAGAAUAGGUUUUAAGUACAAUUUAUUUAUAUCAUUUGUGUGAGUUUUAAAUACAAAUGGUUCAUACUACAAUUACCUGUUUUCUUGCAAGUAUUUCAAUCGAUACCCACCAAAAAUAUAGACAGGAACGCACUACCUUAUUAACGUUCCCGGACCACCACCUCCGUCACCGUUCAAGCAUUCUGCUACUUCGCCUGAGUAAUGUCACAUGGAUUUUUAUAUUAAUCGGAAGAGAAAAUUUGCCUACGUAUAAAGUACAUGGAUGUGAACGAUUAGUGUUUCCGUUUGGCUUUGGAGUCUUAAUCUCUAUAAAGCCACUAGAACCAAAGUAAAUGAAUGUGAUACGGUCGGAUUUUAUAAUUCUAGUAGUCAUAUAAGAAAUUUGGUGUAAAAUUAUAAAUGAGGAGUGAAAAAUAGGAAAUGUUGAAUCCAACGAUAUUAAGGGCUGUUUGAUGAUUAUUUUGUUUUUAUUUUUUUAGUUUUUACAUUUUUGAAAACUGAAAUCUUGUUUGUUUAUUACUUUUAGUUUUCAAUUUUACAAAAAAUGAAAACUGAAAACCAAAAAGUGAAAACUCAAGAUCAAAUUUUGAAAACUCAAGAAAAUAGUUUUUAAUUUUCGGUUUUUUUUGUUUUUAUUUUUCUUGAAAACUAAAAACUGAAAAUAGUUACUAAUUAAGAUUUUUGUUUUUUGUUUUAAAAAAAUGAAAAUAAGAAAUGAAAAUUGUAAACAAAAUUGAUUAUCAAACAGUUUAUUUAUUUUUAAGUAAGCAUUUACUUUUAAUAGCGGGACAAAGUCUAGCAGCCAAUUGCUGGCUCUAAAUAACUAGCCUAUCAAUAUGUUCAAUUCCUCUUGAACAUAAUUGGACGGGUUGUGUGCGAGCCGAGUGACAUUCCUAAACCUGUAAUUGCUGGUAAAGUGUAGAUGGCAAGCAGUUAUUGAAUACGGUUUUUUAUUUGUAGAUAUUUUUCCAGCUCUCAAAAGAAUUGUAUGAGAGUCAUCCUCAAAGGUACUUCUUCAAGGAAAAGGAUCAUCACCAAAUCCUUUUCCUAGGGAUCAUCCAUGAUCGCGACCAUUCAUCGUACAUCGUGCGGUCAGUUUUCGUUAGGUACUAUUUAUAUUUAAUUUAAAAUUUUAAAAUAAUUUCUGACUGCAUGAUGGACGGUCCCGAUCACAGAAUCCCUAGGAAAAGGAUCUGACGCCAGAUCAUUUUCCCUUCCCCAAUGACCUUACCGAGGAAUUCUACUGUACUCCGUGUAGGUAUUUUUGUUUACGUUGGAUUGGAAAGGGAUCCUCUCCGAAUCCCUUCCACCAAAUCCUCCCCAUCAAACAAUUCGGGUCCUUGAAAUUUGGUCAAACGGUUAUAAUUAUUUUAAAAUGAACUCUUAUUUGUAGCAGUUUGAUCAAAUUUAAAGGAUUCAGAUUAAUUGAUAGGAAUAAUUUGGUGGAAGAGAUCAGGAGAUGAUCUUUUUCCCGUUGGACUUAGCUGAAUAUUAAUUUGGGCCCCAUUUUUAUUUCCCAUUAUUCUGUUUUGAUCGAUUACUGCAUAAAAACUAUUGGAAGAGUGAAACGCUACCGUUUCAUUUUAUAAAGUGAAAAAGUAGGGCCACAACCCUCUUCUUCUUAUUCGCAAGUUGCCUAAGCCCUCUGCAAGUAAACUUAUUUUUCGAAUGCAGGGGCCGUGCCUCUGCCUCUCCAAAGUUUACCAAUCGCUAUCAAGAACCAACCAAUUGCAUGCUAUGUUUCUCAAAACCCAUCUCCCCCAUGACCAUUUUUACGCAACUAGAUUACUCAAAUUCUAUGCAAUCAACGGAGAAGUUCGCUCCGCAUGUAAAGAGUGUUCGACGAAAGUCCCCACUGGAGUGUCUACCUUUGGAACUCCAUCAUUCGAGCCUGUUCGCGUCAGAAAUUUCCGUCGGGGACGUUUCCUGGCCGACGAGCACACAACUCCCCGGGAGGUUGGCGCCGGUUGAGGGCUGUUGUCGGGCUUUGUCGGGCAAGUCUUGUCCGGCAAGACUCUUCGGGCAAGGCUUGUCGAGUAAGGCUGAAAGAAAAUGACAGAGUUAACUUUGAGAGGUGCCUUUGUGGGGCCUUAGGUGUAGGCCUUGAGGCUCACAAUCAAGGUUAACUUUUAGGUGUUCAGGCGUGCCACUGCCUUCUUCAGCAUGGCAGAUGUAAAAUGGAUGUCGAGUUUUAGUUGGAUAUAUGUAUAUAUCCGAGAAACCGUGUUAGUUAUAACAGGUGCCUUUGUGGGGCCUUAGGUGUAGGCCUUGAGGCUUCCCAUCAAUAACUAAACCAGUGCUCGAACACAUCAUAUUUGUUCUCGUGAUUGCAGGAGUUUUAUAACUAUUAUACUUCUGAUUACCCGAGUCCGAGAGGUAGAAUGAACCCAAAUAGGUGCCUUUGUGGGGCCUUAGGUGUAGGCCUUGAGGCUUCCCAUCAGAAUUCGUUCUUAUACUCAGACUCUCUAGAUCGCAGAACGGAAUGAAUCCAAAUAGGUGCCUUUGCGGGGCCUUAGGUGUAGGCCUUGAGGCUUCCUAUCAGAAUCCAUUCCAUGUUCAGGCGUUCUAUGAUAAUCAUAAUAUAAUAGAAAUAAAACUAAAGGGUAGGUCGAUUACUUGCGCCCCAAGUAACUUCGGACUUCUCGUUUAUCAAGGACUGUCGUGGAUGAGUUAAGUCCACAUAAGGUUUUUUUUUAUGCCUUGAGGCCAAGGACUUUUAACUGAUCAGAUUUACAUGCCCGAGGGCUUAGGACUUGGAUCUGGUUUGAACACUGAAGAUAUAUUCAAAUCGGAUCCAAGUACUGAGAAAGCCUUUGAAUAAUCAUCUUGCUAGAAAUAACUUGAAUAUAACUGGAAGUAUACAACAUAUUGCUAGGCUAAUGAAUGAAAAGACAAAAACAAAGAAGGUCGGGCAAGGUUUAACCUUAUCGGGUAAGGCUGAUCGUCUUGCAGGUUCCUAUCUUUAUGGUUUAUCAAGGGUCUGAAAGCUUUAGAGAGAGGGAGAGAGAGAGUUUACAAAAGAUGAAUCGAUACUACAGCAAGGUUGAACAGGGUAGCAGAGCUAUAACAAAGGUUUGAGAGAAGGUUUAUCCCGCGAGGGAUGAAGGCUUGUCCCGAGAGGGAUGAAGGCUUGGGCUGACUACAGCUUCGUUUUGAAGGCAAAUCUGGCUUUAAGCAGAGUUUGUGCUUGCAUUUGUUUGUUUGAUUGAGUCUCCCUAAUCCUUGUGCUUGUGCUCCUUUAUAUAGAGGUCUGGAAGAAACCCCCUGCUGAGGUUUUUGUACCUGCCCGAAAGAAGCUUGGGCAGCUUGCAUUUGCAUUUGCCAACUUGCAUGUAAAAACAAUAUUAAAAUGGAAACUUGCAUCUCCACCACAUGUUUUUAGCACAUGUUUCCCCACUUGUAAUAAACUAACAAUAAAAGAAGAAGCAAGUUGCAUCUCCACCACAUGCCUUUUCCCACUUGCAAUAAAAUAAAUAAAAGAAGCAAACUAGCUUCUUUCACUACACAUUCUUGCCCGAAAGCUCUCCCAUCCACUUGCAAUACAUGCAUGUAUCUUGAUUAAACAAAUGCUUGACAAACCUCCACCACCCAAACAAAUGGGAAAAACAAUAUUAUAGUGCCAAAACCCCCCACUUGCAGCCAAAUAUCUUUCCAAGUUAGUUUUCUUGCUCAUUAAUCCUCCAAAUCCCAUUUUUUACCCAAAUUGCCCAAAUAAGUAAAAAUGGGUAUAUUUUGAGUGCAAACAGUGCCCCCCAAGUUUUACAAAUUUGAGCAAAAUUUGUGAAACUUACAACUCCAAUGCUGCCAAAAACGAUGUCGAAGGAAAGGCACGUCUACCUCUUCGGUCCUUUUGUCGUUGAUAAACUUGGCAAAAUGAGCAAGGCAAUUCGGUAGUGCAACUAGCAUUGAAAAGAAUGUUGUCUGACUUGUGUUCCUUCUUGUUGAUACCAAAAAACAUAGGAGCAUCCUCACUGGUUACCGAGAUAGUAAACUAGAAAAAUGCCCGAAGUCGGGCAAACUGGAAAAGAGAGUUAAGAGAGAAAUAAACUUGGGCAACUAUUCUUUUUGUCUUUUUCUUUUGGCCUCUUUUCAUAUAACAUAAUAUAAUAUAAUAUAAAUACAAAUAUAUAUAUAUAGCCCAUUUGGGCAGAAUACAUAGGAUAAUAUAUAAUAAAAUAUAUAUAUAAGUUAACUUUUAGGCAGACAAAAACUGAGGGAGAGACAGGAAGAAAGAGAAAGGAGAAAAAAGGAAAGAGAAGGAAAGAAGGAGAGAGAAAGAAAUAAUAAGAAAGUAAAAAGAAAGAAAGAGAGAGAGAGCCCUUUCGGGCAAAAUGGAAGAAGAAAGAGAGAGACAAGGAGACAAGACUGACAAGGAGAAAGAGAAAGAGAGAAAAAGAAAGAGAGAAAUAAUAGAUAAAGAAAGAGGGAGGUGCCCUUUCAGGCAAAGAGGAACAGCCUAUAUAUAUAUAUAUACACACACUUAACAUAAUAUAAUAUAAUCUGUCUGUUGCCCUUUCAGGCCAAGUGAAAGACAAACUUGAGAUGGAGACAGAAAGAAGGAAGAGAAAGUGAAGAAAAAGAAAAGGAGAGAGGGAGAAAACCUUUCGGGCAACUCACAGCAGCACAAAGCCCAUUCGGGCAAAUUUUUUUUAAAAAAAGCAACCUUAUUUUUUUAUCUUUUCCUCUUUUAUUUACUUACAUAUUAUAAUAUAUAAUAUAAUAUAAUAUAAUAUACUAUACAUAUAUAUAAAAAGCCCUUUCGGGCAAAAUGAAAAGACCAGAUAAGACAGAAAGAAAGAAAAAGAGAAAGGAAAGAAAAGAAAGGAAGAAGGAAAAAAAAAGGAAAGAAAGGGAAAAGGAGGAGAAGGGUACUGGAGAAAAUGCACAAAGAAUAACACAAAAGAAAGCCAUUCGGGCAAAUUGGAUGAAGCCCCUUGGCUGCUUAAGUGUUAUUUUUCUCUCAACACUCAAAUCUUUUUCUCUUUUUAAAAUUGAGUGUAGAGAGAUCAUACCCUCCAUUUAAAUUGGCCAUGCCAUAUAGCUUGGGAACCAUAGGAGGUGGCCAUUCAUGUUUGACCCCAAGCUUUGUCCUCCUUGAGAUCUUGAUGCGGGCAACAUGCUUGUGUUGGCGGGGAAGAGCGUAAAAGCUUUCUUCUUCGGGCUCCACAUGAGGUGUGGGCUCGUGCCCCCCGAGCGUUGGUGUUUGGCCUACAAUAGCCAUCAUCUCCAUCUUAGCUUGGUCUCCUACAACCAUAUCCAUUUUCAUGGAUUUUUCAUUGGGUGAGGCCAUUGUUUGGCCUUCAUCAACGUGUAUGAUUUGUUCUUCCUUGGUUGUAGUAGGGUGAGCGUGCUUUGUAGAGGGGAUUUGACACAUUUGAUCUAUCAACUUUCUCAAAGUUUCUCCAAAAGUUGUAUAGCUUUCCUCCACCCUUUUAAAACACUUAGUCACCUCUUCACCAUAUUCGAUGCUUGCCACAUGAAGUUUGGACAUCUUCUCUAAUUUGCCCACAUCCUCUUUGUAGAGCUUUUCAUCCGAAUGAUCAUGAGUUGACAUCUCAUAUAUUGGCUCUAUGUACUCAUUGGAAGCAUUUUGAUACUCAAAGCCAUUUGUUGGCCUAUCAUAGUAUUCAUGAAUAUGAUUGUCUUCAAAAGAAUAAUAACCUUCAUCAUAGCCAUAAGUUGGCCAAUCUGCAAGAUUAUUAUUUAUUUGAUGGCCAUUAGUUGGCCGACAAUCAUGUUCCAUGGGACUUGAGUACUCUUCAGCCAUGUACCCAUGAGUUGGCAACUCAUAGGUUGGCUCUAUAUGAUUUUCACCAUAGCCAUGGCUCGGGCAUGCUUCAACACCAUCAUCUUCUUCCCAUUCCGGAAUGUAGGGCUUGAAAGCAUAUCGAGAAAAUCAUAAACAUAAGGAUUGUUCAUGAUCUAACUCCAUAUAAGGAUCCUACCGGGCGUGCCAAAACUAUGUUCGCGUCAGGAAUUUCUGUCGGGGACGUUUCCUGGCCGACGAGCACACAGCUCCCCGGGAGGUUGGCGCCGGUUAAGGGCUGUUGUAGGGCUUCUGCUUCACUGUCGGGCUUUGUCGGGCAAGUCUUGUUGGGUAAGACUCUUCGGGCAAGGCUCGUCGGGCAAGGCUGAAAGAGAAGGACAUAGUUAACUUUGAGAGGUGCCUUUGUGGGGCCUUAGGUGUAGGCCUUGAGGCUCACAAUCAAGGUUAACUUUUAGGUGCUUAGGCGUGCCACUGCCAUCUUCAGCAUGGUAGAUGUAAAAUUGAUGUCGAGUUUUAGUUGGAUAUAUGUAUAUAUCCGAGAAACCGUGUUAGUUAUAACAAGUGCCUUUGUGAGGCCUUAGGUGUAGGCCUUGAGGCUUCCCAUCAAUCUAAACCAGUGCUCAAACACAUCAUAUUUGUUCUUGUGAUUGCAGGAGUUUUAUAACUAUUAUACUUCUGAUUACCCGAGUCCGAGAGGUAGAAUGAACCCAAAUAGGUCCCUUUGUGGGGCCUUAGGUGUAGGCCUUGAGGCUUCCCAUCAGAAUUCGUUCUUAUACUCAGACUCUCUAGAUCGCAGAACGGAAUGAAUCCAAAUGGGUGCCUUUGUGGGGCCUUAGGUGUAGGCCUUGAGGCUUCCUAUCAGAAUCCAUUCCAUGUUCAGGCGUUCUAUGAUAAUCAUAAUAUAAUAGAAAUAAAAUUAAAGGGUAGGUCGAUUACUUGCGCCCCAAGUAAGUUCGGACUUCUCGUUUAUCAAGGACUGUCGUGGAUGGGUUAAGUCCACAUAAGGUUCUUUUUAUGCCUUGAGGCCAAGGACUUUUAACUGAUCAGAUUUACAUGCCCGAGGGCUUAGGACUUGGAUCUGAUUUGAACACUGAAGAUAUAUUCAAAUCGGAUCCAAGUACUGAGAAAGCCUUUUAAUAAUCAUCUUGCUAUAAAUAACUUGAAUAUAACUGGAAGUAUACAACAUAUUGCUAGGCUAAUGAAUGAAAAGACAAAAACAAAGAAGGUCGGGCAAGGUUUAACCUUAUCGGGUAAGGCUGAUCGUCUUGCAGGUUCCUAUCUUUGUGGUUUAUCAAGGGUCUGAAAGCUUUAUAGAGAGGGAGAGAGGGAGAGAGAGAGUUUACAAAAGAUGAAUCGAUAUUACAGCAAGGUUGAACAGGGUAGCAGAGCUAUAACAAAGGUUUGAGAGAAGGUUUAUCCCACGAGGGAUGAAGGCUUGUCCCGAGAGGGAUGAAGGCUUGGGCUAACUAAAACUUCGUUUUGAAGGCAAAUCUGGCUUUGAGUAGAGUUUGUGCUUGCAUUUGUUUGUUUGAUUGAGUCUCCCUAAUCCUUGUGCUUGUGCUCCUUUAUAUAGAGGUCUAGAAGAAACCCCUUGCUGAGGUUUUUGUACUUGCCCGAAAAAAGCUUGGGCAGCUUGCAUUUGCAUUUGCCAACUUGCAUGUAGAAGCAAUAUUAAAAUGGAAACUUGCAUCUCCACCACAUGUUUUUAGCACAUGUUUCCCCACUUGUAAUAAACUAACAAUAAAAAAAGAAGCAAGUUGCAUCUCCAUCACAUGCCUUUUCCCACUUGCAAUAAAAUAAAUAAAAGAAGCAAACUAGCUUCUUUCACUACACAUUCUUGCCCGAAAGCUCUCUCAUCCACUUGCAAUACAUGCAUGUAUCUUGAUUAAACAAAUGAUUGACAAACCUCCACCACCCAAACAAAUGGGAAAAACAAUAUUAUAGUGCCAAAACCCCCCACUUGCAGCCAAAUAUCUUUCCAAAUUAGUUUUCUUGCUCGUUAAUCCUCCAAAUCCCUUUUUUUACCCAAAUUGCCCAAAUAAGUAAAAAUGGGUAUAUUUUGAGUGCAAAUAGAGCCCACACUCAAGCACGCGGAUUUGAAGAUGUAUUUUCUCUGUUUGCUGAGAUGCGUAGAACUGAAAUCAAACCGGAUAACUUCACUCAUGCUUGCAUUGUACGUGCCUGCGCUGAUAGUUUUGAUUUGGAUGGACUGAAGCUUGUGCAUUGUGGAGUAAUGGUUGCAGGGUUGGGAUUGGACUCCAUUUGUAGCAGUGCACUUGUUUCAGCUUACUGAAGACUCAGCCUUGUUGAUGAAGCAAUCAGGGUGUUUAAUGGGAUUCGACAGCCGGAUUUGGUUUUAUGGAAUUCGAUGAUUUCGGGUUAUGGAAGUGGCGGGUUUUGGGAUACAGGUUUGCAGCUGUUUAGUGAGAUGAGAAGCAUGGAGCUGGUGCCGGAUGGAUACACAAUUGUUGGGUUGCUUUCGGGUUUAGCGGAUUCGAGCUUGAUAAGUAUUGGAGAGGGAAUACAUGGUCUUUGUUUGAAAUGGAAUUUAGAUUCUAAUGCUCAUGUGAGCAAUGUACUUGUGAGCAUGUAUUCGAGAUGUAUGUCUAUGAAUUCUUCACAUAGAGAUUUUAGUGGUUUGUUCGAGCCAGAUUUAGUAACACGGUCUGCUUUGAUCACUGGGUUUUCGCAGUCGGGAGAUUAUGACAAGGCAUUGUUCUUUUUCAAGAAUUUGAACAUGGAAGGUAAGAAGCCGAAUUCGGUUUUGAUUGCCAGUAUGUUGGCUGCUGCUUCUCAGAUGGCGCAUGUAGGGCCUGGUUGUGAGAUACAUGCUCAUGAUUUCCUCUGCACUUAUAGCCAUGUAUUCAAAGUGCGGCUUCUUGGGGAUGGGUACUCGUGUUUUUGAGAUCAUGCCAGAGAAGAAUAUUGUUUCGUACAAUUCUUUAAUAUUGGGUCUUGGUUUGCAUGGACUUGCCUCCGAGGCCUUUAGAAUGUUUGAUGAGAUACUCAGAAACGGAUUGAAACCUGAUGAGUCUACAUUUUCUGCUCUCCCUUGUGCAUGCUGCCAUGCUGGCCUUGUCGAAGAUGGCCGGGAAAUUUUCAGAAGAAUGAAAGAUGAGUUUUGCAUUCAAGCUAGAACGGAGCAUUAUGUUCAUAUGGUGAAACUUCUUGGGAUGGAAGGAAGAUUGGAAGAGGCUUACUAUCUAAUUUUGUCCUUGCCUGAGCCAGUGGACAGCGGCAUAUGGGGAGCCCUUUUAUUGUGCUGUGAUGUAUGUGGGAAAUUUGGAGCUGGCAGAAAUUGUAGCCCGAAGGCUCUCUUUGAAAGUAAUUUGGAGAAAAGUGCUUACAGAGUCAUGCUUUCAAAUAUAUAUGGUGGGAUGAUGCAAAGAAGUUGAGGGAUUCCAUAACAGAAGGAAAACUGAUGAAAAUGCCCGGGCUCAACUGGAUUAAAGGUAGUGAAUUUUUGUUUGAUCAAAAUAUUACUUGUAGUAGGAUUUAAAAUUAGCGACAAAACAAGCUAUCUGUACUAGGAACAGAAUAUUUUUUAUGAGUACGGAAAUCUGACAAGGCUCUUACUCUCUGCGUUAAUCGAAUGCCAUAAAAUCUCGGAUUGGUUUUGCUUGUUUUACCUUCUGAUCUUAUAAGCAGCUCUCUAGUGAUGCAUAAAGAAGGCCAGAGGCAACUAUUAAGAUAUGAAGAUGAUAAACUGAAGGAUAUAAUAUUGUAAUUAUUAAGCUAUAAAGACGAUGAAUUGUCAAAUGCAACUGUCCGUAGCAGUGGAUUUUAUUCUGCUUUGUGAUGUUUUACUGGAAUUGAAAGUGUGUAUAGAGGUGUACAAAGAAAGAAAAGUGUGUAUGGAGUCAAUCAUAAUAUUUGAGGGCCAACUACUUGUAUAUGGAAACAACCCUAACUAUUACAGCUUUGCAUUGUCAUCCUGAAUUUAUCAGACAGCUUAAAAAUUAUCUGUUCACCCGCAUUGGCUCCUCUCCAUCCGAAGAUCUCCAAACUUUAUUAGAUCCUUAUAAUUCCUUGGUGGCAGCAAUUUGUUACGCCGUUGAUAUGGUACUAAAUGAUAUGUGGAAUGUGCCUAAUUUUGUAGUUUUCCUCUCCCCCAUCAGGUGUCAAUCGUUCUGCAUGAUCAUUCAUCAAAGGCAGCAAGUCUAACUGCUCAAGUGUAGUGAGAAACUGCAAACCUUCAGGUAACGUCUUCAGCCCGCAAGCAACAGUGCAAGUGGAGGAUAUUCAUAGAAUCUGAGUAUUCUAGUUGGUGAAGACAGAAUUUUCGAAGAGAUGAAGACAGAAUUCUAGUUGGAGUAUGCAGGUAACGUCUCCAUUUGGUGAAGACAGAAUUCUCGAAGAGGAUUGGGGACCUGGGGACCUGCAAUUUAGUUCCUGUGUAAGGGCGGUCAUCAUAUACUUGCAGCGAGCCCUGGUUGAUCAAUUCAUUUAUAUUUUCUUCUGCUACUUCCUCCAUAAUCUGCACUACUAUCUCUUGAACCAGUCCUUCAGCCACUAGUAACCGUAUAAGUUUCCCUUUGGAAAUCCAGUGGUUCUCAGGGAAGAUGGAACAAUAUAUCAAGCAGUGGUAAAGAGAAUCAGGUAAAUCUCUACAACAUAUUUUUUAUGGAAUGCUUGAAGAAGAAGCUGAUGUCUCAGCUUCUUCGUUGUCUUGAGAGUCUCUGUUUUCUUACAUCUCGACUUCAAUGGUAUUUAAACUAGCAAUAGCGAUCUAACAACUGUGUUUUGCUUAUAGAAGAGAAAUAGAAGAGAAAUAUAGCAAUAUUUAUAGGUUAGAGCUUACGUCAUUCGGUAUAUAUGCUUUGCAGUUUGAUACUUGUUUGCGUUUCUUUCGAGCCUGUCGUAGUGUUGUGGUCUUGUAGACUAUUUCUUUGAAAGCUUCAGGAUGUGGCUUUGUGAUGGAAAUAGAUGCUUAUAGUUUGUGAUGGUUGAGCUUUGUAUUGAAGCAGCCUACAGCAGAAGAAAUGAUGAAGAAGCUGAUGUCUCAACUUCUUAGUUCUCUUCGAAGUUUAUGUUUUCUUGUCUCUCCUUCGAUGGUAUUUGAACUUAGCCAUUUGGUGUUCUACAAAUGUGUUGAUAGCUUAUGCAGCUUGAUGCGACUCUGAGAUGGUAGCACAUGCAAAUUUGUGAUGGUUAUGUUGUGCCUUGGCCCGUUCGUUAGUGCGGAAACGAGAUUCAGAUUACAACCUCACCAUAUUCACACUCAGUUGAACAGAAUAAAAUACAAGAAAUAAAGACACUGAGAGAUUUACGAGGUUCGGCAAAAACCUGCCUACGUCCUCCAAGAGAUAUUGCUCUUCACUAUGAGAAUAACUAGUAAAAGAUACACUUGAGUUAAAUCAACAUAACUCAAACCCCAACCCCUUGUACCCUCACAGAAUUUUACUAAGAGACUCACUCUCCCCAAGAGUUUCUCACUCUCACUCUAUAUUUUUCUCUCCUUUGUGUUUUCCGAAUGCACACCCACUUUCUUCACAAUCGGCAAGCUCACUCCUCUUUGUGUAUGAAAAAUGCCUUCACUUAUAGACAUGCACCAUCAAUUAUGUCAACCACCAAAAACAAAGUUUACGGGGUCAUGUUUCCAAAGUCCACAAAACAUGCUUCCAAAGUCCACAAAGUUGAGAGGAAAUGGUUGCCAACUCAUAAUUAUAUGAGCCAAACAUAACAAUCUCCACCUUGGCGAAUAUACUGUGCAAAAAUCCUUGCACCCAUCACCAAUGUCCAUUGGCCUUACGUACCAGCAUACACACCCUGAAUCAACCUCGUUGGUCCUGUUCCUGAUUCAGUCACUGCCAAUGCAUGUGCAGCUGUUGCAAGCUAAAAAUCACCAUUUAGCUUCAGACAGGAUCUCGACAUAUCCUCGUCUCCUCCAGCAGGUUUUCCUCCUCUUCAUUGUCAACCUGGAAACUUGUCAGUGCACCCAUUUCCAGCAACACCCGUCGAGCCAGACAAAUAUUCCUCACACUUCUCCUCCUUCAGGACCAUCUCAUCACCUGUGAAUCCCAUAGCUCCACCUGCUGCAAAACCUCUGCAACACUUGAGACUAAACAUCACAGGAGAAGUGUUGCUUCGAGUACCUAGAGGGCAUACUCGAAGUCUUCUGCCACAAAAUUGCUACUACUCGAACCAAGAUCAUCCUUUCUUUUUCUCAAAGGACAAUUUUUCUUUUUAUGCCCGAAUUUUUUGCAGUCGUAGCAUUGUAGACCCUUGCCUUUGGAACUUGAUUUGAACCUACUGUCUCCCUCAAAUCCUCCUCCCAAUUUUCUUCCACGAUUCCAACCUUAAACAGCUAAAGCAGUCUCGUGCCCACCAUCAACAAUGGUCUUCUUCUUUUGUGUAUCAUAAGACACCAAAGAAGCAUGCACCUGCUCCAAACUUACUGUAUCUUUUCCAUGCAGUAAGGUUGUCACAAGAUUUUCAUACGAAUCUGGAAGUGAGGUAAGAAGUAAGAGGGCUUUGUCUUCUUCCUCAACCUUAACAUCAACUUUCCGCAAUUGAUCCAAGUAUCCGUUGAACACAUUCAUGUGGUCCAUGAGAUUCCCGCCUCCAUCCAUCUUUAGCUUGUACAGCUUCCGCUUCAGAUGUAACUUGUUGGUCAAACUCUUAGCAAUAUAGAGUUUUUCCAACUUCUCCCAAAGUGCAGGCGCAGAAUCUUCAUCCAUAACAUUAUUGAUAAUGUUAUCAGCUAUACAGUGUCGAAUCGUGCUAACACAACACGCCUCCAGCUCCUCCCACUGGUCAUCUGUCAUUUCUUGAGGCUUCCCAUCUUUUCCCUUCAAAGCUCUAGCCAAGCCUUGUUGAGUCAAGACAUCCUUUACUCUCAUUUGCCAAAGAGUAAAACUGCCUUUCCCAUUAAACUUCUCAACUGAAAAUGACAUGUUUGUAGUCAUCAUGGUGAAUAACAAAUCUGGACCUUCAAUGAACCAAAGCUUCCAACAAAGCUCUGAUACCAAUUGUUGUGCCUUGGCCCGUUCGUUAGUGCGGAAACGAGAUUCAGAUUACAACCUCACCAUAUUCACACUCAGUUGAACAGAAUAAAAUACAAGAAAUAAAGACACUGAGAGAUUUACGAGGUUCGGCAAAAACCUGCCUACGUCCUCCAAGAGAUAUUGCUCUUCACUAUGAGAAUAACUAGUACAAGAUACACUUGAGUUAAAUCAACAUAACCCAAACCCCAACCCCUUGUACCCUCACAUAAUUUUACUAAGAGACUCACUCUCCCCAAGAGUUUCUCACUCUCACUCUAUAUUUUUCUCUCUUUUGUGUUUUCCGGAUGCACACCCACUUUCUUCACAAUCGGCAAGCUCACUCCUCUUUGUGUAUGAAAAAUGCCUUCACUUAUAGACAUGCACCAUCAAUUAUGUCAACCACCAAAAACAAAGUUUACGGGGUCAUGUUUCCAAAGUCCACAAAACAUGCUUCCACAAAACAUGCUUCCAAAGUCCACAAAGUUGAGAGGAAAUGAUUGCCAACUCAUAAUUAUAUGAGCCAAACACAACAGGUUAAGCUUUGUAAAAUCACAUUUAAUGUAAAAUUUCAAUACAAAGUAAAACAUGAUUUUAAUUGAUAUGGGACGAGGAUGGAGAUGAAUGAUAAUGAUAGUAUGUACUACCAAAAUUACUCUUUAUUUUUUGUUAUUUUUUUAUUGAUUUCUUUUGUUACUUUGUGCUUGGUUCAAAUGAAAACUCAAUUAUGGCGCUAGGGCGACGGUCUUUUUUUAUUGAUUUCUUUUGUUACUUUGUGCUUGGUUCUUUUUUUAAAUCAUUAAAAAUUGAUUCUGACCAGCCUUAUUAUGUGGUUUACAAAAAAUAGUCUAAGAAUAUGGUUUUCCAAACCUUUCCCCUCCCCCCAUAAAUUGUGUUACAAAUUUAAACACCAUUUUCUCCACGAAUUUGGAUCCUCUCCUGAGUAGAGGGUUCAAAUCUUGCUGACCAAGAAACACGGACUGUUAGGUCAAAAUCCAACGGCAACAAUUAUUAUAACUUUUAGAGAGUUUCUUUGUUUGUAACAGUUAGAUUUUGAUCCAACGGUCCGUGUUGUUUGGUCAGCAGGAUUUGGACCCUCUGCUCAGGAGAGGAUCCAAAUCCUUUUCUCCACAUUAGACCGUUUCAAACAAGCAUUGAUGCCUCUCGUUCAUAAUUAACGAGAAUCUAAUGUGAAAAAAAUAAAGUUCAGGUGCCUAUACCAAAAUGCAUAUUUCAUUUGGAAUGUGCCCCUUGAAAUUGUUACAUAGAAAUGUUAACGAGACUCCUUCAAAAUGUUUUAAAAUGUUGACUCAGAGAAUUAAUGUUAAAUUGUACCGUGACAUGGAGUCCACGAAGAGUACAACUUUUGAGAAAGUCCUUAAAAUUUCUCAUUCUUAGAUAUUUUUCUUUAUGACUUGUCUGCUUUUAUAGGGUUUGUCCGGCAUACCAAGCUUGGAAACCAUUAAAGGACCCAUUUACGGGAAGGAGAUGGGCUAAACCUCAUAAUGGGGUAACAAUAAUGUAGUUUAAUUUCUCAUUUGGCGAUAAUUAAACGUAAAAUAUCUCACUUACAAGUGAAAAUGAAUACCACUAAACUGUAGUACCAAGUGGCAAGAAUUUGAUGCUCUUGGCUCCUCUUAUUAAACAUGUUUAGGGUUGGGGGAGGUGUGGGGGUCUUUAUAUAAUGAUCUUUAUUGGUAAACCCUUCAGCCACGAGUACAAUUUUGGUCAUAAAUAAUACUGAACAGAUGACAGUUGCUCAUGAAACUGUCAUUUCGAUUUGUCAUAAUAUAGAUUAUCCCUGAAUAUCGUCUGUGUUGGGUAGCGAUAAACACUACGUAAUUAAGAUCUUGAAGCGCUUGUUCGCGAAAACUUCAAUUUUAGCCUCAAAUGCCAAACUUAAACAUAUGAAGGGAUAUGGGUAUGUUAAAUUCAAGAUCUUCAUAUUCAUGACUAAAACUAGUCUAUAAUAGAGUGUGUGUUAAGAAAAAUGCUAACGACUCUCUAUGGUUUAUAUGGCACUUCACAAUUUAACAUUAAUUAUCGUGCUAAUAUUAUAAAAAAAACUGUUAUUAGCAUUCUAAUAAUCUCAUUUUACACUCCUCACAAGUGUAUUUUCUUUCUAAAAUUGGUAUAACAAUCAAGGCUAAAAAAAAUAGUAGAAGUAAGAAAAAAUGAAAAGAAGGUGUUUGGGUUAAUAUUUAAACUUUGGGCUUCAGAAAGGGAAGCCCAAAAAGAGCUCAAGAAGGAGAUUUCGCCCGGGACCCAGCACUUGAGCCCAGAUCAUCCAUCUUAAAGACCAAUUGGCACUCCCCCAUUAAUGCAAAUGCUAGUUGCUUACAAGAAGUGACAACCCAUGGAAAUUCACCAACUAUAGGCCUAAAAGAGCUUUUUGGAUGGCAAACACGUAAAAAGGUUGAUGACUCACUACCAUUCAGUUACUUUCGGGCAAGAGUAGAAAUAACACAGCUGGGCCACUACGUCUAUAAAAGGGGGAAGAGGGCCCAGACACAAGGACAUUCAACCAAUCAAACAAAUAGAUAUACAACUUGUCUCUCAGCCAUGGACCAAAAUAUCGAUAAUAUCGGAUCGUUUUUUGAGAUGACGAUAUUUCGUGACUUAUCUCCUUAAUUAUCGUUAAUAUAUCGCGAGAUGAAACCUAAAAAUACUUGAAAAUUUCUGAAAAGUCUCAAUCUUGCGCAUAGAGGGAUUCGAUGACCACCAUAUCACUUAUGUUUUUGUGAAAAUAUGCUAAAAUAUUUAUAUAUAUGGUUUUAUUUUGAAUUCUUUUUGCAAGAAACAAAUUUGCACAUAUUCCAAAAUUUUUGUGGUAUUAUAUUUUAAAUUGUGUCAAUUAAUUACUUAGUUAAUGGCAUGUGGUUUUUAAUUUUUCUAUUUUUUAUUUGGUCACUUACAUGUAGGGCUGGAAAAAAAUCUCGAAAAUCCCAAACCAAACCGAAAAAGUCCCAAACCCAAACCAAAACCAUCAUGAAGUUCGGGAAUCCCAUCCUGAAAAAUACCGAAAUUUUCGAUAUGGGAUUGGUUUCCAAAUCCCAUUUGUUUGGUAAUCCAGAAAAAUACCGAAGUAUUCAGUUUCCUAUUGACUUUUGGGUUUUAGCUCUUGAAAACUAUUGCCAUGGUUGCUGACUACUCUUCAUAAUAUACUCACUCUACACAUAGAGAUGAUGAAGAUAGUGAAAAUUUUGAAUCUCAUAAGAACUCUAUGUGGUACUAAGUCACUCAUGUAUCUUACCAUGCAAUGUAUAAAGUGUAAAAUAUUGUACUAAUUCAUUAUAUAUAAAUGAUUAUGGUGUGUUUAAACUUCUUUCAUUAAUUACUACAUAUUUUCUACACUCACAAUGUUUGCCAGCUCGCUAUAUAAUCAACUUAAAUCAGUUCAUCAUGCAAUGCAUUUCCUUCUAAUAGAUAAUUGACUAAAUAAACAUCCUGCAAAGUUCCAAUAAAAAUUUCCAAGUUUUUCUUACAAUUUUCGUGGUUUUUAUUCAAUUUUUAUUGAUAUCGAUAAUAUCCCGAUAUUUCUAUCGAAAUUUUCGUGUUUUUAGACUACCGAUAUUUUCGAUAUCAUCGAUAUUUUAGACCAUGCUCUCAACUAAGCAAAUACUCAGAAAGCUGCGCUUUGUCCAAAUUCUGCACAUUUUUAGCCUUAGAUUUCUUGUCGAAAGACAUAUUUUGUCUAUGUAAAAAGCUCUGCUACCUUUUUUUCUUUCUAAAUGCUGUAGUAUCGAUCUCUCAUAUGUAAACUCAUUUCCAGUCAUCCCCUUUAAGUACUCAACCCUUUUGUUACUGCCAAGAGAAGAGACCGCAAGAUGUUUUAACCUUACCCAACAAGGUGAAAUAUCGCCCGACUCUCUUUGUUUUUGCCUUUCCAUUAAUAGAUCUGGUGUUAUAAUGCAUCCAUCAGUAUAUAUGCAAGUCAUUUCCGGUCUCCUGAUAAUCCAAAGUUCCAGUAACUCUCAGAUCUGGUUCACUUAGUACUUUUACUAUCGUAAAGGUAAAUGAAACUAAUGUUUUAAUCUGAUCUGGACCUUCACCCUUUAAAACAUACAAGAUAAACAAAAAGUACUUAAUCUCAAGGCAUAGAAAAGAACUUAAUGUGGACUUAACCCAUCCAUGACAAUCCUUUGAUAAUGAUAAGUUAGAAUAACUUGGGGCGCAAGUAAUCGGCUUAAAUACAUUCAUUCUACAUCUGCCAUACAGAGAUGGUAAUGGCACGCCUUAGCACUUAGUUAGUUUUGAUUGCAAGCCUCACGACUUACACCUAAGGCCCGACAAAGGCACAUUUCAGAACUAACUCUAUCCUAUUCUUGCAGCCCGACAAGCAAGCGAGAACCCAACAGCUAACCGAAGUGCCAACUUCUCGGGGAGCUGUGUGCUCGAGCCAAAGACCAUUUUCCAGUGAAAUUCCUGCCCGAACAUAGUUUUGGCAUGCCCAUAAAUCUUGUAUGCCAAGAAGAUGAAGGAAGGAACAAACCUUCAGGUGGGAAUCAAAACAAAAACCACCAGGAUCUAGCAUGGCAAAUCUCCCCGAAGACUUGCAAGGAUCCGUUUUAAUCGAAAGCUCGACCCCUUCUAAGAGAUCAGGAGAAAAGGUCACAAAUGAAGAUUUGCAGGCUAUUAUAAUGGCUGCGAUAAGGAGCAUGGAAAGAAACUCUUUACAUACAAGAGAAUAAGUAAACAGACUCUGUUCCUUAACAGAACAUCUGCAAAAGAGACUGGAUCUGGAGUACCCUACCCCAAAAAAUAAUCGUGCUAAAGAAACCAUAAGGGAAACUAGCCUUGUGGAUGAAUAAGUUAUUCCUCUGUUUCCUUUACUUGAGGAAAAAAGGAAAAAAGGAAAGAACAAGGAAGAGUACGGAGCCAGUCAGUAUUAGAAAAAUUACUGGAAGUGGAAUUGCCCGACCCCCUAUUUUCACUAAAUAGUAGGAGGCAGAGCGAGCAAGAAAGAGCGAAGUAUGGAAUGCCCCAGUUGAUCGGGGAAUCUAACGGGAAAUAAGAGCUUACCAAAGCAGACAAACCUCCACCUUAUAGGUCACCACCAAUGGUCACUAAAGAAUGAGGGUUCAAGUGGAGAAAGUCCGAGGCAAGAAAUGAGAUUAACUCGGGCAAUGAUCGUAGCCUAAAAUGAGAAUCACGUCUUUGUACUCCGUCUAUUAAUGCAUCCAAUCAGCAACUCAGAGAUGAGUUAGCAGAGUUAAGAAGAAUGGUGAUGAGAAAUACUCAGUCGCAAGCCCGUCUGCUGUUUAGGAUUACUUAUCAGAAGCCUUACUCGGAGUUCAUUAAUGAUUAGAAUCCAUUUCCUCUUAACUUCAAGAUGCUCGCAUUCCUAACUUUCAGUGGAAAAGACAACAAUGUGUCAUAUAGGGAUCACACCUUUAAGUUUUCCGCCCACUGCGUGGCAUUUGAAGAUAACUCCAACUACAAAUUAAGACUAUUUGGAAACUCCUUAGUGGGCUUAGUAUCUCAGUGGUACUUUCUGUUGCCCCCAAAUUCCAUUGCUAACCGAGGGCAAAUGGAAAUGGCUUUCCACGAGCAGUUUUAUAGGAUAAAGUCAGAGAUGACCAUCAACGAUUUGGUUGAGGAAAAACAAUACGAGCAUGAAUCUACUGAGGAUUUCAUUAUGAGGUUUAGGAGGACAAUGAUGAGAUGUCAGUUUCCUAUCAACCAUGUCUAACUCAUAACUAUUGCUCAAAUGCCUUGAGAUUGCCCUUGAGGAAGAGAUUUUAUGACGCACAGUUUAAUGAGCUUCAAGACUUGGUGAUUGCGGCCACUAAGUAUGAGAAGUUGUUGCUUGAGGAGCAGUAACUAAAGCACUCCUCUAAAACACCACCUUUCUACAAAAGUAAAGCCAUAAUUCACCAAGUGGAGUUUGAGGGAGAGCCAGAAUGAGAUGAUGGUCGAGGGAGAGAAGUAAUAGACAUGUAUGCAGCAUAGAUGACCACUCAUUUUAAACCCUUGAUAGUCAAAUGAUUGGUUCAGCCGGUCAAGGAUCAGAAGGUAGUGAUGAACGAUGGUGGAUUCAUCCCCAUGAAACCCCCAAAACACCAGAGCUAUUCUUUUGACUUGACCAAGGCUGCAGAAAUUUAUGAAGAAUUGGUGCAGGCAAAAGUGAUUGUGCCCGACAACACUAAAAAGAUGCCUAAUCCCGAGGAAUUAAGAGGGAAAAAGUAUUGCAAGCUACACUACACAUUCAAUCACUCUAUUACUAACUAUGUCUAAUUUAGAGAUUGGAUACAAGAUCUCAUCAUUAAAGGGAAGUUGCUAUUGGAGAAACCUCAGGCCAACAUGAUUAUUGACACGGAUCCCUUCCCAGAAGCUCCUAUAAACAUGGUCAACCUAAUGUGGGCCAAGAAAGAAGGAGGGAAAACCACUUGGGAAAUGGAAGCAGAAUGAAGGAUCCAUAGAGGAAACUCUCAAAAUACCCAAAAAAUCCAAAGCAGCCAUAAAAGAUUGACUUUUACCACUAAAAAGUUCUGAAAGUGAAAUUCAAAUAGAAGAAGAUUUCAUUCCAUUUCGUAAAAAGGUUACAAGGAUCUUAGUCUAAUAACUUUACAUCUUCGGCAAGAGCAACUACUCUAGAGAAUUAAGUUUGCAUGAUGGUGAAAAUCCGCCCUGGUUCUCCUAAAUACAUGUUGUUAUUCACAAGUUGAACGCUGGAAUCCUCAACCUUCUGGGAAAUCUUUUCCAUCUCUUUUACUUUUUGGGAAAGAUGGUUGUUAAGGGUCACUUUCUCAGCCUUAAAAGAAGACAACUGUUCCUCCAAGCGCUGGAUUUCAGAGUCAACCACUGCUAUCUUUCCUUCUUUCACUAACCCUUCCUCCAACGACUGUCGAAGCACGGUUGUACUCUUUACAUGUUUUUCUUGAAAGAACUUCACUCGAUUUGUUGCCUGCUCCGCCUUCUGAUGCUGAUCCCUUAGUGCCCGCAAAUUCUAAAAAAAACUCAGAAAAGAUUUAUACUGAACCUGGGAUAAUAACUGAGCUUGGUAAAGCUAAAUAAGGGUUUUCUCUGCGUCAUGGAGGUUUUAAGACUGAAGGUAGCUGUAAAGUCCUUUUUCAUUUAAUCCUUGAAGAUCUGACGAGCAUGCUGAAAAGGAGGAAACUCUAAAGAUGUUGAAGAUGACUACAAUUUGGUUUUGAUUUGCCCGAAUUUCUUUACCAAGUCAGGCAAGGAUAAUGCUGGUGAUGCGGAAGGUUCACCUUUCGCACCUUCCACCAUAACAGAAGGAGCAACAUCAGCUAAAGAAAUAUAAAGGAUGGCAAAAGUAGGAGCAGGUGCAUGAAUGGAAGUAGUCGUUGCAAUAGUCUUGGCUCGUUUUUUUUUUUUUUGCCUAGAAAUGGAGGCCCUUGUACCCCUAGAAGCCGAAAAAGAACGUGGAAAAUCUCUUUUACGUACCAAACACGGUGGAUAGUUGCUUGAACCUUCUCCAGAAUCCUAUUGCAACCAAGAAAGAUGUGUUAAAAAUGAGAAUUCACAAGACGAAUGAGGACAAGGCAAAUCUACCUAAGUUAAGCUUGAAGCCUUGGAAGGAAGGGGAGUUACUUCAGUUGAUUGCUAAGGGAGAUUGUCAUGGCUAACUAAGGGAAGAUAAGCUAUGCUCGAACUUUCAACAAAAACCUACAAUUAACAGAAGCAGGAAUAAAGUUAGUAAUAAGUUUUGAAAAGAGAAAAACAGAAAGUCUAAAUAAUAAAUAUACCUGAUGGAGAACUUGAGGUUGGGAAACAAACACUUCAGAGACAACAGAAUGAGCUGCCCGCGAGGCCUGCGGAUUAGCCACCUCUAAAACCACGGGAAUUUCAGGGACAAUGGGCUCCCCAAAAAAUAGAAACUGGUGUUUGAUGGAAUUCCUAUGUAAAAGCUUUGCUACCUUUUUUUUCUAAAUGUUGUAGUAUCGAUCUCUCAUAUGUAAACUAAUUUCCAGUCAUCCCCUUUAAGUACUCAACUCUUUUGUUACUGCUAAGAGAAGAGACCGCAAGACGUUUUAACCUUGCUUGACAAGGUGAAAUCUCGCCCGACUCUUUUUGUUUUUGCCUUUCCAUUAAUAGAUAUGGUGUUAUAAUGCAUCCCUCAAUAUAUAUGCAAGUCAUUUCCGGUCUCUUGAUGAUCUAAAGUUCCAGUAACUCUCAGAUCUGGUUCACUUAGUACUUUUACUAUUGUAAAGGUAAAUGAAACUGAUGUCUUAAUCCGAUAUGGACCUUCACCCUUUAAAGCAUACAAGAUAAACAAAAAGUCCUUGAUCUUAAGGCAUAGAAAAGAACUUAAUGUGGACUUAACCCAUCCACGACAAUCCUUUGAUAAUGAGAAGUCAGAAUAACUUGGGACGCAAGUAAUCGGCUUAAAUACAUUCAUUCUACAUCUGGCAUACAGAGAUGGUAGUGGCACGCCUCAGCACUUAGUUAGUUUUGAUUGCGAGCCUCACGACCUACACCUAAGGCCCGACAAAUGCACCUUUCAAAACUAACUCUGUCAUUUUCUUGUAGCUCGACCAGCGAGCAAGAACCUGACAGCCAACCAAAGUGCCAACUCCUCAGGGAGCUAUGUGCUCGAGCCAGGGACACUUCCCAGUAAAAUUCCUGCCCGAACAGAAGGAAAGAAAGGGAAGAACGGAGAUUGACCUCGGCCGAAACUAGGAUUGGCGCCACCGAUUCUGCUCAAAUUUGGAGGCCUCACACGAACAUGUGAGAAAGACUCUCACUCAAGAGAGAACCAGAAGCUUCCAACUUUUGAUGUGAUGUUUAUGUAUAAUUUCCAAACAGGACUUUUGGCAACCUUUCUUCUACCAAUCCAUAAUUAAUUUUCUAAAUUCAUUAUUUAUCGUUGCAUUUUUCACAAAGAAUCCAAUAAUCUCGUAUCAAUAUUAGAUCCAACACAUAUUUGAGCAUACAUCGCAAUCCAUAAUAUAUUGAAACAAUUGCAUUAAUAGAGAAAACAUGUAAGAGCUGGAAUAAUUAAACUAAUCAGGGAGGAAUUAUGAAAAUGAUAGCUAGAACCCAUUAUCCAUGAUUCUGAAUUAAAUUAAUCAAGGAAUUAAGAAAAUGAUCAUAGGAGUUAGAACCCAUUAUCAACGAUCCCAUUCCGAAUUAAACUAAUCAAGGAAAUAUGAAAAUGAUCAUAGGAGCCAGAACUCAUUAUCCACGAUUCCGGAUUAAACUAAUGAGGGAAUUAUAAAAAUGAUCAUAGGAGCCAUAACCCAUUAUCCACGAUUCCGAAUUAAACUAAUCAGGUAAUUAUGAAAAGAGAAAUUUUAUUUGAACCCAUAUAACAUUUUUCUACAUUCAAAUUAAAUUUUAAAUAUGAGGGAUCCUUUUUAACCUUUUACAUAAUUACUAAAACUAAAUUUUAUCAAUAAACCCACACCCAAUACUUUCACCAAUCCUUCUUCUACGAAACUUAAAAUGAGACAAAGAAAUUAGAUCUGUGACUGAAUGCCUCGCAUAAAAAUCACAAGUCCAUGAAGGCAUAUACCACUUCCCUAUCCAUCCUAUAGAAAACUGAGGCAAUCACGCCAACGUCAAGGCAAAGAAGACAGAAGAUGGAGACUAUGUACUAGUUAAAAUUGGUCAAGCACAAAACCAGAUAGCAUGAUAUUUAUGUAAAUAUUCAUAUAACUAAAUUCAAAUGGCAAAGAGCAUAGGCACCUAUAGAAAAAUUAUGGGUUAUUGCUAAAAAGUGGUAACAAGUCAAAGGAAAAUACAUAAACUUUUGGAUAGCGAUUUUGGACCCUCAUUUUAAGUGUUUUGCACUCAAAGGAAGGAGUGCAAGAGAUUCAAUCGAACGUGAAAAUCACUGGCCAAGUUUUUUUCAAACAAUGUAACAAAGAUUUAAAGUCGAAUGUCAAUAGAAAAGUUGUAAUCACCAAAAAGGAUACAAUGAAGAGAGUAAAAUUGCUGAUGGAAUUGGCAACAAUAUGACGGUAGAGGGUGCUGAGGCAGACAUCAAUUACCAUACCUAAACAUGUAUAUAUAAACAUGUCAAACAAAAUAGCAACUGAUGAUUUUCUAACAAAUGCAAAAUAUAACAAGAUUAAAGAAAAACUGCAAGUAGCCUAUGACCUUUAAGUCUCGAAAUCAAACUCAGUAAAAACCAAAUUAGGGAAUGCAUAAAUCAGAAUCUAAAUCAUAUUGAUUUGGUUAUUUUGUAAGAGAUUAAGUUAUCACAAAUUCUAACUUGAUAUGGGUAUAAAGAUAAAUUUACAUAUUGAAUUGGGUUUGUGAGGGUAGUUUAUGUAGUAAAUUUGGUUUAACAAGAUAUUGAUAGUAACUUUAAUUAAAAAGUUAGGUGUAAAGAAAGAUUAUAUGGAUUCAAAUAAAAUUUUCCUGAUGAAAAUGAUCAUAAGAGCUGGAACCCAUUAUCCACGAGUUCGUGGUGGAAGAAAAUGAUCAUAAGAGCCGGAACCCAUUAUUCACGAUUCCACGGUGAAAGACUUGUCGUCAACCUUUUGAAAGUCCAAUUAGAAACUCUUAUCCAAACUCCUGCAAGUAAGUUAGGGUGACUCAAGAAAAAUUAAAAGAAUAAAAUACGUAAAGUGUAAACCAAGGUUCAUAGACGGAUCAAAGUCAAAUCAAAGUCCAUAAAUCUUUGCUUUCCCUUUGCACUAUCAUUCAUCUCCACCUUCACCCAUAAAAAAUAAAUUAAGGAAGCAGUUUGUUCCAGCGCUGAGGUCUUGAAAUUUGGGGGCCGAAUCGAUCACAAAAUGGAGCCCUACAUAUGAGCAACUUUUUUUUUUUCCUCACUUUAUUCUCGUAGAUAAUUAACUAAGAAAAUACUUUACUCGUAGAUAAUUAACCAAGAAAAAAUUAGGCACCUAAUGCAAAUGACAUAUUUGUAAAAAAACGACUCUCCUAGUGAGAAGUCUUACGCGACUUGUGACAAGUUACUUGUCACACCGCACAUGGGUGAUUGUACUAAAUCAAGGUGACAUUAAAGUUUAAUAAAAAAUUGUCACAUGUUUAAAAUUACACUAUUUUUUUAUGAACAAAUGAAGAAUCUCUUGUAUGGGAGAGAAUGAAUAAAAAGAGUGGAUGACGCAACAUAAAGUGAUGAAAUGGUUAUCAACGUAAUCCAUUGCAGAGCAAAAUCUAGAAUCCUUCAGAAAAUUGAGAGAAAUCCCAAAAUGUCACAUCCCGGCCCGGGUCCACCACAUUCCGGCCCGCUCCACCACCGUAACAUGAUAUUGUCCGCUUUGGGCUUAUUCCCUCACAGUUUUUUUUUUUAGGAACUCACGAGCAACUUCCCAGUGGGUCACCCAUUCUGGGAAUGCUCUGGCCUCAUUCUCGCUUAACUUCAAAGUUCCUACGGAACCCGAAGCCAGUGAGCUCCCAAAAAACCUUGUGCUCGGUAGGGAUGAGAAUAUACAUUUAAGGAUCACUCCCCUGGGCGAUGUGGGAUGUUGCACAAAAGGUUUUUGUUUGAUUAAUUCUUGAAUGAUUGUCAUUGAUACAUCUAGAUGACUUAAAUAAAGAUUACAAAUGUUUGGAACAACUCAAAUGACUUCUAAUAAUUACAACAACAUUAGUUAAACAUUAAUCGGACUACAAACGAAGAGUCCGAUUUUUAUUCCGAAACUUUAAACGUUCUUUUGGAGGCUAUCCUUUUAUCUUUCAACAGUCCAUUUCCUCUUCGAUUUAUUCUGCCAUUUAUUCUACAUCAACGAACAACUCAAGGGUCCUUCCUUUGACAGUCCAAUUAGAAACAUAAGCAUAUAUUGACCAAAAAAAGAAGAAAGAAACAUAAGCAUAUAAUUAUUGUCCAAACCACCGAAAGCUAAAGUCUAUAAAUCUUGUUUUCCCCUUGCACUAUCAUUCAUCUCCACGUUGUGGUGAAAGGAUUUUCAAAGUCAUUGUUUCUGCUUCCGAAGAUGAAUGGUUCUUUAGCAAAGCUGAUGGCAAUUACAACACUAGUGUUGCUUCUGAUGGGGGAUUUCCAAGCAACUUGUGGACUACUUCCUCAUGGUAUAUCUAAUAAUUAUCUUCCUUUUAUGAGAUCUCUAAGCCUUAGCAUUAGCUACUUAAUUAAAUCGACUUAGUUUUUACCAAUUUUAUUAUUUGGUAGCUAAUUUCUUGCUUCUUGUGAUUUUCUCAUAUAAUUGAACAAGAUUGCUUUGAAUGUCAAAGUGAUAUUUUGAGCACGAAAGUGGUGCCCGUUCGCCGCAGCCUAAGACCAUUCAAAAGGCCACCACCCGCACCUGCUCGCAAUAAACCGGAAUCGCAUACGCCUGAGGUACAAGUGAAAUAAACAAACAUAAAACCCUUGGCAGAAACUCCCUGGAGCACUUCAUCGUUCCUAUUUUCUUGUAUUUUUAUUUGUUUUCUUAAGAGGAGUUAAGUUUAUAUCCCCCGUUCUUUUAUUGUAUUUUUUACUUUAUUAUUUCUUCUUAUAUUAUGAGCUAAACUUUAUGUCCCCUUACUUAAGUGCAACUUCUUUUUCCUGAUUCUAUAAAAUUUCUCUUAUGCAGUCGAGGUUUCUUUAAAACAAGUGGAACAAACCAACCAACCAACCAACCAACCAACCAAGAAACAGAAAAUUAAGCCACAAUAUUCAAGCAUGAUGACCAAUAGAUAUAAUUUCUAACAAGGUUCUAAAAGACGUUAGGCGCUAGUCGGGUGGCGGGCUGGGGCCUAGCGCCUAGGCAGCUAGAAGGGGUCUAGGUGGGCUCGUAGGCGAACUAGCGGAUUUAAUUAAAUCUAUUAUAUUUUGUAUAAAUAAAAGUCCGUUUAUAUUUAGGGAAUUGGUAUUAGCACUCCAAAAAUCUCAUUUGGCACUCCAAACUUUCUAUAAUUAGAAAGAAAAAUAUACUUAUGAGGAGUGUAGAAUGAUAUUUUGGAGUGCUAAUAACAGUUCCCUAUAUUUAAAAUAUAUAUUAUUUCAUCAUAAACUACAAAAUGAAAUGACAUAUAUAUUAUGAGCUAUUGGAACACAAUAAAAACAUUGCGAACGAGUAUAUAAUGUGUGUUCCCUUAAGUAUUCAACAAGUCUCUUACAAUUUAUUAAAGAAAAAAAGAAAAUGUAAUAUGAAAGUUAUCUAUUUUUUGUCUAAGUGAGUUGCAACCUAAGCAGGUGUCUAGGCAGGUCCGGGCGGGCUAGGCGGGUGCCUCAGUAGGUCUAGGCACCCUUUCUUAAUUUUCAAACGCCUAGGCAUUAAUCAGGGCAGUGACCAACCACCUAGCGCCUAGGCGGGGAUAUUUAGAACAAUGAUUUCUAUUAACAUUCACCAAUGCAAUUGAAUAAAAAGAACAUUGAAUUCAAAGAACAUAAAAAUUUCAACAAAAGAAAAAAGAAAAAAAAAGACACAUCCAAUAAAUUAAGCAAAGAUUUCAAUCGAUAGGUGAUGAGUCAAUAUUAUUCUAUAUUUGUACUCUAAUCUUAGUUAUAAUUUAUUUGUUAUUUUGUGAGGAUUUUGAUACUUUGCUUUAUCUUCAAUUGUAGGACAUGUGAAUCUAUUUUGAGCAAAAGGCGAUGAAACGAAAAAAAUUUAGAGUAGAUUUAUAUGUCUUUCAAGAUGAUUGUGUCUAAGUUUCAGAAUUUAUUUCCUAGUCGUUUGACCAUAGUGAAUAAAAGAAGGCUGAUCACGCAGUGCUGGCAGCUUGAUGUUUUGUUCUUGUUUCGGCCAUAAGUCAUUCAAGAUGACUUUUUUUUUUUUUAAUUUUUGGGAAAGUCCAUUUUGUAAAAGUGUAAGGAACGUUUUUAUCUUUCUAACGCCACCCGGCAUGCUUGAUUUGGAGCAAAUUUGACUAGGAAACGUGUUGAAUAUUUGGCUGCCCAGAUUGUCCAAGUUAGGGUAGGAAUGUUUUUCCUAGUUUAUUAUUUGGGCUUCCAAAUUUGUUGGGGACCUAAUUUAGAUAGGAUUUCAAUUUCUGCACACUAUAUAUAGGACAAGGAUUGUCUGCCCCAAGCUCUCCUAUGCCCUCCUGUUUGUGUGGUCACGGUUAAGCCACGUCAACAUUUUAUAUUACUAUUCAUUUUUGUCUUAUUAUCUCUAUAAAAAAACAAUAUAAAAUGUUGAUGUGGCUUAACCGUGACCACACAAAACAAGAGGGCACGGGAGGGCACGAGAACAAAGAGGGCAGACAAUCCUUGUCCCUGUAUAUAUAACCGAGUCUUUUUCUAGGGCCAUAAUGUUUUUAGACUUGUAGAUCUUCUUAGGAGCUUUUGAUGAUUUGUUACAAGGGUAUUUUCUAUCUUUUCUCCUUAAUAAUAUUUUUGCUUUCCAAUUAUGAAUAUGCGUAACUAAUUCCUUUUCCUAGGAAGAGUCCACGAGCUUUAGCAUGAAUAUGUAGUUUCUUUUCAAAUAAACUAGGAACGUAUUGAAUAUUUUGCACACUAUAUAUAUAUAUAUAUUUAGCCGAGUCUUUUUCUAGGGCCAGAACAUUUUUAGACUUGGAGAUCUUGGCUUAGGAGCUUUUGACGAUUUGUUACAAGGGUGUUUUCUAUCUUUUCUUCUUAAUAAUAUUUUUACUUUACAAUUAUGAAUAUGUGUAACUAAUUCCUUUUGCUAGGGCGAGUCCACGAGCCUUAGUAAGAAUAUGUAGUUUCUUUUAAAAAAUCUUGUUUGAUACAACUUCUAUUAGAAUGUCAUCAUGAAAUUGAGUAGGACUUCUUGUGAUUGUUAAUUAUAAUUUCACUUAAGGCGAAUGUCAUGUCUUAAGGGAUGCAUGAUUUUUCGAAAGGUUUUCACAAAGCUUAAUGAGUUUUGCAUGUUCAUGUUUGAUCUAAAUAUCACAGACGGAUUGCAAGUUUGAUAUAUGUUCUAGCUUGAAUGCCAUAAGUAGAAUAUGCAUUAGGAAAAUCUAACCUUCAAAGUUUGCAUGUAUUAACUCAUAAGUAAUUGAUAGAACUGCAUAUGAUUGAUUUUUUCAUAAAACUAUUUUAUUUUCUCUUUGCUGCCGAGUUUUUACUAAAACCAAUUUCAAUUAUUUUAUUUUAUGUUUCUUUUAAUUCACAAUUUCAAAUCUUGUUUUAAACAGUUAGCUAAGAAUUGGUUUUAUAUACAAAUUGUCCAUAUCAGUCCCUAUAGGUUUUAGCUACAAAUUGUUCAUAUCAGUCUCUAUAGAGAACGAUCUUACUUGAGCUGUUUAUACUAUUGUUGUAAACUAAACCAAAAAAACCAAUCAAGCAAUAAACAAAACACAACGAUUCCAGAGUUCCUCUAAUAUAGGAGUACCUCUCUAACAACUGAAGCUUUAUUGACUACCAACAAAUACAAGAGAACUAACAAACACAAAGUAUUCUCAAGUAUAUAAACUUAUACCUCUCAAAACUCUAUUCCACAUCCAUCCAUUUAUACUACUAGAUGUCCUAGGUUUACACAAAGUCCCUAGAAUAUAGGAAACCAAAUCCCAAACCAACUAGGAAACACAAAUCCAAAUAUCUUGCGUCCAAGAUAUCCUAAUCCUUUUUAGUUUAGGCAUAUUGAUUUAAUGUCAAAUCCAACAAUCUCUACCUUGGCAUGAAAUCCAUAACGAGGCGUCAACAACUUUUGUUGCUCCACCAUAUCGCAAGAUCAAACUUGCUUCAACUGCACCAAAUCCAGGUAGUGCUCGAACUUAGCUAUAUUAACCACCUUUGUCAACAUGUAAACUGGAUUACCUUCUGCAGCAACCUUUUUUAGACGAAUCUCACCUUCAGCUACCACUUCUCUUACAAAAUGAUAUCGUACAUCAAUGUGCUUAGUCUUAGCAUGAUGUACCUGAUAUCUUGCCAAAUAAAUGGCAGUUUGGCUAUCAUAAUAUACAUCAAACUUGUGUUGUUCUACACUUAAAUCUCCUAACAACCCAGAGUCCACAUUACCUCUUUGAUAGCUUCAACGAUCGCUAUGUAUUUUGCUUCCGUGGUUGAUAAUGUCAUCGUUGGUUGUACUAUUGAUCUCCAACAUAUAGGAUCAUUUGCCAUAGUAAACACAUACCCAGUCAUCGAUCUUCUCUUGUCUAAGUCUCCAACAAAGUCUGAGUCCAUAUAUCCAACUGGGAACUUAUCAAUUCCUUCAUCACAUCUUUCAAAACAAAUACAUUUGUCCCUCGUUCCAUGUAAGUAUCCACUUAGCAGCAUUCCAAUACUCUCUUCCAGGAUUAUACAUGAAUCUACUAACAAUUCCAGCUGCGUGUGCUAUAUCAGGACGAGUACACACCAUAGCACACAUUAAUCAUGCAACCAAAUUAGCACAUGGAAUACCAUCCAUCUUCAUCUUCUCUUCAUUAAUUUUGGGACAUUGUUCACUGCUCAAUUUGAAGUAAGCACCUAAUGGAGUUCUUACAGGCUUAAUGUCUUUUGUUACUCCAAACUUUUGUAACAACUUCUUAAGAUAUUGCUUCUGAGACAAACACACCAAACAUUUUUGUCUAUCCCUUGUGAUUUCCAUUCCCAAUAUUUUCUUGGCUUCAUUGAGAUCCUUCAUUUCUAACUCCCUUCUCAUUUGCUCAUUCAACUUUUCUAUCUCUGAAUUAUUGCUUGAGGCUAUGAGCAUGUCGUCCACAUAGAUUAACAAGUACACAGACGAACCAUCUUUCAACUUCUUACGAUAAACAUAAUGAUCAUAAUGACUUCUUGUAUAGUCUUGACCCUUCAUAAACUUGUCAAAUCUUAAAUAUCAUUGCCUGGACGACUGCUUUAAACCAUAAGGAGAUUUUCUAAGCUUACAAACCAAUCUUUCUUUGCCCUUCACUUGAUACCCCUCGGGUUGUCUCAUAUAAAUCUCUUCAUCCAAAUUACCAUGAAGAAAUGCAAUAUUCACAUCUUGUACCAAUUCAAGGUUGAACUGUGUAACUAAAGCAAGCAAUAUUCGAAUAGAGAAGUGCUUAACCACAGGAGAAAAAAAUCCCAUUGUAAUAUAUUCCCUCUUUCUGAGCAUAUCUUUUAGCCACUAGCCUAGCUUUAAAUCUUACUAAGCUCUUGUCAUCCAUUCCAUCUUUCUUUGCAUAAACCCAUUUGCAGCCAAUUGCUUUCUUUCCUCUAGGUAACUUUACCAAUUCUCAAGUCUUAUUCUUGUGAAGGGAGAGCAUCUCAUCGUUCAUUGCAUCAUGCCAUUUACUCUCUUCUUCACUAUUUAUUGCUUCUUCAAAAUUAGUGGGAAUUUCAGCCUCAAUUACUAGUAAUGCAUAUACCAUGCAGACCAUGCAAUCUUUAUAUCUCACAUGUAAGGAUAUGUCUCUUUUUCCCUUCCUUUGGGCUAUGCAAUCAUUUUGUAUCUUUAGUUCUUCUGAUGGUGUUGCUUCUUUGUGAUCACUCUCUUCAUAUUCAAGUUGAUCACCUUGUCUUUCUUCUUCCACAGCUUUCUUACUUGCCUGUGAAUUCACAAUUACUUGUUCCCCAAGCUCCACCAUCUGAACAUCUUCCUUCAAUUUCAUGUGACUUUCAUCGAAUGUCACAUCUCUACUUACUAUAAUCUUGUUCAACUCGAGACACCAAAGUCUGAAGCCUUUCACACCACUAUUGAAUCUCAUAAUGAUAACUUUAUUGGCUCGUGGAUCCAGUUUUUUUUUUCCUUCACAUGAAAGUAGGCAUUGCAUCGAAACACUCUUAGCUUAUCAUAGUUUUGAGCUGGUUCUCCAGACCACACUUCAAUGGUUGUUCUACCCUCCAAUGUUAUUUAUGGUAGUCGAUUAAGCACAUGACAUGCAUAACUCAAAACUUAUACCCAAAAUCUCUUUGGCAGCUUAGCUUGAGAUAGCAUGCAACGAACUUUCUUGAGCAAGGUCCUAUUUAGUUUCUCUGCAAUUCUAUUUUGCUGUGGAGUAUGUCUAACACUGAAAUGUCAAGUAAUCCCUUCUUUUUUACACACUUUGAAGAAAGGAUCAGAGGUAUAUUCCCCUCCAUUGUCACUUCCCAGUAUCUUAAUCUUCUUUUCAAUCUUGUUCUCCACCAUGUUCUUCCAUUCCAGGAAGAUGUCAAAAACUUCGUCCUUUUGUUUCAUCAUAUAUAUCUAUGAUCUGCGAGAGUAGUCAUCAAUAAAAGAUACAAACCAUAUGUUUCCACCUAAAGAAGCAUUCUUUACAGGCCCCCAAACAUCAGAGUGAACAUAGUCCAAAAUCCCUUUCGUUUGAUUAACAGUUGAGCCAAAUUUCACCUUUGCUUUUUUGUUUAUUUGUCAAGAAUGCAAUAUUCACAAAACUCUACCUUUCCAGUUUUUGCUCAUUUUAAACACCCUUACUCGAUUAAUCCUUGCAAUGCUUUUUCUCCUACAUGUCUUAACCUCAUGUGUCAUAACGCAAACAAGUCACUUUUAUCACUUUGCAUUUCAUCAGCUACCAUAGCCAAUCCAUUUUCCAAAGUUCUUCCUUGUAGCAUAUAAAGUAAGCCAUUUCGAGGCCCUUUCAUUAUGACAAGUGCUCCUUGAGCAUGUUGUUAUCGGAGUAAAACUUGUAGCCUUGUGACUCGAGAAUGCCUAGUGAGAUCAAAAUUUUCUUCAGAUUUGGGACAUACCUUCACCAUGCAAUUCUAGAAUCACACCAUCAUGAUGUUUCCAAUUCCUUGAGUUGUACAUGGGUUAUCAUCUCCCAUAUACACAGUUCCAUUCAUAACUUUGAAGCUUGAAAACUAAUGCCUUUGAGAAGUCAUGUGAUGAGUAUAACCUGUGUUGAGCACCCACUCUUUCGUAUAAUCCACAGUGCUCGAUGUAGUUAGGGCAUAGACAAAUUCCUCAUCCUCAACUUCAACCAUAUUUUCUUCUGAGUCUUCCUUCUUUUUAGUCUUUUCUUUGAUUUUAAGGCAGUCCUUCUUCCAAUGUCCUUUUUCAUGACAAAAAGCACACUCAUCUUUGUCCAAGAACUUCCUAUUCUUUGAGACUCCUCUAGUACGAGACAUACUAUUUUUCCUGUAUGAACCUUCUUUUUCUUUCGAUCUCCUUCUCACCAUCAAAGCUUCAAAGUUAUUCCUUUUUUGCAUGUCAAUGUGUCUCACCUCAUAAUUCAUAAGAGUACUUGAGAUUUCAUCAUACUUAAUUGUCUCCCUGCCAUAAAUCCAGGUAGUCACGAAAGGCUCAUAAGAUUUAGGUAAUGAGUUCAUCAAGAUUAAGGCCUUGUCUUCAUCUUUGAUUAUCUUUUCAAGAUUUGCCAGUUUAGCUAGAAGCUUGUUAAACUCUUCUAGAUGGCCAAUCAUCUUCAUGCCCUCUUUGUACUGGAACCUGUACAACUUGCUCUUGAGAUGCAUUCAAUUCUAUGCACUCUUCUUCAUAUAUUUUGUCUCCAAUGUAGCCCACAAUUAUUUCAUAGAACUUAUGUUCAUCACACCAUACUUCUGUUGCUUUCCCAAGCAUAGCUGAACUGUAUAAUAUGCAUGAGCAUUCAAUCUUUCCCAUUCUAUUUUUUUUCAUUGAAAACAACAUGUCUCCUAACACAACCACCAAACCUUGUUGUAUCAGGACAUCUCGAACCUCACACUGCCACAUAGCAAAGUUGUUCGUUCCAUCAAAUUUCUCAAUUUCAAACCUAAUACUUUGAACCGUCGUCUUGGUUCCACUAGUGCUAGACUUUUCUUCAACAUCAUCACUACUGGUGGAAUCACUAGUCUUCGUCAUUGCUUGAUAGUCACAACCCACAUCAAAACCUAAGCUCUUGAUACCACUUGUUCUAAACUAAACCAAAAAACCAAUAAAGCAAUAAACAAAACACAACAAUUCUAGAGUUCCUCCAAUAUAGGAGUACCUCUCUAACAACGGAAGCUUUAUUAAUUACCAACAAAUACAAGAGAACUAACAAACACAGAGUGUUCUCAAGUAUACAAACUUAUGUCUCUCAAAACUCUCACACACAAAACUCUAUUCCACAUACAUCUAUUUAUACUAAUAGAUGUCCUAGGUUUACACAAAGUCCCUAGAAUAUAGGAAACCAAAUCCUAUACUAAAACUAAAUCCCAAACCAACUAGGAAACACAAAUCCAAAUAUCUUGCGUCCAAGAUAUCCUAAUCCGUUUUAGUUUAGUCCUUCACUCGAUAGGCACACUAAACACUUACCAUUGAAACACGUGAGCAAGCUCUCCUUCACAUCAUCACUUUACCCUAAUAUUUCUCUUACGAGCAGGUUUGUAGUAGUUAUUUCUUCUUCUUCUUCUUUUUCUCGCUCUACCUUCUUUUUCUUUUUUGGUUGGAUCUCCUCCCUCAUUUUCUUUGCUCGUCGGAUCGCGAUGUUGGAACUCAGAGAAAAUGGCAAAAAGCUUUUGUACGUGUACAGUUUGAUAACACUAGAAACCUGAGAGAAUGUCCUUGUUUAUUGAAUGAAACUUGUGGCUAUUAAAUAGCCUUACAAUGCAAUGAAAUAGGAAAUAACAACCCACGAUUUACAUGGCCUAAGAUCGUGGUGCAUGACUAAGUCAGAAACAGAAAGAUAAGCUUGUCCCUCAAGAAUAUGAGGGAUUAUUUGCACGACUAGAAACUAAACCCUAGAAACAAGGAACCUUAACCCUAACGGCUAGGAGACUUCAAAUACUUUAACAUCCUCCCUUAAACUGAAUAUCAUUGAUAAUCAGUUUAUCCCUAGGUAUUUGCAGACACCCAUUGCUUCUCGCAGCUUUGCAAACACUUAUAACUUCAAUGGUUUAGUCAUAACAUCUGCAAUCUGCUCCUGGGUUGAACACUGUUUGAGCUCCACUACUCCAUCAUUGACCAAAUUUCGAAGAAAAUGAAACCGAACGUCAAUGUGCUUGCUACGUCCAUGCAUUACUGGAUUUUUCGAGAGUUUGAUGGUUGAGAUGUUAUCACAGUACACGACAGUAGGUUCAGACUGCUCACAAGUUAGACUUUUCAUAAUCCUCUUUAGCCAAACAACUUGACAAGCACUUGAAGCUACAGUGAUAAACUCAUAUUCGGUAGUGGAAAGAGUAACCACUGGUUGCUUCUUUGAGGACCACGAUACUGCACUUGAGUUCACCAUGAAGACAUAUCCUGAUGUACUUUUCCUGUCAUCCUAAUCUCUUGCAUAGUCACUGUCCGUGUAGCCAAAAAGCUUUUCAUCUCCUCCCUUCCUAUAAAACACCCCAAAACUGGAUGUUCCCUUCACAUACCUUAGAAUCCUCUUUGCUGCCUUCAAGUGAGUCUCCGUGGGGCGUUCCAUAUACCUACUGAUUAAGCUUACAACAAACAUCAGGUCAUGGCGUGUGGCUGUAAGAUACAUAAGACUUCCCACCAUUUGCUUGUAAAGAGUACCAUCGACUCCUACUCCUUCUUCAUCCCUUGUGAGUUUGAAACCAGGAAUCACUGGAUUUUGAACCAAGUUGCACUGAUCCAUGUUGAAUCUUUCAAGGACCUCGUGAGCAUAUUUUCGUUGGCUUAUAAAAACCUCAUCUUCCUUCUGCAACAUUUCAAUCCCCAUAAAAUAUCUUAUUUUUCCGAGAUCAAUCAUGUCAAUUUCAUCCAUCAUAGACUUCUUAAAUUGUUCAAUCAUAACUCCAUCGUUCCCAGUGUUUAUAAGAUCAUCAACAUACAAACAAAUAAUCAAUAUUUUACCUCCAUUUGCUGUUUUAGUGAACAACGUGUGCUCAUGAUGACAUUUGUUGAAGCCUUCUUUGACAAAAUAUGAUUAUAUGCGACUGUACCAAGCUCAGGGAGCUUGUUUGAGUCCAUACAGUGUUUUCUUGAGUCGAUAGACUUUUGAUUCUUCUCCCUUCUGUACGUAACCUGGUGGUUGAUCAACAAAUACUUAUUCACUGAUUUCGCCAUGCAGGAAUGCUGAUUUGACGUCAAGUUGGUAUAUCAACCAACCUUUCUGUGCAGCAAGUGAAAACACUAUGCGAAUUGUGUCCAAGCGAGCCACUGGUGCAAAUACUUCUGCAUAAUCCACUCCAUACUGUUGACUGUACCCUUUCGCCACUAGCCGUGCCUUGUACUUGUCUACUUCCCCAUGCUCAUUGAGUUUGGUUUUGAAAAUCCAUUUCACUCCAACAGAUCUUCCUCCUGGUGGUAGGUUAGUUAAUUCCCACGUCUCAUUUUUCUCUAUUGCCUUGAUUUCUUGAUCCAUUGCUUGCCUCAAUUUCUCACUUUUCACAGUGUCUUCAUAUGUCAUCGGAUCACCAUUAGUGAAUAAGGCUAGAUGAGCUAUAUUCACAUUUUCUUAAUCAGAGAGACCUUGACCAGUCUCAUAAUCUCUCAUCCAUGCAGGAGGUCUUCGUGUUCGUCCUUCUGGGAGUGAGGUGACAUUUGAAGUGUCUUCUUCGAAAGAACCACUGCUGUUGGACCCAUGUUCUUCUAGUUCUUCAGCUGUCUCAGAACCAUUUUCAUUGUUUUCCUCUUCUGUACUUGCUUCUUCAUUAACUUCCCAUUCUAAAUCAGCCAAUAUGGUUUGCUUGUGGACCUCAUCCCAACUCCAUUCUUGGUCUUCUUCAAAGACCACAUCUCUGCUAACAAUUAUCUUGGAAGAAAUAGGAUCAAACAAUCUAUAAGCUUUAGAUUCGUCACUUACUCCCAGAAAUAUGCAUUUGAGACUUUUAGCUUCAAGCUUCACUCUUUUGUUGUCAGGUAUGUGAACAUGUGAAAUACAACCGAAGACUCUAAAGUGCUCCACUGAUGGUUUGAGACCCUGCCACGCCUCUUCAGGUGUUUUGCUUUUCACAGCAAUGGUUGGACUUCUGUUUAGCACAUGUACUGUCCAAUUUACAGCUUCAGGCCAAAAUGUUUUAGGAAUUUUCUUCUCUAUCAGCAUGCUUCGUACCAUAUUCAUUAUGGUCCGAUUUUUCCUCUCGGCGACACCGUUUUGCUGCGGAGUGUAUGUAGCAGUUAAUUGUUUGUGUAUCCCAUUCUCAUUGCAAUAGUUUGUAAACUUUUGUGAUGUGAAUUCACCCCCUCGAUCUAUUCUCAGACUUCGAAUGAAUGCUCCAGUUUCCUCUCCACCCUAGCUUUAUAGGUUUUGAAGGUAGCAAAGGCUUCUAAUUUCUCUAUCAAAAAAUAAACCCAGGUUUUUCUACUAUAAUCAUCAAUAAAGGUGAUUAAAUACCUUUUGUUGUUGUUCGAGGUUGGGUUGAUCGGACCACAGAUGUCCGCAUACACCAACUGAAGAACUUUGGAAGCCCUCCAUAAGCUUUCUUUUGGGAAUGGAUCUCGAUGCUGUCGUCCUACCAAACAACCUUCACAUACUUGCUGAAUGGCUUUGAACUGGGGUAACCCUUCCACCAUCUUCUUUUGUUGAAGUACUUUGAGUCUAUUCCAACUCAGGUGCCCAUAUCGACGGUGCCAAAGAGUGGCCUGAUCUGUGGUUAGAGAAGAGAAGCACUUUGUCUCACUUGGUGGUAGGCAGUGAGCAACCACGAUAAACAUUCUGUUAGGAGUCAUUUUAGUUUCAAUGAUGAGCCCCCUCUCAGGAUGAAAUAUCUUACAUUUAUCUCGUUGAAUGAGCACAGUGAGCCCAUUCUCUUGUAACUGCCCAAUACUUAACAGAUUGUUCUUUAGUUCAGGUACAAAGAAAACUCCCGUGAUCACAUGAACUAUCCCUUUUACCUCUACUCGAACUGUGCCUUUGCCUUGAACAAUAAGACUCGAGUCAUUUCCCAUCUUUAUUGAUUCCUUGAAACUGCUAUCAAGACCAACAAAAAUGUCUCUCUUGCCGCUCAUAUGGUUGCUACACCCAGAGUCAAGAAACCAGAUAUGUUCAGUUUCACCUUUUUUGAAAUUGACAUGCGCCAUCAACAACAUCUCAUCUUUUGUUUCUGCAUAGUUUGCCUUUGGAUCCCAUGCUUUCUUUGGGCAUUCCAACUGAAAGUGUCCCAACUCAUGACAGUUAUAACAUUCUAGGGUCGAUUUAUCAAACCCAGAUUUGCCCCUUCCUCUUCCCCUUCCACGAUAGUUACUGCGACCUCCACCUCGUCCUCCUUGUUGAGUCCCAGAUGUGACUUGCAGCGCUUGUUCCUCCACUACAACAUGGCGACUAAUCCGUUGUUCAUGCACCAACAAACUGCUUUGAAGCUCAUCGAUGGACAAAGCAUCCAGAUCAUUUGAUUCCUCAAUACAACAUAUUACAUAGUCAUAUUUUAGAACCAUAGACCUUAAGAUCUUCUCUAUGAUCACCACAUCCUCCAUGUGCUCUCCGUGAAUCCUCAUCUUGUUGGCAAUGACGAGAGUUCAUCCAAAAUAGUCAUUGACAGAUUCUCCAGCCUUCAUGUGUAGCACUUCAAACUCCUUUCAAAUAGCCUGCAGUUGAGCACGUUUGACACGUGUUGUUCCUUGAUAUUUCUGCUUCAAGGAAUCCCAUAUGUCAUUCGCAGUGUCCUUCUUCAAUAUGGUCUCUAAGAUCGAACGAUCGAUGGCUUGAAACAAAUAGUUUUUGCACUUCAAGUCUUUCAGCUUCUGAUCAUCAAUCACCUUCUUCUGUGCUUCACUUGAGUCAGCUCCCUCUGCUGCUUCAGUGACUCCCGUUUCCACCAGGUUCCAAUACUCUUUGGAACGUAGAAAGUUUUCCAUUAGCAUACUCCAGUGAUCGUAGUGUCCAUCAAACCGUGGAAUCGCAGGUUGUACAAAGCUGCCUUCGGACGUCAUAUCUUUGUUCCUCCACACUAGUUCCCGUGUAGCAGGUUUUGGUCAGGCCCCGUGGUGGGGCUCUGAUACCAGAUGUUAGAACUCAGAGAGAAUGGCAGAAAGCUUUUGUACGUGUACAGUUUGAUAACACUAGAAACCUAAGAGAAUGUCCUUGUUUAUUGAAUGAAACUUGUGGCUGUUAAAUAGCCUUACAAUGCAAUGAAAUAGGAAAUAACAACCCACGAUUUACAUGGCCUAUGAUCGUGGUGCAUGACUAAGUCAGAAACAGAAAGAUAAGCUUGUCCCUCAAGAAUAGGAGAGAUUAUUUGCACGACUAGAAACUGAACCCUAGAAACAAGGAACCCUAACCCUAAUGGCUAGGAGACUUCAAAUACUUUAACACGCUACCCUCCUCCUUCACAUCAUCAUUUGCCCUAAUUGCAUCUCUCUUUCUUAUUCACUCUUUAACCAUCUCUAUUGCUUCCUCCAAACGCCUCUUCAGCUUACAUUCCCCACACCGAUACAUGUCAUGGGAUUUUCCAACAUAAAUGUACAACCCCGAUACGUCUACAUCCUCCAUCAAAAUCUUAUGCUGCUCAGUUUCGCAACCCUGCUUCAUAAUCAUGUCCAUUAUAUCAUUAUGCAACUCACCAUGCUCACGUGAUCUUUCAAUUCCAAAUGACGAAACCACAUUGGAAAGAAGCUCCUUGUCGGAGCUCUUUAAUUCCGGUUGGUCGAACAUGACUGGUUCCGCCUCUUGUUCAUGAUACUGAUCGAAUAGGAUUCAACGACAGGUUCCAGUAUUGGCAGAGGAAUGAACAUCGAAGUAUGAGUGGAUGACAUGGUAGUCAAACUUCACUACAUAUGUACUGAACCGACGGUGAGGAAGACUCGUAGUCACCUAGGUUGUUGAUAGUUCUUUGGCUUACAUCAACUUGUGUACACUACUCCUAUUAUUUGAAUAUAUAUAUGGUGAACUCUCUGCUUAAUUAAUUGAAGUGUUUAUCGUAUUGUUAAAUUACACUUUGUAUAAGAUAAAUAUUAUGACUGGCAUUAUGAUAGAGGAGAUCAAAUUUAAAGAUAUGCGGUUGAGGAUGUGGGAGCAAAAAUUACACCUUCACUAACAAGCCACAAGCAAUGAAAUAUGAGGAUCAAUCGUACAAAAUCCUCUGCUACAUUCCUGUUAGCUUGCUAAGCAAGCAAUUCCAUUAAUUUUUCAGAAUCUACUCAUGAGGGUGGGCGUGGUUAUACCAUGUUAAAUUUCAGGUAGAUGGGCUAUUGGCCCACUACAACAACAUUGAUACUGUCUCUACUUGGCCACCUGCUCAAUCCUUCAAGUGUGGGGUUUUAAUGCAAAAGGCAUCGGUGUUAGUUAAAGUGGGGUAAUUCUAUUUAAAGGGUUUGUUCUCAAGCCUUCUGGCCGAUGCAGGACAGAAGAAUUCUAACAUAUUGGUGUGGUAGUGUUGGCCUCCAUGGAAUCGCUAAUGGAAAAGAACGUCUCCCGCUAAAAGCAGUAGUCUUUAUAUGGUGCAGUUCAGUUGCAGUGAUGCAAGUUAAUUUUCUUUGAGUUUUAAGUUCUUAUUGAUAUACGGAGAAUGAGGAGUAUUACUUACCCUCAUUAAAUAAUUUAUUUACUUAUCGCAUGGAAGAAAACAAGGUUGCUUGAGAUGCAAGAAAAUAGUUCCCGUCCACUGCCGCAGCUUAAGAACAAAUUAUAAUGUCCAAGCCACCUUCACCAACCAGAAAUACAGGAAGGCACCACCUUAUUAACGCUCCCAGACAACCGCCUCCGUCACCGUUCAAGCAUUCCGCUACUCCGCCUGAGUAAUGCCACAUGGAUUUUUAUAAUUAAGUGGAAGAGAAAUGAAGGUGAUAAACUGAAGGAUAUAAUAGUGUAAUUAUUAAGCUCAAAUGCAACUGUCCCUAGCAGUUUAUGUAGCCUAGUCGAACUAAGCUGCCCAUAUGCACCCGUUGGUCGGAAACUCCUUUAUGUAGCCUAGUCGAACUAAGCUGGCAAGCUGUCGGAUUUACCGUUAGGUCAUACCCUCUUUUAACUCCCUUUGGGCUUUUGGUUUUUUAAUCUUUCACGGGCUUUGACUUUAUUUGAGUCUUUUGUGAUCUCUUUUCUGACCUGCACCAUUUUGUGGGUUGAAAAGAACUCUGUAUUAACAUAAAUAUUUAUGAGUGAUUUUGGUUAAGAAAAAGUUGGCUGAAGUCUUCUUAAUUAAAGCUUUCUUUAUUCUUAAAAGAAAAAAAAAUUAGAAUGAGGCACUAAUGAGGCAAGUGUGGACAUCCACCAUAUUUACAACAAAUGAGGCACUAAUGCAAGUGAGGAUUACUUAUUCGUCCAAAUUAAGAUGUCUCUCCUACUUUAUACGAGACUUGUGACAAUUCACUCUAACACCGGCCGGCGCACUGGUCAUUGUACCAAAUUGAGGGCUAGGGUAAGAAUCCAUUAUCCAAGGUGGAAGACUUUGACGUCAACCUUUUAAAAGUCCGAACAGAAACGUAAUUAAAUGUAUGUCUUCUGCGAAUCCAUUAUCCAAGGUGGAAGACUUUGAUGUUAACCUUUUGAAAAUCCAAACAAAAACAUAAUUGCAUGUAAUUAUUCUGCAAACCCCAGCACAUUAAUAUCAUCUUCAAUGAAGAUGUCAAAUUAAGAUGUUAAAUUUCAUUUUUACAGUUGAUGUGAUAAAAUAACAUCAUGUAAAGUCUAAUAUUCCAACCGAGGUGUCAAAUUAAAAUACGUUUUGGUUUCAUAAAAACAAACGAGUCAUAAUUUAAUAAUAAAAUAAUUAAAGCGAAGAAAAGUAAACAAAUAUGUGGGCCCAACAUUACAAUAAAAUUUGGCGUUGCCUGCAACCAAGUGGAGAAUAUCACUCUAUGUAAAAUUUUCAUUUGAAACAAGAAAAUCACUUUUUUUGUCAAAAUAGUCUACGUUGGAUUUUUUACUUUUCCUUUCAAUAUGCUCUUAGGUCUAUAAAUCUUGCUUCCCGUUUGCAUUAUCAAAAGGGGUGUGAUAUCCACACACACCCCAUUUUACUUUUCACACAUCCUUUUAAUUUUUGACCAUCGGAUCGGAUGAAUUAAAGAAUAUCAACGAACAGAAAUUAACAAGGGGUGUGUGAGAAGUAAUUUGGGGUGUGUGGAUAGCACACCCCUAUCAAAAAACACAACAUGGCAGUGAUAGGAUUUUUCAAAGUUAUUUUUUGGGUUCUUUAGAGAAAGACCCUUGAAACUCCUAUUUUCCAAACAAAAACCCACAUAAUAGUAAAUAUUCAAAUAAAACCCAAAAUUCAAAUAGACUACCAUGUAGACAAAUAUGUAACCAAUUAUUACAACAUAUUUAUAACUUAUGCCACAAACCCCUAAUUAUGUCAAUAAAUAUUAUUAGUCACCCUAAUUAUGAUUAGGAAUUAACCCAUAUGGAAAUUUACCUUUCUUGUAUCAUAAAUAUUAGUAACAUGUAUAUAUAUACACUAAUUUAUCCAUAUUCAUAAACAAUUAUGGGCACAAUUUUCAUAUGAAAAAAGAAAAUCCUUUGUAUAAUCAGUUAUUUUGCAUCAAAUAAUAUUGUUUGAUAAAAAAAAACAAACCAAUUAAUGUUCUUUAUGUUGUAGGUAAAUUAUUUUACAUAGAUUAGACAUUUUUUAUUUGUUAUUAUAUAUGCAUGUUAAAAAUAAUUUAUCUAUAUUUAUAUGUAAAAUGUAAGUAAAUUAAUUUUGAAUCAAAUAGCAUUUAUUUUGUAGGUAAAUUAAAAUAGUAGUUACAUUAUUUUGGUCAAGUUAAACAGUGCCUAAAUUAUUUCGUAAAAACUAAACCAAGACAAAUUAUCACCAUUAAAAUGAAACAAUAGAUACGUUAUUUUUUUAUUUGAUUAAACAAUAGGUAAAUUAUAUUGUAGGUACAUUAUGUUUGUAAAAAAAAAAAAGGAAAAUUGAAAGUAGUAGAUAUUAUUUUUAACCAAAUUUCCUUUAUUUGUAGGUGAAUUAUUUGCAUGCAUUUAUAUAUAUAUAUAUAUAUAUAUAUAUAUUAUAUAAAUUUCUUUUGAAUCAAAUAACAUUUCUUUAAUUUUAUAAGUAAAUUAUUUUGCAUGUAUUAUUACUGGACAAAUUUUAUAGUGCCCUUUCAGAUUUUCAUUUGGGUAAGAAAAUGACAAGAUUAAAUUAAAAUUGUCAAAUUUUAUGCAAAUUUGAAAAACAAUUACAAAAUCUUAAGGAAAGUAUAACAUUAGUGCUUUUUUUUUCCAAGAAGCAUUAACAUACAAUUUGUUAUGAUAUAUCAAUAUGCAAUGAUUUUAAACAUUAAUGCAUUUUUUUUAAUUAAUCCCUCCCUUCAAAUCUGCAUAGAAUUUAAUGUAUACAUUAAAAUUGUAAUUAGGGGUGUUUUAGGCAUCUAAAAAUGCAAAAUGUGUAAAGGCAAAUAGAAUUAAUGAAUUUGCUUAUGUGGAGCCUAGUCAUUGGGUUUUAUUCAGGUAAAAAGAUUAUGUCGGAUUUUAUGUAAAGAAACUUGAGUUUCAGGGGCUAAAGUCAUAUUUUUAGUUAUUUAUUUUUUUGCUACCGGAAGUGAGUGCUUCUUCUGCUACCAGAAGGGAAUGAUAAAGACAUACUCCAUUUAGUUUGUCACAUACUCUUAUUUAAUUAUGUUUGUCAUUUUUGUUUGAUUAAUUCAAUUUAAUGAUAGACCUAAUCCUUUUCCAUUUUUUUUAUUUAUCAAAUUGUAUUUGUCAAAUUGGCAUGUGCAACAUGAAGUUUUUAGUCUAAAAAAAAUAAAAAAAAUGAAGCACCCACAGUGCGCAUUGGAGAUUCUACUAAAUUGAGGUGUAUGGUAAUGAGAAAUUUUCAUUUGUCAUCAAGUUUUAAUUUCAAUGACACAAAACUUUAAUAAAUAAUUGUCACGUGUUAAAAAAUUACAAUAUUUUCAAUGAACAAAUGAAGAAUUUCUUGUAUGGUAGAGAAUAAAUGAAAAGAAUGGAUGGCGCGGCACAAAGCGAUGAAAGGGUUAUCAACAUAAUCCAUUAUAAAACAAAAUCUGGAAUCCAUUAGAAAAUUGAGAGAAAUCCCAAAGGGUUUUGUUUGAUUAAUUCUUGAAUGAUUGCUAUUGGUACGUCCAGAUGACUUAAAUAAAGAUUACAAACAUUUGGAACAACUCAAAUGACUUCUAAUAAUUAAAACAACAUUAGUUAAACAUUAAUCGGAUGACAAACGAAGAGUCCGAUUUUUAUUAUGAAAUUUUAAACGCUGUUUUGGAGGCUGAAAUGACCCUGGAUGGCCAAAAUCUAUCGUACGUCACAGCCGAAGCGAUGUGUUGGGCUCGUGGCGUAGUUUCCUUUCCAAAAAGGUAGCACGAGUCUAAAUCAGAGCUCAUAUGCAAGUUCCCACUACAUCCUUUUAUCUUUCGAAGGUCAAUUUUCUCUUUGAUUUAUUCUGUCAUUUAUUCUACAUCAAUGGAAGAAUUAGGGGUCAACCCUUCGAAAGUCCAACUAGAAACAGAAGCAUAUAAUUAUUGUCCAAACCCCUGCAAGUUAAAGUCUAUAAAUCUUGCUUUCCCUUUGCACUAUCAUUCAUCUCCACGUUGUGGUUCGAAGUUAUUGUUUCUGCUCCCGAAGAUGAAUGGUUCUUCAGCAAAGCUGGUGGCAAUUACAACACUAGUGUUGCUUCUGAUGGGGGAUUUUCAAGCAACUUGUGGACUACUUCCUCAUGGUAUAACUAAUAAUUAUCUUCCUUUUAUGAGAUCUCCAAGCAUUAGCAUUAGCUACUUAAAUCGACUUAGUUUUUACCAAUUUUAUUAUUUGGUAACUAAUUUCUUGCUUCUUGUGAUUUUCUCAUAUAAUUGAACAAGGUUGCUUUGAAUGUCAAAGUGAUAUUUUGAGUACCAAAAUGGUGCCUGUUCGCCGCAGCCUAAGACCAUUCAAUAGGCCGCCACCUACACCUGCUCGCAAUAAACAGCCAUCGCAUAGACAUGUUCCACUACCUCCCCCCCCCACCCCCAAAGAAACUCUAAAUCAGGCUUGACUUCCCACCCCACCCCCCGAGGACCAUCUGGGGCACGCGUCGUUCAUAUUUUCUUGUAUUUUUAUUUGUUUUCUUAAGAGAAGUUAAGUUUAUGUCCUCCAUUCUUUUCUUGUAUUUUUACUUUAUUAUUUCUACUUAUAUUAUGAGCUAAGGUUUAUGUCCCCUUAACUAAGUGUAAUUUCUUUUUUUUUUUUCUGAUUCAAUAAAAUUUCUCUUGUAUCGUUGAGGUUUGCUAAAAAAAAAUGGAACAAACCAAGCAACCAACCAAGAAACUAAACAACAGAAAAUUCAGCCAUAAUAUUCAAGCAAGAUUACCGAUAGAUAUAAUUGAAUUCUAAUAUCAUUCACCAAUGCAAUUGAAUAAAAAAAAUUGAAUUCAAAUAACUUCAAAUUUCAACCAAAGAAAAAAAAGGACACAUCCAAUUUAUUAAGCAAAGAUUUCAAUCGAUAGGUGAUGAGUCGAUAUUAUUCUAUAUUUUUACCCUAAUCUUAGUUAUAAUUUAUUUGUUAUUUUGUAAGAAUUUUGAUACUUUACUUUAUAUUUCAAUUGUAGGACAUGUGAAUCUAUUUUGAGCAAAAAACGAUGAAAUGAAAAUUUUGUGGAGUAGAUUCAUGCGUCUUUCAAGAUGAUUGUGUCGAAAUUUCAUAAUUUAUUUCUCAGCCGUUUGACCGUAGUGAAUAAAAGAAGGCUAAUCGCACAGUGCUGGCAACUUGACGUUUUGUUCUUGUUUGGGCCAUAAGUAAUUCAAGAUGAACUUUUUUUUUAGAAAAGUCCUUUUUAUAAAAUAUAAGGUACAAUUUUAUCUUUCUAACGCCACCUGGCAGGCCUGAUUUUGAGCAGAUUCGAUUAGGGAACAUGUUGAAUACUUGGUUGCCCAGAUUGUCCUAGGAUAGGAUUGUAUUUCCUAGUUUAUUAUUUUAAUUGGGUUUCCAAAUUUGUUGGAAGACCUAAUUUAGAUAAUUUGUGCACACUAUAUAUAUUUAGCCGGGUCUUUUUCUAGGGCCAGAAUGUUUUUAGACUUGGAGAUCUCAGCUUAGGAGCUUUUGACGAUUUGUUACAAGGGUGUUUUCUAUCUUUUCUUCUUAAUAAUAUUUGUACUUUUCAAUUAUAAAUAUGCGUAACUACUUCCUUUUGCUAUGGCGAGUCCACGAGCCUUGGUAUGAAUAUGUAGUUUCUUUUCAAUUUGUUUAUGGCAUAUUGCUUUGAAUUAUUAAUCAUCAUGUUUAAACCAUCUAUGUGUCUUAAUGUUUGAUCACCAUUAGGAUGUUUAGACAAGUAAUUUGAUGCAAUUCUGUUGGAAUGUCAUCUUGAAAUUGAGAAGGGUUUCUUGUGAUUGAUAAUUGUAAUUUCACUUAAGGUGAAUGCCACGUCGUAAGUGUUGCAUGAUUUUCAAAAGAUUUUUCACAAAGUUUAAUGAGUCUUGCAUGCUCAUAUUUGAUAUGAAUAUCACAGACGGAUUGCAUGUUUAAUAUACGUUCAAACUUGAAUGCCAUAAGUAAAAUAUGCAUUAGAAAGACCUAACCUCCAUGGUUUGCAUGUAUCAACUCAUACGUAAUUGAUAGAACUGCAUAUGAUUGAUUUUUUCUUCAAAACUAUUUAAUUUUCUCUUUGCUGCCGAGUUUUUACUAAAACCAAUUUCAAUUCUUUUAUUUUCUGUUUCUUUUAUAUUCUCAAUUUCAAAUCUUAUUCAAAUCUUGUUUUAAAUAGUCAGCUAAGAAUCGGUUUUAUAUACAAUUUAUUCAUAUUAGUUAUGUGAGUUUUAAAUACAAAUGGUUCAUACUACAAUUACUUGUUUUCUUGCAAGUCCAUCACCGUUCAAGCAUUCCGCUAAUCCGCCCGAGUGAUCACAUGGAUUUUUAUAUUAAUCGGAAGAGAAAAUUGCCUACGUAUAUAGUACCUGGAUGAGAACCAUUAGUGUUUCCAUUUGGCUUUGGAGUCUUAAUCUCUACAAAACCACUAAAGCCAAAGUAAAUGAAUGUGAUACGGUCGGUUUUUUUUUUUAUAUCUAGUAGUCAUAUAAGAAAUUUGGUGUAAAAUUAUAAAUGAGGAAUGAAAAGUAGGAAAUGUUGAAUCCAACGAUGUUAAGGGGUUGUUUGAUGAUUAUUUUGUUUUUAUUUUUUAGUUUUUACGUUUUUGGAAACUGAAAUCUUGUUUGUUAACAUCUUUCAGUUUUCAAUUUUACGAAAAAUGAAAACUAAAAACCAAAAAGUAAAAACUCAAAAUCAAAUUUUGAAAACUCAAGAAAGUAGUUUUUAAUUUUCGAUUUUUUUGUUUUUAUUUUUCUUGAAAACUAAAAACUGCAAAUAAUUACUAAUCAAGAUUUCAGUUUUUAGUUUUUAAAAAAGUGAAAACAAAAAGUGAAAAUUGGAAACGAAAUUGAUUAUCAAACAGUUUAUUCAUUUUUAAGUAAACAUUUACUUCUAAUUGCGGGACAAAAUCUAGCCGCCAGUUGCUAGCUCUGAAUAACCAGCCCACCAAUAUGUUCAAUUCCUUUAUAACAUAAUUGGAUAGGGUUGUGCACGAGCCGAGUGAAAUUCCUAAACCUGGAAUUGCUGGUGAAGCAUAGAUGGCAAGCAGUUAUAUGGAUACGUGCUUUAUCCGUACACUUUUUUCCAACUCUCGCAAGAAUUGUUUGGGAGUCAUCCUUAGAUGUACUUCCACACUGACCUUCUCGAGGAAUUCUAUUGUACUCCGUGUAGGUAUUUUUGUUUGCCCAGUCGGAUCCUCUUUGUGAGGAUCUUAGGGAUCCUCCAAUCAUAUUCGUUCAUUGUACAUCGCACGGCCAUAAAUCAUUGUAAAUAUUUUUAUUUAAAAUUGAAUAUAAACAGUACCUAAUAAAAACUGACCACAUAAUGUACGAUGAACGAAUGUGACUAGAGGAUCCGGCGAGGAUCCGCUCUCUUUGUUUACGAUGGACUUAGCUGAACAUUAAUUUGGGCCCCAUAUUUAUUUCCCAUUAUUUCCGUUUUGAUCCAUUACUGCAUAAAAACUAAGGAAAACUAUUGGAAGAGUGAAACGCUACCGUUUCAUUUUAUAAAGUGAAAAAGUAGGGCCACAACCCUCUUCUUCUUAUUCGCAGGUUGCCAGAGCCCUCUGCAAGUAGACUUAUUUUUCGAAUGCAGGGGCCGUGCCUCUGCCUCUCCAAAGUCUACCAAUCGCUAUCAAGAACCAACCAAUUGCAUGCUCUGUUUCUCAAAACCCACCUCCGCCCCGACCCUUUUUACGCAACCAGAUUACUCAGAUUCUAUGCAAUCAACGGAGACCUUCACUCUGCACGUCAAGUGUUCGACGAAGGUCCCCACCGGAGUGUCUACCUUUGGAACUCCAUCAUUCGAGCCCACGCUCAAGCAUACAGAUUUGAAGAUGCAUUUUCUCUGUUUUCUGAGAUGCGUAGAACUGACAUCAAACCGGAUAACUUCACUUAUGCUUGCAUUGUACGUGCCUGCGCUGAUAGUUUUGAUUUGGAUGGACUGAAGCUUGUGCAUUGUGGAGUAAUGGUUGCAGGGUUGGGAUUGGACUCCAUUUGUAGCAGUGCACUUGUUUCAGCUUACUCAAGACUCAGCCUUGUUGAUGAAGCAAGCAGGGUGUUCAAUGGGAUUCGACAGCCGGAUUUGGUUUUAUGGAAUUCGAUGAUUUCGGGUUAUGGAAGUGGCGGGUUUUGGGAUAAAGGGUUGCAGCUAUUUAGUGAGAUGAGAAGCAUGGAGAUGGUGCCGGAUGGAUACACAAUUGUUGGGUUGCUUUCGGGUUUAGCGGAUUCGAGCUUGAUAAGUAUUGGAGAAGGAAUACAUAGCCUUUGUUUGAAAUGGAAUUUAGAUUCUAAUGCUCAUGUGAGCAGUGUACUUGUGAGCAUGUAUUCGAGAUGCAUGUCUAUAAAUUCUGCACAUAGAGUUUUUAGUGGUUUGUCCGAGCCGGAUUUAGUUACAUGGUCUGCUUUGAUCACUGGGUUUUCGCAGUCGGGAGAUUAUGAGAAGGCAUUGUUUUUUUUCAAGAAUUUGAACAUGGAAGGUAAGAAACCAGAUUCAGUUUUGAUUGCCAGUAUGUUGGCUGCUGCUGCUCAGAUGGCGCAUGUAGGGCCUGGUUGUGAGAUACAUGCUUAUGUUCUUCGACAUGGAAGCGAAUCGGAUGUCAUGAUUUCCUCUGCACUUAUAGCCAUGUAUUCAAAGUGCGGCUUCUUGGGGAUGGGUACCCGUGUUUUUGAGAUCAUGCCAGAGAAGAAUAUUGUUUCGUACAAUUCUUUAAUAUUGGGUCUUGGUUUGCAUGGACUUGCCUCCGAGGCCUUUAGAAUGUUUGAUGAGAUACUCGGAAACGGAUUGAAACCUGAUGAGUCUACAUUUUCUGCUCUCCUUUGUGCAUGCUGCCAUGCUGGCCUUGUCAAAGAUGGCCGGGAAGUUUUCAGAAGAAUGAAAGAUGAGUUUUGCAUUCAAGCUAGAACGGAGCAUUAUGUUCAUAUGGUGAAACUUCUUGGGAUGGAAGGAAGAUUGGAAGAGGCUUACUAUCUAAUUUUGUCCUUGCCUGAGCCAGUGGACAGCGGCAUAUGGGGAGCCCUUUUAUUGUGCUGUGAUGUAUGUGGAAAUUUGGACCUGGCAGAAAUUGUAGCCCAAGGGCUCUUUCAAAGUAAUUCGGAGAAAAGUGCUUACAGAGUCAUGCUUUCAAAUAUAUAUGCUGGUGAUGGGAGGUGGGAUGAUGCAAAGAAGUUGAGGGAUUCCAUAACAGAAGGAAAACUGAUGAAAAUGCCCGGGCUCAGCUGGAUUAAAGGUAGUGAAUUCUUGUUUGAUCAAAAUAUUCCUUGUAGUAGGAUUUAAAAUUAGUGACAAAACAAGCUAUCUGUACUAGGAACAGAAUAUUUUUUAUAUGUACGGAAAUCUGACAAGGCUCUUACUUUCUGCGUUAAUCGAAUGCCAUAAAAUCUCGGAUUGGUUUUGCUUGUUUUACUUUCUCUUCUUAUAAGCAGCUCUCUAGUGAUGCACAAAGAAGGCCAGAGGCAACUAUUAAGAUGUGAAGAUGAUAAACUGAAGGAUAUAAUAUUGUAAUUAUUAAGCUAUAAAGACGAUGUAUUGUCAAAUGCAACUGUCCAUAGCAGUGGAUUUUAUUCUGCUUUGUGAUGUUUUACUGGAAUUGAAAGUGUGUAUGGAGGUGUACAAAAAGAAAGAAAAGUGUGUAUGGAGUCAAUCAUAAUAGUUGAGGGCCAACUACUUGUAUAUGGAAACAAUCCUAACUAUUACAGCUUUGCAUUGGUACAUAUGUGAUCCUGAAUAUAUCAGACAGCUUAAAAAUUAUCCAUUCACCCUCAUUGGCUCCUUUCCAUCCGAAGAUCUCCAAACUUUAUUAGAUCCUUAUACUUCCUUAGUGGCUGCAAUUUGUUGCGCCCUUGAUAUGGUAAUAAAUGAUAUGUGGAAUGUGCCUAAUUUUGUAGUUUUCCUCUCCCCCAUCAGGUCUCAAUCGUUCUGCAUGAUCAUUCAUCAAAGGCAGCAAGUCUAACUGCUCAAGAGUAGUGAGAAACUGCAAACCUUCAGGUAAAGUCUUC